rnacentral:lncRNA from 1 species
AAAAUACUAAUCAAGUUUGUAAUUUUCUUUCCUUUUGUUGACAUGUUUUCAUUUUCUUGUAGGUUGGAGUGCAUGGGUUGAUUCAAUCCUUUUGGUAACAUUGACAUCUCCUUUUGAACACAAGAUUAAGGCCAAACAUAGUGCAAGCAGGAUGUAAAAGCUUAUAAUGAUAUCUGAAAUAUUUUUUGGGGUAUGAGGCUGCUAUUAUGGGGAUUGGGUUGCUGAGUAGUAUUUUGUACAAUUCAUGUAAUUUAUGCAUAUAUGUUAUAUCAUUAGGUAAUCAUUUUAUUUUUACUUAUUGUUGACACUUCAUAUUUUUUUAUAUUUUAUAAUAGGUGUUUUAUACUUGUUCUGGGAUCUUUCUAGCAGUAGAACUUAACAGUUGCAUAAGGGCAUAUAUGGUGGAGUGUUUUUAAAUAAAAGUGUAAAACAAAAUAAUAAAAUUAUUCUAAAAUUCCAAAGGUAAAAAUGUAGAAAAGACAUAUAUGGAAUAUCAAAUGUUAGAAAAUUAAUAAAAUGUUAAAAAGUAAAAAGAAUGUUGGAUAAGUAAUUAAAGAUGGGUAAAUAUCACAAUCCAAAAAAUUUUGCUCAGUCACUAUUAAACAUGCUCGCUCCUACCAUUUGCCAUAGGCCCACAGUUAUCUUGGCUUCCCUUGGAAACUCUUUUCCAUGAAAAAUCCAUUCCAUCACACAUGCCACAGGAUUCAUGCUCAACUUCAAUCUCUGUGUUAAAAACUUACUAAUAAAAUGCACGUGAACAAUUGUCCUUAACAUUUGCAAAUAAGAAGGUGUGACUAUUCAUACCAAAAAUAGUUAAAGAGCACAUAAAUUACUUAAUAAAAUUCAAGAAAUUCAUCCUAGUGAUUGAGACAUUUGCUAAAAUUGAGAAUAGAAGAAGCUCCCACAACAGAGUUGCACGCUUCAAUGCAGAGUAGCCAGCGACAUACGCCAAAUCAACUUAUACAAUUACAAAAUAAUGGAAGCUAGACAAGGUUGUAGCUCUAGUUAAGAAUGCAUUACAUUAUGUGUCAAUGUUUACUUAUUACAUUAGUUAUUCCGGUUCUUUGGUUUUUGAUCCGAAACUUAGUACUACUUCCUUGUAAUUGUAAGAAUUCAACUCUUGUUUAAACAUUUAUGGAUAAGUAUCCAAAUUUGGCCUCUUGUACAUGUUUUUUUUUUUUCACUGUUUUUGAACUAUUAAAAGUUAAAUAGGAAGGCAUGGAAUUGUCACUAGACUGUUGUAUCCCAAAACUGAUUUUUUUGGUCGGAACCCUAAAACCGUGCUUAUUUCAGGAAUCAUAAGUUCAACCGAUAGUCCUCUGGCCCUGAUUUGGUGCUCCAAAAUCCAAUUUUCCUCUUUUAUUUGGGAAGAAGAUGAGAUUAGAAAUUUAGGAUGUCGUAUGAUGUUCAUAAAGGAAACAUUUGUUAUUAGAUUCAAACAAGCGUUAUCUUGAAUGAUUGGGCAUAAGUGUUAGACGCUUCCGAAAAGGUUGGACGUCCGAAAUUAGGAUAAAAAACUUCUCUAAGUGCACUUUUUGUUUCCCCACUUUGUACAAGUUGACAAAUCGAAAACAUAAACUUGAUUUCUAAUAUUAAAAGGAAAAAUCACAACAAAUACAGUACCAUUUCAGUCACAAAAAAAAUUAAAAGGAAAAAUCGAUUAACGACGGUCGUUUUGCUACCUCAAACUAUUGGCAUGUACAGUGUCUCAGUCGUCUUUUGAAUCACUGAUUUUCCUCCGAAUCGGAGAAGAAAGGCAACCAAAUCCCCGCUGUACGUCGUCGUUUUCUAAAGGCAUCAAAAUCUUGGUCCUCCGAAUUAGUGGUUUUUUUAAUUCUUCCCGGCGCUCCUCAAGCGUACGGCAGCCUGAGCGUGCGGCGCAAUGAGGCCGUCGCUUUCUUCCAGGGCUCCGGUCUUCCCAAACAGGUCCUUGCACGGGUACUCUCUCUCUAUAUGUAUAUGCUUGUGUAUAUAUGUAUAAUUGGAUGUAUAUUGUAGUGUGUAUGAUUAUAUUUGUGUAAUAUUAGUGGUUGAUCGGGAUUUGAUGUUGGUGGAAAUUUGUUCCGAAUCAGAUUGAUUUUGAAUUUUUAGUCUAAUUGUAGUUGAAGUAGUAAUGUGAGUUCGGGAUGUCUUAAUUCUCUGAUCAAAGCUGAAAUUUUUAUUUCGUGUUAGUAUAAAUGCGGAAUUGAUGUUCAAAUGGAAGAAAAUAAGUAGAUGAAGGAUUCAUACUACAAUUAGUGAGGUUGGGAAAGUUAUGUUAUCAGGUCAUUAAUUUACUUUCUGGUGUAUCCGUUUGAAAUGUGGUAUAUGACCCAAGGAUUGACCAAGGAUGGUUUUUACUGUACAAUUAUGUAGCAGUGAAAACCUGCAGCAGAAGAUGACUAUGGAAUGGUUAGGAUUGUCGCAUACAGGAGAAAUGUUCUUGGGUCAUGAUCAUAUUGACAUAUAGGUUCUUGAAGUUGUAUACUUGUUUUGCUGAAGGAAUUUCCGUAUAAAAUGUUAACCGGGGGCAUAUGUUAUGUUACAUAUUGAUUAUAUGAAUCCACUUUCUCAGUAUCUUUUUGUAACAGAAGUUUGGAUCUUUUCUGGAGGUUAACUAACUGAACUCAAAGUCCAAAGAAACAAUCGAAGCUGAUAAAAAGGUACUUAGAACAUAGAUGUUUCCCCAAUUUUUUCAUCUUGAGCAGCACAGUUAUGUGCACAUGUUACUUCCUGAUGGUUGUCAAAUCAUAACAAAUAUGCCAAAGACUUGGAGAAAGAAAUUUUGGAUGCUAGACAGAAAAUUGAAUAUUUUUGGGUCAAAAUGCAAAUCAGCCAUCAAACUUGUAAUGUAUCUGUUGACAAAAAAUUGUACAUAAUAUGUAAACAAAUAAUUCACUCGACACAAUUUCACCCUCGUUCAUUUUUUCCGAAGAGGGUUUUAUUAAUUCGAGUUCGACCCAUUCUAGGCUAUGCGCCUAUUAAUUAGAACCUUUCUUUUGGGAAAGAAAUACCCUUUGAUUCCAAUUUGAAUAAAAUGUAACUUGAGGAUUUUGGUGUUUGUUUGAUUUUGUGACUGCACCUAGGCCGAACCCUAGAUUGCCUACGUACCCUCUUGAGGGAUCAAGUCACUCGUUCAUGGUGUUUGGGUUUUGAUGCCUUGUGCAGUUUCAGCUCGUUCGGGCGAGGAGCAUAAUGCCUUAUGCAGUUUCAGCUCAUGCGGGCGAGGAGCAUUUGAAAAUUUGAUAUGGCUUCAUGCCAUUUGAGACUUUUCUUCGGCUUUGUGCCAUUUGAGACUUUGAUACGGCUUCGUGCCCUUUGAAACUUUUCUUCGGCUUCGUGCCAUUUUGGUAUUUGAUAGCAGGAGUGAAUUUAGUUUAUAUAAACCAGGGAUUCAUUUCGGUUUCACGGUUGCGUCUAAAACUUGAUAUUAGACUGCCUACGUAUCCUUAAUGGAAUCAAACCGAACCCUAGAUUGCCUACGUACCCUCUUGAGGGAUCAAGUCACUCAUAGUUCAUGGUGUUUGGGUUUUGAUGCCUUGUGCAGUUUCAGCUCGUGCGGACGAGGACUUUAAGCCAUUGGAGCGUUUUGAUGCCUUGUGCAGUUUCAACUCAUGCAGGCGAGGAGCAUAAUGCCUUAUGCAGUUUCAGCUCAUGCGGGCGAGGAGCCUUUGAAAAUUUGAUAUGGCUUCAUGCCAUUUGAGACUUUUCUUCGGCUUUGUGCCAUUUGAGACUUUGAUACGGCUUCGUGCCCUUUGAAACUUUUCUUCGGCUUCGUGCCAUUUUGGUAUUUGAUAGUAGGAGUGAAUUUAGUUUAUAUAAACCAGGGAUUCGUUUCGGUUUCACGGUUGCGUCUAAAACUUGAUAUUAGACUGCCUACGUAUCCUUAACGGAAUCAAACCGACGUAGUUCGUUAUGUAUUAGUUGGAGUUUAAUGCCUUAUGUAGUUUUAGCUCAUGCGGGCAAGGAGCAACUGAUGCCUUGUGCAGUUUUAGCUCAUGCAGGCGAGGACUUUAAGCUUUUGGAGCUAUAUGUAACUUCGUGAUUUUUGAGACUUGUUGUAGCUUUGUGUCAUUUGAUACUUGAUACAGCUUCAUGCCAUUUGAGACUUUUCUUCGGCUUUGUGCCAUUGGCCACUUUUCUUCGGCUUUAUUGCAUGAGCAACAUGUAUUAAUUGAAAGUCUAAUAAUUCGUGUUUGAAGAUCUCUCUUACUCUUUGUAGAAUUACUUGAUCAAAAUAGCAGGAAUGAAUUUAGUUUAUAUAAACCAGGGAUUCGUUUCAGCUUCACGGUUGCGUCUAAAAACUUUGAUAUCAGACUGCCUACGUAUCCUUAACGGAAUCAAACCGGCGUAGUUCAUUAAAAAUUUGUUACUUUGUUUGGAUUUGGUGUGGCUUCAUGCCAUUUGAAUUUUGAUGUGGCUUCGAAGCUUUUCAAGUUCCAAUAGGACUUGUCUUCCAAUUUCAAUAAUUUAACUUCCCAUUUCAAUAACCACACUUCUUCCCCACGUGAGAUGCAUACUUUUCUUUUGAACCUACUUUGAAUUUUCAAACCUUCACAAAACAAGCUUUACUUUUUUCAUGCUUUUAAGUUUUCACAACUUCCCACGUGGGUUCGUGAUUUUCAUGAAGCUUUAUCCACCCCUUCUUUUUAUUUUUUCUUCUCUUUGCCGCAACUUUCCUUUGGUGGGGUUCAAAUCCUAUAUCAAUUGUUCUUUGGCAAAUUUUUGUUCUGUAGCAAACUUGUCCCUUUUUCUAGAGAACCACCUGCAUGGAUUCCCAACUUGUUUUGCUCUUCAUCACGUGAAAGGAUUAGGGAGCUUUGAUUUCCCCCAGCACACUUGCCCAUAUUUUUGUCUUGUUUCUUUGUAGAGCCAAUAGCCUCAUUAUUGUAAGUGUACCUUUGUUAGGACUUUUCUAAUAGUAGGAAAACAUCUUUUUUCUUUUGACUUUUCCACCUAGAAGCUUGCUGCAACACUUUACAUGAUGAAUAAAACUAUCUUCUUUUUCCUGGAACAUUUUUCGAAGGAUGAAGCGGCAGCAACAUUUCCUUCUUUUGUAAUGCCUUGCCCAAUAAAUCUUGAGAAAGGUUAGGAUCCCAUGGCCUUCCCCUUUUGUCUUUCACGAGAAUGUCUUCUCUAAGGAAGUCGAUAGCAAGCCUUAUUCUCCCCUUUUUUGUGAAUUAAACUUUCCAAGUUCGAAUGGAACUUUGCUACCCUUUCCUCUCAUCGUCAGCAACCUUUUUUUCUUUUUUUCUUCUUCACUCGACGGCUGCGACGGGUUUCUUUGUUGUUUUUUUUUUUUUUUGAUGGAAGCAUCCUUCUCUUUUUUUGGUGUGACUUCUUUUCCAAAAUAGGAUCUUGUGGCUUUUCCAAAUAGGAUCCUGUGGCUGCCUUCGAGGCUCUGCAACUCUAGGGGCUUGAUCACAAUGGUGCUGCUACCAUCGUCAGCCUUGAUGCCAUAUUUUCCUUGGCACGUUUAAGCAGCUUAGAAAAGUUGUAGUGCUUUAGAGGUGUUGGUGUGGCGGUUGCAGAUCACUUAAAUUUAAUUGGAACUUCACGGGGUGGUUUAGACCACCCCGAAGAAAUUCAUGGGAUUAACUACAACGUCACGGACUACUACUCAGCAUAAACGAACUUGAUGGGUAGAGAGGUCACGACAUGGCUGCAACAUCCUUUUGGGCUUUCAUUUGACGUCCGUGACGGUGCUACAAGUGUCUUCACUGAUGGAGAAAGGAAGGUGACAGAGGCCUACGGCUUUAUUCUCUAGUUUGAAAUCGCCGUGAUGGAGAGCGAAGCCAAUUGCUUCAUUUUCUUUUCCUGUAGAACUGAGAGAAACCAAACAAAGAAAUCUAGAAAGAUAGAUAUGUACCUUUAAAUGUUUUGGUCCUUUCCUUUGCCGUGUCUCCUUUUUUCCUUCUUUUUUCGCUUUGCUCUCCUCCUUCGUUCUUCUUCUCUGGCGAGAUCUCUCAAUUUCUCUCCUAAUUUCUGCAAGGUCUUCUUCCUUUUUAUUCUUCCUUUCUCCGCGACUGAUGCCUAUUUAUAGGCAUCAUAGGAAGCCUCUGGAGCUUUUACGUGGGGGAGAUAGAGGCCCUAUUUUUCUCCACCCUCUCCCGCUAACUGUGUAACCUCCCAUGUCUUACAGAAAACCUUCCACGUUUUGCAGAAGAUGGGAGUUUUGCUCCACGUUCUCUCCCCUUUUGUAGGAAGAAACGUGUUUUCUUCUCUUUUUUAUUUUAUUUUAUCUUUGGUUCCUGUUUCCUUGUGGACUUGGAUUCCCAAGUCUAAACUUUUCCACGUGGGCAGCACUCCUAUUUUCUUUUGAGGAGUUUGUUUGCCGCAAACUUCUUCUCUUUUUAUUUUUUUUUUGUAUAGGGGUUUAUCUUCAUGCUAGUUAAUAGGGAAGGGAAUUCAAAUUCCCCUAUUUUAGCAUUCUCCCAAAACCCUCUUUGAAUUUAUUUCAAUCAGUUCUUCUGGACAAGCUUCUCCUGUACCAUUUUUGUUGUUCGUUAUUUUUUUGGAGAGAAGAACAGAACGGUCAGUAAAGCUUCAUAUUUUUUUCAUUUUGUUUUGGUUUUGAAUGAAUAUUCUGCAACUUUAUAUAUUUUUUUUGUUCUUGAUUUGUUGCAGGUGUCUUUUGGUGGUGACCCCUUGCUUUUGAAGGCUUGCCUGAUGUCUUCGUACAAAACAGUAUGACUCUUUUUGUUUCUUUGGUUUUGAUGUACAACCUUUCUUUCAUUUAUCUUUAUUUGUAUGUUAUUUUUUGUUUCAACAAUACUUGUAUGGAAGGAAGCAAUGAGUAUUGAUCUACUGUACCACAAGGAACAAAAGAAAUUGUUGUGCCUAUUUCGAGGAGUUAACCUCCUUUUAUUUAUUAUUAUUUUUUUUUUUGAUCAACAGUAUCUUUUGUAUUUCAUUUCUUUGUGUAUGCAUCUCGCUUUUUCUUCAUUCUUUUUUUCCCUUAUCUUGUAGUGCGACAUAUAAUUUUUCUCCUUAAUUUUGGAAUGUCCCUAGUCCUAUUGAAAUGAAGACCCUUAUAGUUUUAUCAUUAUUACAAAUUUGAUGAUUGUAUUAUUCAAUUGGGUCUGUGCCUUUCUUGUUUCAACCUUAAUUUGCUGUAAUAUUUUACCCUCUCUAAUAAAAUUUGUUUCGCUGAUCUUUGUUUGGUUCAAACAAGAACACUGAGUUUUGCCAGUGUUAGUCCAAUCAGGCCAUUCAUAUUUUUUGCUCAUUGCAGUUCAGCCAUCAAACAAUCACAUAUUUUUGUAGUGUCAAAUGUUCAAAUUACCACGCUUGGUCGUGAGAUUUUUACUUUGCCCUGACGUGAUGCGUUAAUUAAUGUCUAUGUUUAUGAUAUAAAGGUAAAUUUCAAGAUGCCGCUGGACUUGCAAAUCAAGUUUUAAUGAUAACAAAUAGGAUAUCACACACUUGUCCAUAACUUGCGCUUUAAUGAUACCAAAAUAAUAAAAGCCUUGCCUAUUUGUUGUCUUAUUUCUUGGACAGACAAGUGAGCUCUCAAAGUACAAAUUUCUCAUUAAGUUUUUCCUAAUUCUAUUGGAUGAUGAUGCUUAGGAUUGUUGGAUUAAAAGUCCGAAUCAUAAUAAGUUCCACUGGCUUCAGACCCAUGUUCAUCACUUUCAUUUGCUUCAGACUCAUCACUUGAUCCACUGGCUUCAGGCUCAUCUCUUGAUUGACGACCUUUUGAAUUGUCAUCUUCUCUUGUUUCUUCUUCUAUUUGAGGGAAUUGACCACCUUUUGAAUCGUCAUCUUGUCUUGUUUCUUCUUCUACUUUUGGUUCCCUCAACAUGAAGACAUGAUCAAAUUUGAAUUUCUUAGCAUCUUCGGCAUAAAACAGGCAUAUACCACAACUUUCCACCUUCAUAUCGGAAAUGGGUUGGUCGUCUUCAUCCUCCAAGCAGAAGUCGACAGAGGCCUCAACAUCAGGGGAGCAUUCUUCUUCCUCUUCACUAUCAGGGGAGCAUUCUUCUUCCUCCUCUUCACUUCUAAAGGCCUCAUUCCACACAUACACGUGAUGUUGGUCGUAACAGUAGUUCCAGCCGCUGCUUUUGAUAUAGAUUUCAGAAGUGAACAGUUUAUGGCUUUCACCCUUGAAUUUGCCAAUGAAAUUAGCAUUUACAGUCAAGGAACAAUGCUGCUUUGAAACCCCAGAAACAACCGCAGACAGAGCAAAACCAAAUAAACCUGUUUGAAACCAAUCUGGACGAAGCUUGAUGUUCACUGAAGAUCCCUCACUUUGAUAGCUGAACCAAUUUGAAAUUUCUUUUCCCGGACAUACAACAUUAAUUUGAGGCCAAGGAGUGUCCUUUGAUGGAGCACUAGUUGCCUCUCGCAUAAUUCUAAUAUGUGCUUCUUCCAUUAUGUUGCUCCUUGCAUUAUUAUCCAAUUUUGGGCAAUUAGUAAAAUCUCUGGAAAAAUGAUAAUGUUUAACCCAACCUUGUGUGAGUGUUGUCCUUGAACUUGACACUGUCUUCAGCAACAUGCAGCCUUGAGCUUCAACAUUACACAGCACUGGGAGCUCUGGUAAAGAUUGAAGCCGCUUGCAGCCAACUAAGUUGAGUAUAGACAAAUGAGAAGCUUGUUUGAUGCUUGCUGGUAUGCUCCUAACCUUGGUUCCACUCAGAUUUAAUUCUUGCAAUGAGGUUGAGCAAACGAGAACAUUAGGGACAUCCUUAAGGUGCUUGCAGCCACUAAGGUCUAAAAUUUCAAGCCUAAUUAGAUUUUCAAUAGACGAAGGAAGCAUUUCGACAGCUGUCCCUUGCAAACUAAGAGACACCAAAUGUUCCAUUGGAUCCAAGAUCUCUAGGAAGUUUUCAAGUUCAGAGCACCAAGAGAGAUCGAGUUCCUUGAGAUGUUUCAGCUUACAAAUGUUGGUUGGUAGACUCACAAGUCUUUUGCAAUAAACCAAUGAUAGUUUACUUAUAUCCUGGGGAAGCUCAAAAAACUCGGCAAGAGACGUGCAGCCACCUAGAUUAAAACUACCAGAGACUUUCAGCUUACAUCUGUUGCUUGGAAGUUUCUCAAGGUCUUUGCAAUUACUUAUAUUCAAGUAAGAAAUAUUUUCGUUAGACCAAACUGAUUUGGGCAACUCCUUUAUACCACUGUAUUGUAAAUCCAAAUAUUGAAUAUUUCCUGGCACCUCUAGAAGAUACUUGAGACUGUAGCAGCUUCCAAGAUCAAGAUGAGUAAGCUUGUCAAGAUGUUGAAAAUAUGAUGGAACUUCAACCAAACUAGAACAGCCACAAAGAACUAUCUUCACAAUUUUCAGACUCCCAGAGAGAUUUGGAACUUCAGUUAGAUACUGAGAGUACGACAGAUCGAUAACUUGUAAGUUGACAAGUAUCUGCAACAAAUCAAAUAGAAAUAUAAAGAAUUAAUAUAGUUUCUACACUUGAUUUUAUACAAGAAUUAAAAUAGGCAUAUAAUAUAAUAUACCUCGUCUUCUUUCCAAAGCUUCACAACUUUGCUAAAUCGCAUAUGAAGCUCAACUAGAUUUUGCGGACAAAAAUUUGACGGCAAAGAUUCCAGUGGAUAUUUCAACCAGUAAAGAUAACAAAGAGAAUCGGGAAGGUCUAGAGAAGCGGGGAAUUGGUAGCCACCAACCGCAAUUAGCAUUAUUAGGUUAGACAUCUUUUUGAAGUCUGCACGUUCCAAUGGUCGCUUUUGAAUCUCAAAACAAUUAGCAAAUAUGGCUUCAACAUUUGGAGUUUCCUGAGAAUAAGAAGAAAGUUUAAAUGUGAAUAUAAACAUGUUAAAAUGUAAUGCACAUUUGGAAAAAGAGUAUUUCCGAUGGUAAUGAUGUACAAGUGUCUUAGUCUAGUCAAACAUCCAAGAUAUUUGGUUCAUAUUCCAAAGACUUCCUAACACAAUAAAAAUUCAAUCAAAUUCAUCUUUUAACAAUCUGACUUCUUUACUAGUUUUACUUUGUUCUGUUAUCAUCUAAAGUUUGUAAAUUUUUUUCCUAAAAAAAAGAAAAUAAAAAAAUUGAAUGCAUUUAGCAGCUCUUACCGUGUUACUCUUCAGUACACGAUAGACAUCCCCAUCAUUGAACAACCUACUCCAUUUACCGGGAUCUUUAAUACAUUGUUCUUGAACAAUUCUCCUUCCCAUUUCUUGUAGCGAAUCAUGCAUCUCUAUGGUUUGCCAUUCCGAACCAAUUGAUAUGAGAGACAUAUCAAUGAGAAUUCUAACUCCGCCUGUCGCAAAGAAUCCGCGAACAUCUAACAUUCGUUUUACCUUACGCACAACCCACCCCUUAUAAAAACAUGCUAUAUCCAGAAAUAUCUCCUUCUCAUUUUUUUCUAAUCUAUCAUAACUUAUUCUCAACACUUUCUGGAUAUCUCCACUGAAAAAUAGUUUCAAUUUGUUGAAUUCGUCUUCCCAGUCUUCUUUGGUUUUGCAAUUGAAGAACAAGGACCCCAUAACUGUAAGAGCUAAAGGAACACCUCCGGCAUAAUGCAAGGCCUUUUUUGCCAACUCCUUAUAAUCUAUUCUACGAGUACUGCUAUUCUUGAAAGCACGCGAACAGAAGAGCUGAAGAGCGUCAUCCGGUUUUAAUACCUCAACCUCGUAGAUAUUAUCCUCUUCAACAGUUUGCCUAAGUGUGGCCCUAUCUCUACUUGUUAUAAUAAUUCUACUUCCAGUGCCAUACCGAAGACGAUCGCCAGCUAAACGUUCCAUUUGCAUUGAACUACUCACAUCAUCAAGAACAAUGAGGACCUUUGUCCGGCUGAGCCUUUUUCGAACACUAGCUGAUCCUAUGGAUAGACAUCCUUCCCUUAAUAUCUCCUUAAGAAGUGUUUUUUCCAAGAGAUCUAGUCCAUCUACUUUUUCUGAGUUCUCUCUAACAUUCUUAACAAAACAAGAAGCUUCGAAUUUAGAAGAGAGUUUGUGAAAUACAGUUUCAGCAAGGGUGGUUUUGCCAAUACCACCCAUGCCCCAAAUACCUAAAGUGAUGCAAGCGUCCGGUGAAUGAAUGCUUAACAGCGAUUCGAUCUUCUUGAUGCGGCCUUCAAUUCCAACAUAGCCCUUUAAAUUGCAGGAUGAUUCGCGACACAAUUUGGUCCAAAUAUCCCUUACAACUUCCUUAACUAAGUCGGCAUCCGUCCUGGCAUAUAUGAUUAUGAAGAAAGCAAUAGUUAAGUCUUAAAUAUAUAUACCUUACAAAAUCUUGGCACAAAUAAAAUCGUCACAAGUUUAAAGAAAAUUUAUAAUUUUAUACAAGUUAAAGAAUUAGUUAGUUACCCAUAAUUUUUCGAAUCAAACCCAGAUAUAUCUGCUGCAUUCGUCAAAGCAUCCCUCCACUUGCGCACGUUGUCGAUAUUGUUCUCUAAACGUUGUUCAAGUAGAUCAAAUGCAACCGCAUAACUCCCCCGUUGUUUUCGUACAUCCGAUGGAAGGGUGUCGUAAAAAAUGGGUAUAACCAACUGGCCAUGUUUUUCCUUGCAUUCUAGGAUAUGCACAAGCUCAUCCAAACACCAAGUGGAAGAAGCGUAGUCUUUCGAGAAAAUGAUCACCGAAAGCUCUGAUUCCUCGAUUACUUCGAGAAGGGCAGGUGCAAUUUCAUCUCCUCUCUCAAGCUCGUCAUCAAUGUAGGUUAUGAUUUUUUUCUCAAGUAAGGCAACUUGAAGAUGGCUGGUAAAGGUACGGCGGGUGUCCUCACCUCUGAAACUAAUAAACACAUCGUUCUUUUUGGUAUCAUCAGCAUUAGCAGGAGCAGCAGCGGAUGAAAAAGAAGAAGCGACAUCCAUAACCUCUAGUUUUCAGAUCCAGCAAAAAGAUGUAGUUGCAGAGAGAUUAAUUGUUAAUUAAAGAGUCAAUAUUAUUACGUUGCACCGAAUUAAGGAGAAUUUACUUAAAAUUGGCACAAAGUUUCAAUGAGUGAGAGAUGAACGAAGGUAGAAAAUGGGGCACAUGAUAGGCACAUAUUUUCUUCGAAAAAAACUAUAAUUUAAAGAAAGAUAUUCAUAUAUUUGCAAUCUUGAUAUGAACGACGUCAUCUCAGCAUGUAAAACUAACAGAAGUUGAAAACCAUAAAAUGAUAUAAAUGCAAACCUUUUCUCCUUGCUUUGCUCGCCUCACAAUCAGUAUCAUCAUCGUCACCUGAUCGAUUCCUGCAGGUGAAGUUUUGGUUAUGUUUCGUAUAGUCAAUAAACAUAAAUCCGAUUAUUACGCAUACCAAAAAAUACCACACAAAAAGGAUGCCAAAAAUAAACUCGAGACCUCUUUCUUCUGUUCUCUUCCUUGUUUUCUAUUUCCAUUUGCGCUUUCUCUUUCAAUCUUUUGUAUGAAGCUUUUCAAGAACCUCUGUUAAGAGAACCGUUUAAUCCAAACGUCAAACGAAAGACAAUUGAUCAAGAUGCGAACAAAACAAAGUGACAUCCCGUGACAGGUCCCCAGCGAAGAAAUUAACAGCAGACAUAACAAAAAUUAGCAAAUUGAAUGCCAGCAUAACAUAACAACUAAACUUUCUAUUAAAAAGAAAUGACAAAAAAAUACAGAAAGAGCCUUAAAUACUGACUAACCUCUGACAAGUUACCAAUUUGACAAUGGCUUGUUUGUUUUUUCCACCUUCAAAACAAGAAAACUUCACCUUCAAAAUAAUAUAUCCAAAACAAUUACUUUUUUGUAUCAUCAGCAGGAGAGGCAGCAGAUGACGACGAAGAAGAAGAAGGCAUAUCCAUAACCUCUAGUUUUCAGAUCCAGAAGUAGUAGUUGCAGAGAGAUUAAUUGUGAACAGAGAGAAAGAGAGACUGAUUCAAAAUUAAGGAGGAUCUAAUGAAACAGGAAAGAGAGAGGGGGAGAGGGAGAGGGAGACUAGUUCAGAUUUUACUUGAAUUGGCUUUUGACUAGAUCCACAAAGUUUCAAAGGCUCUUCUGAAAAUGAUACGAGUAAUAGACGACCAGUUACUAAAGCAUGAAAAGGGGCACAUGGGAUGGGCCCUCCCUUUACGCACAUGGUUUUGAAUUUUCUUGAUUAAUCAAUUUCUUUCAAGAAAUUUCCAAACAAUUUCCGAGCAGCUUCGGUUGAGGACAUUUUUAUAAUUUCCUAAAGAAAAUAUGUGAAUUCCACGCUACAAGAUCAACUCAUUAAAUUAUUAAUAAAAAAUCUUUACAACUAUUAAUCUCUCUGCCAUAUUAUAAUCAAAUCAAAUCAAACCAAACGAAUCUUAAUAGUUAAAGAAAACUAAUGAAAAAACUUCAAAACUUUAAAAUUUAAGGAAAACUAAUGAAAAUGGUUUGAAAACUUUGAGUUUGAAUGAUAAAGACAAAAUAAAAGGUAAAGUGAAUAGUACUAGCAUUGACUUUUUAGUGUAAAAAUAUGGUUUUUCGUUAAAGUGAACAGUACCGGUGCUUUUCGUUAAAAUUCCCUAAAAUUUAACCAAAUUAUCUCACAUGUAGCAGCUCUAUCUAUAAUUAUUCUGCAGUUGUUUUAUAUAUGCACGACGUCGUUUCUUGGAAGAUCAUGGAUUUAUUCGUAUUGGUUUAGUCACUAGAAUUUUUUAAUUUUUUAUUUUUGGACAAAUAGUCACUGGAAUUUAAUUUGUCUGUUUUACCGCCAUGUAGCCUUUGGGUAAAGCCUCGUCAAGGAUGCUGACACAUGCUUCUGGAAAACCCAUGGAAAAUAAUAUUUUCCUAAAAGAAUAGUAUUUAAUGGAAAAGGUAUUGUAUAGACGGGAGAUAUUAGGAAUCGGAUCCCCUCCUGAGCUUAGGAGAUGCCUCGUGAACAACUUAUUCGGACCAUUGAAAUUUGAUUCAAUGACUACAAUUAUUAUAAUUUUAAGAGAAACCUCUUAUUUGUAGUUGUUGAAUUAAAUUUCAUCUAUACGAAUAGUUUGCUCACAAGUCCGAGAUAUUAAUGCACCGGACCGUUGGAUUGGCUUUUGGAGUUGUCGAGGAAAGCGAGCGGUUGGAAUUAAGGAGGAAGAUAUCUCGAGGCCACAAAAGAAAAUGACAAAUGCCGUAGGGAUGAGAGAGAGAGAGUAACUAAGUGGUGUGACAAAGCCAAACCAGUAGAUUCAUGCCAGAGGCGGUUAGUACGGUGUUGAAGGUGGCAUUGAUAUGUGAACUCGAGAACUACGAUCUCGUUCCCGCCGAUAACUUGUCAUACCAUAUUUAGUCUAAGAAAUAAUCAAUGCAUCCUAAUUGUGUUUAGUUUGAAAAAUAAGUGUGUGUUCAGUUUUAAAAAUAAUUUAAUGUCCACAAUUAAAUAAUAAGCAUGAAAAUGACUAACAAGGUAACACAAACUGCUCAAUUCAUCCAAUAUUUAGAAAAUAAUUGAAAAUUUUCAUGGUCAAAUUAAUAUGGAAAAUCAUAAUUAAAUAAACUCGAUUGUUUCAACUGCUCAUUCUGACGAAGCAGCACUAGUUCGACAUAUUGCUUCUGAUGAUAAUUAUUAUAUAUCAGUGUUGCAAAUUAGCAAGGUAUAGUGCCUUCAGACUUAAAUUCACCACUUUCAUAACCUUCUCGAUCAGUACCUUCACCUUCUCCGUCAGUACCUCCUUCAUCAACUCUCAAUAUCACCAAAAUUCUAAAUGACUAUCCAGACUUCAUACGAAUUUUUUUAUUUGGCCUAAACUAGGGGGGGAAAAAAACCCAAAACAGAAGAUGUACAGAACUUUAGACAUGAAUAUUUCAAGAUGUGAAUUUGAGGCCUACUACACAUCAUUAGAGAGGACUAAAUUUAUGAUCAAUAGGAUAAAAAGACAUGCAUUUUUAUAUUUUCAUGCAUAAACUUGUUGUACUCAAUGCAUUUCCAGAGGAGAAGGAAGAAGGAUACCAUCUCUUUAUCUAUUCUCUUCCAAAUUAGUAGCAUAUCUCUGGCUUUUUCGUUGCACGAAUUGUAGCCCCUCAUCAAUGUGAGAGAUCUGCUGACCUUCAAUUUCACCUACAAAGAAUAAAAGAGUCGACAGUUCAGUAUAAACACUACAAACGCCAUCUGAUGAAACCUAAACCCAAAGGUACACAAGUUUUAGAGAGAAAGUAAGGACAGAGAUAGAUAUGGGGAGGACCUUGAGCGAGGAGGCGAUUGACGGCUUCGUUGGGGAGGACCUCAGAGGAGGGAGAACGCUGUCGAAAUCUUACACGAACAAUCCUAGGUGGAGCAAAUCUUUCAAAACCAACCCCAUCCCUCCCUCCCUCCCACCCUCCCUCCGCAAUUCCCACUUCUCCCAUACCCCAAAUUCAGCAUCACCGCUCAACCCUGUCUCUUUCUCUCUCUGGAAUACCUACGCCUACUCCCUUUCUCUAUCUGCAACACUUCCCGUCAACCUCUCAGAACCAUCCCCUUGAUGUCAUCACACCAAUCACAUCCCUUUAAAUGCACAAUUACAAAAUUACCCCCAAGUUCUAUAGCCCGGUCCGUUCGAUCUGGAUUGAAAAUAGGCAAAAGAGUAACUUUAAUGCUUUCAGUGAAUCCUAUCCACAACCCACCUGACAGCCCACAUCGGGCCCAAACGACAACAAACCGAACCCGCCCAUUUUUGUGAAGCAAGGCCCAAAUGUAAAAACCCAGUGGCAAUGUAGUAAAUAAACUGAAAUCUUCAAUUCAAAUUACAGUGCCACCCCUCCUCAACUUUAGAAUAGAUAAUGUAGAUAAUGUAGUGCUCGUGUUUCAUUUCAGAAAUAAUUGUCUCCUCUUCUUUUCCCAUCCCCUUUCAUCACCUCCUACUUUCUCAGCCGUUCAUUUCAUGCCAAGUCGAUUUAAAGCUUUAUAUUUUGCCACGUUGCCAACACCCCUCACGUUUCAUUAAUGCCCAAUAUUGCGGCGCAUUUCCUGGCCCCUCCUAUCUUGCCUUACAAGCUGCCUUGUCUCUUCUUUUAUACAAUCACUCCACUAGCAAAUUGUAUAAAAUUCACCAUCUGGGUUCUGAUCCUGUGAGCUUUUUGGUUGGAUUUGAGGUGGUAAGGGGGAAGCUUCGUUUGUUUCAAUGGAGAGUGGAGGAGGUUCUGCUAGUGGGUCAUUGGGUAAGUCACAGUUGUCCAGGAAAAAGAGUUUUGCCAUGUCUCAUGAGGACUCUUCUAACCCUGAGGGGUAUGGACUUGUUCUCUAUCUUAGGUUGAGCUGUGGUGGUGGUGGUGGUAAAGGUAAGAAAAUUAGGGAUGAGUGCUAUUGGUGACCUGGCGAAAUCUAGAGUUUUAAAUCAACUUAGCAUGAAAUGAACAGUUGAGAAAGUAGGAGGGGAUGGGAAAAUGAGCGGAGACAAUCUUGGUCCGUUGCCAGUGGCAUUGAUGUGUGAGCUAGAGAACUACGCUCUCGUUCCCGCCGAUAACUUGCUCUCGUUCCCGCCGAUAACUUGUCAUACCAUAUUUACUUUAAGAAAUAAUCAAUGGACGCUAAUUGUGGUUAGUUUCAAAAAUAAGCCUGUGUUCAAUUUUAGAAAUAAUUUUAGCGACUUGAUGCUGGUGGAAAUGUGUUCUGAAUUAGCUUGAUUUUGAAUUUGUAGUCUAAUUGUAGUUGAAGUGGUAAAUGUGAGAUCGGGAUGUCUUAAUUCCCUUAUCUAAGCUGAGAUUUUUUUUUCGUGUUAGUAUAAAUACGGAAUUGAUGUUCAAAUGGUAGAAAAUAAGUAGAUGAAGGAUUUAUACUACAGUAGGGGAGGUUGAGAGGGCUAUGUUAUCAGGUCAUUAAUUUACUUUCCGGUGUAUCCGUUUGACCUUAGGUGGUAAGCAGACUUUAGAAAUGUGUUAUAUGAUGACUAUGAAAUUAUGUAGCAGUGAAAACCUGCAGCAUAAGAUGACUAUGAAAUAGUUAGCAUUGUCGCAAACAGGGGAAAUGUUCUUGGGUCAUGAUCAUAUCGACAAAUAGGUUCUUGAAGCUGUAUACUUGUUUUGCUGAAGGAAUUUCCAUAUAAAAUGAUAACUGGGGGCAUAUUAUGUUAACUAAUGAUUAUACGAAUGCACUUUCUCAUUAUCUUUUUGUAACAGAAGUUUGGAUCUGUUCUAGCUUAUAAUGGUUGCUUAUAUUUAUUGGCAGACAUGGGCACAUGCAGACCAAAGGCAGACUGGUUUCCUUGGUCGGGCAAAGUUUAUACUACAGUUAGUGAGGAAAAGCAGCAGGCCAACCAGCAGACACCCAGAGUACCAUAAUUGGAGAAACAUCGUAAACCAACCGAGUACAUAGGAGGUUAACUCACUGAACUCAAAAUUCAAAGAGGCAAUCGAAGCUGAUAAAAAGGUACUUAGAACUUCAAUGUUUCUCCAAUUUUUUCAUAGGAAACCUAAUAAAAAGAGCUUGACUUUUUAACAAUAAGAACAAAAUAAAGGGUAAAGUGAAUAGUAUCAUGAUUGACUUUUUAGUGUAAAAAUAUGAUUUUUCGUUAAAGUGGACAGUAUCAUCAGCUUUUCGUAAGUUCUAUUUUUUCAUCUCUUGAGCAGCAAAGUUAUGUGUGCAUGUAAUUUUUUGACAAGUGUCAAAUCAUAACAAAUAUCCCAAAGACUGGAGAAAGAAAUUUUUGAUGCUAGAGAGAAUUGAAUAUUUCCAGAUCAAAAUAGUUCAGUCAUCGAACUUGUAAUGUAUUUUUUGUAUUUCAUUUCUUUAUAUAUGCAUCUCGCUUUUUCUUCAUUCUUUUUUUCCUUCGGCUUGUAGCGCAACAUAUGAUUUUUCUCUUAAUUUUGGAAUGUUCCUAGUUCUAUUGAAGCGAAGACCUGUAUAGUUUUACUAAAUGCACAGCAGCUCUUCUUCUCUCUGUCAGGAUGCUUAUUGCUCCAACUAAGAAUAUGACUUAGUUUUAAAAGAGCGUAAACCUGCAAGAGGAGAGGCCACUCUAUAUAUACAAAUACAUAUAAUCCUUCUCAUCAUAGCAUAAGAACUCCCUAUUAGAAUCCUUGUAGAAAACAACUUAUGUUUCCUAACUUAUAUCAGUUUAAUGCCAUAACUAUAUCCUUUACAUAAGAAUUAGCAUACAUCUUCUCAUAAGGCUUUCUUAUUCGAAUUGGUCUUAAACAGCCAAAGUCACACCAAAAAUCUUUGUUUCAUAACCUCUACAUACAACACUACUCCAUUUACCGGAUCCUUUAAUACAUUGUUCUUGAACAAUUCUCCUUCCCAUUUCUUGUAGCGAAUCAUGCAUCUCUAUGGUUUGCCAUCCCGGUUUUGAACCAAUUGACACGAGAGACAUAUCAAUGAGAAUUCUAACUCCGGCUGUCACAAAGAAUCCGCGAACAUCUAACAUUAGUUUUACCUCAUGCAUAGGCCACCCUUUAUAAAAACAUGCUAUAUCCAGAAAUAUCUCCUUCUCAUUUUUUUCUAAUCUAUCAUAACUUAUUCUCAACACUUUCUGGAUAUCUCCACUGAAAAAUCGUUUCAAUUUGUUGAAUUCAUCUUCCCAGUCUUCUUUGGUUUUGCAAUUGAAGAACAAGGACCCCAGAACUGUAAGAGCUAAAGGAACGCCUUUGGCAUAAUGCAUAGCCUUUUCUGCCAACUCCUGAUAAUCUAUUCUACGAGUUCUGUUAUUCUUGAAAGCAUGCGAACAGAAGAGCUGAAGAGCGUCAUCCGGUUUUAAUACCUCAACCUCGUAGAUAUUACCCUCUUCAACUGUUUGCCUUAGUGUGCCCCUAUCUCUACUUGUUAUAAUGAUUCUACUUCCAAUGCCAUACCGAAGACGAUCGCCAGUUAAACAUUCCAUUUGCAUUGAAUUACUCACAUCAUCAAGAACAAUGAGGACCUUUGUGCGGCUGAGCCUUUUUUGAACACGAGUUGAUCCUAUGGAUAGACCUUCUUCCUUUAAUAUCUCCUUAAGAAGUGUUUUUUCCAAGUGAUCUAGUCCAUCUGUUUUUUCCGAGUUCUCCCUAACAUUCUUAACAAAACAAGAAGCUUCGAAUUUAGAAGAGAGUUUGUGAAAUACAGUUUCAGCAAGGGUGGUCUUGCCAAUACCACCCAUGCCCCAAAUACCUACUGUGAUGCAAGCGUCCGGUGAAUUAAUGCUCAAUAGCGAUUCGAUCUUCUUGAUGCGGCCUUCAAUUCCAACAUAGCCCUUUAAAUUGCAGGAUGAUUCCGGGCUUUGGUCCAACUUUAACUUUCCUUAACUAAGUCGGCUCCGUCCUAGCAUAUAUGAAUGAAGGAAGUAAUAGUUAGUCUUAAAUAUAUAUACCUUACAAACUCUAGUAGCAAAAUAAAAUCACAAGUUCAAAGAAAAUUUAUAAUUUUCAAGUCAAAGAAUUAGUUAGUUUAACUAUAAGUUUUUGAAUCAAAAUUCCUGAUAAUAUCUGGUGCAUUCCUCAAAGAAUUCCACUUGCGCACGUUGAUCUGAUUAUUCGAACGUUGUUCAAGUAGAUCAAGUGCAUAAUUCCCCCGUUGUUUUUCGACACUCCGAUGGAAGGUGUCGUAAAAAUGGGUAAUAACCAACUGGCCAUGUUUUCCUUUCUAGGAUAUGCACAAGCUCAUCCAAACACAAGUGGAAGAAGCGUAGUCUUUUUUCGAGAAAAUGAUCACCGAAAGCUCUGAUUCCUCGAUUGCUUCAAGAAGGCAGGUGGUUUUCAUCUUUCCCUUAAGCUUGUCAUCAAAUAUAGGUUGUGAUUUUUUCUCAAGUAAGGCAGCGUGAGGUGGCUGGUAAAGGUACUGCGGGUGUCUCUACACCUCUGAAACUAAUAAUAAAUUACUCGUACUUUUUUUGUACAUCAGCAUCAAACAGAGCAGCAGCGGAUGAAGAAGAAAGACGCGAUAUAUCCAUUAACCUCUAGUUUUCAGAUCCAGCAAAAAAGAUGUAGUUGCACAGAGAGAUAUAAUUGUUAUUAAAGAGACAUAUUAUUAAACGUUUACCGAAUUAAGGAGAAUUUACUUAGUAAAAUUGGCACAAAGUUUCAAUAGUGAGAGAUAACGAAAAAGUAGAAAAUGGGGGCACAUGAAUAGGCACAUAUUGUUUUCUUUGAAAAAACUAUAAUUUAAAGAAAGAUAUUCAUAUUUUUCAUUUUUCUUGUGAAUGAACGACGUCAUCUUCAGCAUGUAAAACUAAAAGUAGUUGAAACCAUAAAAUGAUAUAAAUGCAAACCUUUUCUCCUUGCUUUGCUCGCCUCUCAAAAUCAGUAUCAUCAUCGUCAACUGAUCGAUUUCUGCAUGUUUCGUAUAGUCAAAAAACAUAAAUCAUUAUUAUUAUAUGCCCCAAAAAAACACCACACAAAAAAAAGGAUGCAAAAAAUAAACUUGAGACUCUUCUCUGCCUUCCGGUUUUCUUUCCCGGGUUGAAUUUUGAAAUUCAGAAUCUGUUAAGAGAACAUAACAAAAAUUAAUUAAUUAAAAAAAUAAAUGUAAAUCCGCACAUAACACGACAACAUAACAACUAAAACUUAAAUUAAAUUAAAAAAAAAAAAGAUAAUUUGAAAUAGGUCCAAUUUUAUAACCUACUUUUGAAACAGGUACAAUUUUUGUGUGAUAUUAAUUUUUAAAAUAGGUCCAAUUUUUAGUACUGUUUCAAAAGAAAUGACAAAAGAUAUAGAAAGAGCCCUUAACAGUAUCAGUAAACAUUAAACACUGACUAACCUCUGACAAGUUACCAAUUUGACAAUGGCGUGUUUGUCUUCUCCACCUUCAAAAUAAGAAAACUUCACCUUCAAAAUAAUAUAUCCUCAUCAGCAGGAGCGACAGCGGAUGACGAAGAAGAAGAAGAAGAAGAAGGCAUAUCCAUAACCUCUAGUUUUCAGAUCCAGGAGUAGUAGUUGUAGAGAGAUUAAUUGUGAAUAGAGAGAAAGAGAGACUGGUUCAAAAUUAAGGAGGAUACAAUAAAGCGAGAGGGACUAGUUCAGAAUUAAGAAGGAUCUAAUGAAACAAACGAGAGAAAGGGAGAGGCAGACUAGUUCAGAUUUUACUUGAAUUGGCGUUUGACUAGAUACACAAAGUUCCCAAAGGCUCUUCUGAAAAAGCUACGGGUAAUGGACAGACCAGUUACUAAAGCAUGGAAAGGGGCACAUGGAAAGGGGCACAUGGGAUGGGGCCCUCCCUUUACGCGCUUUGCCCACACGGUUUUGAAUUUUCUUUGAUUAGUAUCUCACCAAUUUCUUUCAAGAAAUUUCCAAACAAUUUGCCAGCAGUUUUGAUUGAGGACAUAUCUAGAAUUUCCAAAAGAAAAUAUGUGAAUUCCACACUGCAAGAUUAUAGAGCGCUGAGAAUACAGUUGUUCACCAAUGGAGAUUGAACAGAAUUUGGAAUCUGUAUUUCCGUGCACAAAUGACAAAUCAACUUAUUAAAUUAUUAAUAAAAAUCUUUAGAGUCACACUCAUUUUGUUUGACUUCAUCAUAAGAUGUUACACAAUCGUUACAACUAUUAAUCUCUCUACCAUAUUAUAGUCAAAUCAAAUUAAACGAAUCUUAAUAAUUAAAUAACACUAAUAAAAAAGAUUUCAAAACUUUGAAAUUUAACCAAAGAAUGAAUCUUACACUACAAAAUCAUGGGCAGGGUAAAGCUUCAUAUAGCAUCUUCAAGCUCAGAAGAGAUGAAUAGUUAGGGCUUAUUGCCAGUUAUCUCAUUUUUUUCAAAAAUAAAAGUAUAUAAUUGUCAUAAAUGGAGAUCGAAUAAGAUUUGGUAUCUGUAUUUCCAAGCACAUGUAACAAAUCAAGUCAUUGGAGUCUCAAACUCAUUUAGUUUAAUAUUACCUAACACAAUCAUUAAAACUAUCUAUCUCACCACUAUGUUAUGUUAAAGAUCAAACUAAAAAAAUCUUAAUAAUUAUUCAUUAAUAAUUUAAUGAAUUAAUUUGCCCACUUCUACUUCCAAAGCUUUCGAAUUGGCUUCAGGAAUUUCAAUGAGGGACACAUGAACGGUCGUAAAAGUAUAAAAGGGGCACAUGGGAUGGGCCCCUCCCUUUACGCUCUUUGCGUGCACGGUUGUAAAGUUUUCUAGUUCAAUGAUCAGUUUCUUUCAAGAAAUUUUCAAACAAUUUCAAUUGAUGACAUUUUUAUAAUUUUCACACUACAAAAUUACUGAGGGCUAAGAAUAUAGUUAUUCACCAAUUGAGAUUGAACAAGAUUUGGAAUCUAACUUUCCGAGCACAAAUGACAAAUCAAUUUAUUGAAUUAUAGAGUCUCAACCUAUUUAUUUGAUCUCACCAUAAAUAGAAAGAUAAAAAAGGGCACAUCCUCAUGAGUUCUUAACCUUCACUAAAGCUUACAAGUCACAACUCACAAGUCAUCCGUGCAUAAUUUUUUUUUGACAAUGUUAAGGGGACUAAAUUUGUAGAUUAAACUUUGUAAACUAAAUGAUAUGAAAGUUGAUGAUUUGAUUAUUACUUAAGCGUUGAUUAACGUGUUUUUUUAUUAGUAACACGUCAUUUAUUUUGUAAAUUUAGUCUCUCUAGCGUUACUCUUCUUAUUUUCCAUCCACUAGUUUCAACUUUGAUAAGCAAACCAUCAAUGAAACUUAAUGUUGACAAAGACAGCUAACCUAGACCUAGUGGGUCACCAUAGCACUUAGGUUACGUACUUGUUCAACCAUUAUGUAAGGGGUGGAUUGGCUUUAUGAUUGAGGGUAUUUCUCUUUAACCAACUAUAUGUCAAUUCAAACCCUCCCACCUUCUCUUAAUAGAGACUACUAUAGAAUAUUGCUUGUAGUUUUUUUUUUUUUUUUUUUUUAAAAAAAAAAAAGCUCUUUCUCGUUCAAUUUUCGUAUUUUGCAUGUUUUAUGUACAAAGCUUUGAACAUUCCCAGUUAGUGAUCAAUUUCUUUAAAAGAAAUUUCCAAGCACUAUCGAUUGACUACCUUUUUAUAAUUCCUAAAAAAUAAAAACAAGUCAAUUUUACACUACAAAAUCACAAAGGGCUAAGAAUAUAGUUCUUCACUUUUGGAGAUUGCCUAAGAUUUGGAAUCUAUUUUUAUAGACUAUCGAGAGGUCAUAAGAAGGAAGCGGGAUUCUCUCAUCUCUUUUUUUCCCCUCCCCUUCCCUCACCUCCUAAUUGUACAAUCACGGUUAAGCUACGUCAACAUCUUAUAUUAAUUUUUUAUAGCAAGAGAAAGAUAAAAUAAGAGAAUGUAAGAGGAGAAGAUGAAAGAUGAUGAAAAUAGGAGGGGAGAUAAUCCUAGUCUCAUAAGAAGGCCUAGAACUUAGUUGGAAAGUAAGCAAGAAAAACUUGUGUGGAAGUGAUUAAUCAUGUUAUUCAUAUCAGAGUAACUUUUAUGCCAAUGUAACAUUCCUGUGAUGACACGUAUUUUCAAAAUGUAUAUAUAAUUAUUAAAAAGAGUUUAUCAGCUUGCCAUCGAAACCAACCAAUUAGAAAUCAGCUACAUCAGAAUCGGCCGCAGAAGACGAAGAAGAUAUGGUAAAGGUCUGCAGUUGAUGUAAAACAAAGUUCCGAUGGCGAUGACAAUAAUGUUGAAAACUUGCAUACAAUCAAUUCGUAGUCAUUAUUACGUUAUGGGGACAAAGUUACUUUAAAGAAUAUUUGAUCAUUGAUAAUGCUCCCACGGGCUUUAUGGUUGUGGCAAACACACAGGCUUUAUGGUAGUGGCUUCUGGCUAGUGGCAAGCAUACAGUAGCCAGUAGGCCCACCUUCCCGGCAUUAUGCGCUUUUUAUCUACAAAUUUAACUUGGUUGCUCCAUCUACUCAUUUCAUCUUUAAUCAGCAGAGCAUCCAACCGUAGCAGUAAGGUGACGCACUUAGUUGUCCGUCAUUGCUUGUAAUUAUACAAAAACAAAAAGAAAAAGCAAGCACUUUCUCAUUCAAUUGGUAUAUUUACACGUUUUACGUACAAAUUUUUAACCUUCUUAAUUAGUGAUUAAUUUCUUUUACGCAGAAUUUUUAAUAUUUUCAAUUAGUGACUAAUUUCUUUUAAGAAAUUUCGAAACACUUUUGAUCUAAUACCUUUUUAUAAUUCUUAAAAAACAAAAACAAGUCAAUUGCAUACUAAAAAAAUCAUAGAGGGCUAAGAAUAUGGUCCUUCACUAUUAGAAUAUUGCCUAAGAUUUGGAAUCUGUCUUUCUAGGAUUAUUGAAAGGUCAUAAGAGAGCCCAGAACUUACCCUAAAAACUAAACCUUUAAAAAAUAAAGUUUUCCUAAACUUAUAUAAUGACAAGUUGUGUAUUAUCAGUAUUUUUAGCACAAUGAAAAAUUUCUCGAAAAUUUGGAGUGACAAAGAUUAGUCACUUUCACGUAUUUAAUUUUUUUUUCGAUAAUUGAUAAAGCUACUACUUUAAAAUUUUCGACUAAAGGUAAUGCUAAGAGAUAAAUUUGUAAAUAAAAUUUUGAAAACUAAAUGAUAUGGAAGUUGAUGAUUGAUUUAUUACUUAUGAGUUGACAAAUGUGGUGACACACCAUUUUAUUUUCAAAUUCAAUCUCAUAACAUUGCCCUUCUUUUAAAUAUGCUUAAUAAAAAGAAAAUUUUGUCCAAAAACAUUUACUGUAAGGCACCUUUCAAUAAAAGUAUAUGCACGUUCCGAGAAAAUCAUCAGAGAUUACACACAAGAAAAACAUAGAAAAAUAUAAAGAUGAAAUUGCGCAAGCACUUUCAGAAGAAAAGUUUAUAAUAUAUCCCGGUCGAGGACAUAAAGAAAGAAAGGUGAAAUUAAGAACGAAUGGAUGUGAUAUCCACACAUUUUUUUUUACUUCUCCUACUUUGUUUUAGUUUUCGACUGUCAAAUCGGAUGAAUUGAAGAAAAUCAACGGACAUAAAUUAACCAGAGGUAUAUGAGAAGUAAAAAAUGAAGUGUGGAUAGCACAUCCCAAUAAUGAAUCCAGCUCCUCCGCAAGCGAGGAAGUUUCCUAAUGCAAGUGGAGGACACAUUCAGCCAAUAUUCAACUUAGUAAAUGUGUAAUAAUCAAAAAUAGUAAAUGGUCAUAAAAGGGGCACAUAGUAUGGGGUCUCCCUUUACGCGCUUAUUCUUUUUAGACAUAACCAAAUAAAAAAUAUAUAUAUAUACCACAAAAGAGUCACUAAAACGGUUAUUGCAAGUCAAUCACACACUUUUAAUUAUGUCAUAAAAUCUCAUGGUAAUUAUGUCCUUGACUUUUGUACAAUGAAUAGCUUUAUAAGCCACUGACUAGAAUUAAAAUCCAUUUUUCUCUUCUUUUUUUCUGAAAAAAUAAAGGUUUGUUGUAGACUUAUUUAAUUGAACUAUAUUAAGGGGUAGAGAGAGGGGGGCUGGCAGUAGCAAGAGAGAGAGAAGAGAGAUUUAAUUGUGAGGUGUGUGUUGUAUAAUCCUAUUAUGCCUUUAUUUAUUGUAGUAGAAUAUGUAAAAAUCUUACCCUAUUAGGAUUACAACUCUUAAUAAGUAAUCAACUCCUAAAAGGAAUACUAGAGAUACUAAAAUAAAAGAAUAUCAGCGUUAUGUGCUUGGUGUUAUCUCCCUUGAUGUAUCCCUUCUUUAACUGCUCAAUACAUGUUGCAUUGUCUUCAAAGACCGUCGUAGGAAGGUCAACGACAGAAGUAAGACCACUAGUGCUUCGAAUAUAUUCCAUGAUUGCUCUCAACGAAAAACACUCACAUGAUGCUUCAUGCAGGGCGAGAAUCUCAACAUGGUUCGAAGAAGUCGCAACUAGCGUUUGCUUGGAGAAUCCCACACUGUUUUGAAUUUUCCUUGAUUAGUAUGUCACCAAUUUCUUUCAAGAAAUUUCCAAACAAUUUCCAAGCAAUUCGAUUGAGAACAUUUCUAUCACCAAUUUCUUUCAAGAAAUUUCCAAACAAUUUCCAAGCAAUUUCGAUUGAGAACAUUUCAAUAAUUUCCAAAAAAAAAAAAAUGUGAAUUCCACACUACAAAAUUAUAGAGGGCUGAAAAUAUAAUUGUUCACCAAUGGAGAUUGAACAAGAUUUGGAAUCUGUAUUUCCAAGCACAAGUGACAAAUCAACUCAUUAAAUUAUUAAUGAAAAAUCUUUAAAGUCUCAGACUCAUUUUGUUUGAUUUCAUCAUAAGAUAUACACAAUCAAACUAAACGAAUCUUAAUAGUUAAAAAAAAAAAACUAAUGAAAAACCUUCAAAACUUUGAAUUUUAACCACAGUCAGCAACUCUGUCUAUAAUUAUUCUGCAGUUGUUUUAUAUAUCCAGGACGUCGUUUCUUGGAAGAUUAUGAAUUUAUUCAUAUUGGUUUAGUCACUGGAAUUUUUUUUUUUGAACAAAUAGUCACUGGAAUUUAAUUUGUCUGUUUUACCGUCGUGGAGCGUUUGGGUAGAGCCUCGUCAAGGAUGCAGACACUUGCCUCUAGAAAAUCCAUGGAAAAUAAUAUUUUCCUAAAAGAAUACUAUUUAAUGGAAAAGGUAUUGUAUGAGAUAUUAAUGCACGGGACCGUUGGAUUGGCUUUUGGUGUUGUCGAGGAAAACGAGCGGUUGGUAAUUGAGGAGGAAGAUAUCUCGAGGCCACAAAAGAAAAUGACAAAAGCAGUUAGGGAUGAGAGAGAGAGAGAGGGUAAUUGUAAUGUCAGUGGUGAGUGAGAAUUGAAUAGUUAUAAAAGUGUACGAAGGGGCACAUGGGAUGGGCCAUCCCUUUACGCUUUUUGCGUUCACGGUUGCAAAGGUUUCCAGUUAGUCAGUGAUCAGUUUCUUUCAAAAUUUCCAAACAAUUUCCAAGCAACUUCGAUUAAGGAUAUUUUUAUAAUUUUCAAAAGAAAUUAUUGAAUUUUACACUACAAAAUCAUAGAGAACUAAGCAUAUAGUUGUUCAUCAAUUGAGAUUGAACAAGAUUUGGAAUCUUUCUUUCCAAGCACAAGUGACAAAUCAAUUCAUUGAAUUAUAUAGUCUCAUCCCAUUUAGUUUGAUUUCAUUAUAAGAUAGACACAAUCAUUACAACUAUCAAUCUUACUACCAUAUUAUAGUGAAAUCAAACUAAACAGAUAUGAAUAGUUAUCCAUUAAUAAAUAUUCAACUGGUUAGUUUGUCACUUCUAUUUCCGAGGCUAUCAAAAGGUCCUAAGAAAGUCCAGAACUCCGCCUGAAUAUAUGUGCCUUGGCCAAAGUAGGAGAGUCAUGAUUCCCUUCGAAUCCUCAUUGUGAGGAUCGUAGGGAUCAAUCAACCUUAGCUGCUCAUCACAUAUCCUGCAGCUGAAAAUUAUUAUGCCAUGUAGAAAUAAUUAAAAAUUCAAAUGAUUUAUUGCUGUAGGAUGUGUGGUGAGUGGCUAGGAUGGUUGAUCCAGGAUCCUCACAAUCAAGAUCUGGAGGGGAUCCUGAUCAUUCAACUCUGAUCAGCAGACCAUCUAAUGAAAAUGAUCCUCUUCGGAUCCUCUUUGUGAGAAUCCUAGGGAUUCUCACAUCCUAUCCAUUAAUCGUACAUCAUGCAACCAGCUUUCGUUAGAUAUAUUGUUUGUAUUUAAUUUCAAAUAAAAAAUUCAAAAUAAUUUAUGACCGCAUGAUGUAUGAUGAACGGAUAGGAAGUGAGAAUCCUUAGGAUCCUCACAAAGAGGUUCCAAAUUGGAUCCGAAUCCCAAUAAAACUUAAUCUUGACAAAGAUAGCUAACCUAUACCUGGUAGGUCAGCAUAGCACUCAUGUUACGUCUUUGUUCAUUUAUUAUAGUCCAAUAUGUCACAGUAGCGUACCAAACACAAACACUAUGCUGUCGGGUACAUAAGCUGCUUGUUGACCAUGAUAAGAGUAGAUAAUCUAAUGGGGGUGCUUAGAUUAUGAAUUAGGUUUCCUCUUAGACGAAUUUACGGAACAAUGCUUAAAUAUACAGUUGUAGCUUACAAUCUAAUAACCUAACAUGUCAUAUAUCCGAUAAACAAAUCACUCUAAUUUCUAAAUUGUAACUUUCUCUCUAAAUAGCUUCCUUCUCAGGCUUUCACCAGUACCUAUCUCUAUGUGCACGUAUUUGUUUUUCCACUUUGUACAAGUUGACAAAUCUAAAACAUGAACUUGCUAAUCACUCCACCAUCGUUCCUUUUUCCAUCCUUAAAAGAGGGGCAACAUCUCUCUUUACGUGUUCCUGCAUUGCAAAUUCCAAUUGGAUUAAAAAUUAAUCAAAAUUAAUUAUUUAGUUACUCUUUUCUAAAGCAGGAUUAAUAAUUUAAUCAAGUAACAAAUUGCAAGUUGCAAACUUGAUUUUUAUAGCCAGCGUGGAAGUAAUACAAUACAAACCUUUGCUUUAUCUUCUUCUUCUGUCUUUUCUUUGGUUAAACUAAGAGUCGGUGGAGAAGAUGGUGAGCAAUCUGACAUAUUAUAUUUACAAUACAUGUAUGUUUUGCACUGAGUUUCGCUUUUGAAAGAGAUGUGAUUAAUAAAGCGAUCGGAUGUAUGUCAACAAUGCAGUCAGAUUUAUGUCAAUAAUGUGGUCAGAUGUAUGUAUAACCUUCAGCAUUAUUAAACUUUGCGGUUUUGGAAAUUUGUGUUUGGGAUCUUUUACCAACUAGUUGUGGUUUACAAGGGGCGAUAUUCAAACUUAUAUGCAAAGAUAUAAACAUACUGUCCUGUCUGCAUGAGCUAACACGCAUUUGCUGCUCUUUUAUUUGUUUUUGUUACUUUAGUUGUUGCUUUUAGACCAAUUAAUAAUUCAGACAGCUAACUGUCAGUAAAAUAAGUUCAAAAAUACUACCAUCCAUCCACACAUAAUUACUCAAAAUAUUGGCUAAAGGAAACAAUAAUUGAAAAUAAUUCAAAUUUAAAUCUCACAAAGGUCGUAUGGUAGGGUCUAAUAAUAGAAAAGAAUUAAGCUCUACAAAGCAUAAUCCUCCUAAUUUUUUUUUUUUUUGGAUAAACUGGAAUCGAUUAAACCAGGGCACAGAAGCCACAAGAACAACAGAAGCCUACCCAGAGGCAAACAGCAGAGACAACCUGGUAAUGCAAGGGGAAGAAAUACCCAGACGCAUCAAACAACAACCCGCGUCCCCCUUCCCAUUACCAAGCAAACUCAAGGAGGACAAGGGAGUCCAUCAUUACAUAAAACAUGAACCAAAGAAGAUGGAGGCCUAUUGACCCAAGUAAAAUCACACAUCUCCCUAUUUCUACGCGACGCCAAACAAUCCGCCGCCAAAUUGGCUGAUCUUGGAAUCCAAGACCAGCGACAGUCUUGAAAGGAGUUUCCAAUCAGCUUACAUUUCGUCAACACCGGAAAAGCCUCCCACCUGCCAUUUGAAGUCUUACCCAUAAGGUAAGAAAUAGAAUCCUGGGAAUCAGAUUCGAUCACAAUCAAAUUAAAUCCCAUAGCUACACCCAACUCACAGCCGUGGCGGAUCGCAAUGGCCUCAACCACUGCCGCAGAAUGCGCAGCAAAGCAACCUCUCCUAGCCGCGAUAAAGGUUCCGGCCGAGUCCCUAACCACAACCCCCGAGAAGCCCGAGAAUGUACCCUGCUCCCAACUUGCAUCGACAUUGAUCUUAACGAAAGGAGGAGGUGGGAGACACCACCGGGCAGGCACUUGAGCAGCUGGGUUGGGCAUGGAAGGUCUAAUCACCUUGUUUCUGGAAGCUUCACUGAACGCACUAACAGAGGUGUCGAUGGCAGCAAGCACAUUCCUGGGGUUAAUAGAUCCAUUUUGAAAAAGGAAAUUGCAUCUACUCUUCCAAAUGUGCCAACACGUAAAAGCCACAUAAGAUAACACCCGAUCCAACUCAGCCUUCGAAUUCAAAGUGAUAUUAGUGAUGUUGACAAGCCAAUUCACCCAAGAAGAAAUAGAACUACGAAUAAUUCUGUGACUCAACAUCCCACCGAACCAAAUCACCUCAACCCACGGACAGAGCAGAAAUAGAUGUUCAAUGGUCUCCUCGUGGAUUUUGCAAAUAGGACACAGAGGAGAUGGCGCCACCAACCUCCUAAAAAGGCCCGCCAACGUUGCCAACGCGUUAUGAACCGUCUUCCACAAGAAAACACGAAGCUCCUAAUUUUGAAAUAGUGGAGAAGGCUCAUAAAUGUGCUCGACAUGUAUGUCAUUAUUUAUUGAUUUAUCUUUUAAUAUUAUCUACUAUGGUCAUGAUUAUUUGUAUAUACGUAUAACUUAAUGUUCAUUAUUUAUAGGUGUGAGGAGCUUAAUGAUUUGCAAAAUAAUUUUUUUGUUAAUAAUACAUAUACUAAAGAUAAUACUAGGGAGAUUAAAUUUGUAAAUUAAAUUUACAAAUUAAAUAAUAUGUCAUCAAUAAGAAUGAUCACGUUUAUCAAUGCUUAAAUAAUCAAACUAUUAACUUUCAUAUAAUUUAAUUUACAAAUUUUAUCUGUAAAUUUAAUGUGAAAAUUGAACUAAAUCACCGUUCAUUCUACAGUGUUCUCGCUUAACGUUAAUUCCGAUUGUGUCCGUGCUGUAUAUUUUUUUUUUAUUAUAUUUUCUUAUUCUUCUUUCUCCGUUCUCUCUUUCCUCUAGCUCGAUGCUCUCCGCCAGUCUCUGGCUUCUCUCGUUCUCUCUCUAAAAUACCCACCCUCUAAAACUCCUUCUCUCCUCUCCUCCUCUGAGCCAGUUUCUCUAUCUAGAACUCACUCGCCACUGCCUUCUCUCUGAUGGUUCAAUCGGCCGGCGACGACUUCUACGAUUUCGGCGACGGCCAGCCUCGAGGUUGGUCUUAACCAACUCCUUAUAACUCAGGUACAUUCUGCACUUAUUGCAUGUGAAUAUCUGCCUCAAAUUUAUGAUUUUCAGUUCAAAUCCUAACUGCUGCGUUUUCCGACGAAUUUACAGAGGCGGCGAGCUCAAUUCCGGCCAGGUUGUGUCAAAUUGGGUGGUAAUAGGCUACUCGAGGCUUGAACCAGAGGAGGAGAGGAUUAGUUGUUUUCAUGGAAGGAAAAGAGCAGCAGCAGCGGAGGAGGAGUAUGCAGAGGCAAACGUGGAGGAGUGGUUGGGGUCAUCGAUGAGAAAUGUACUGUUCCACAUAACACAUAACCAUUUGUUAAUUGAACCACUUAUACGACAGGCUUUGUUCUUGAAUUUCAAUUUGUUGAUUAUUACAGGACGAUAGGUAAAGAGUGGCAUGUAAGUUAAUUCUUUAGGUUAUAUACAUAUAUAACGACUGACUCAUAUACCAAUCUAACCACUAACCUGAGGAAGACAUCGUCUCAGAAAUAGGGUAAAGAACUGAGGCUCUUCUGUGUCUCUGCACUGUCCGGAAGCAAGGCUCACUCAAUGGGGCUUGAGGAUUUCUGUAUACUUGCAGGUAUUUAGUGAGAGCACAGGGACCUCAGUUAUAUACUAUAGGUGAUGGUCUUUGAUUAGGAGUCCUCCCAUUAAGUAAACCCUAUCAAAGAUGAACUUUAUCACCGAAGAUUACUUGUGCAUAAAUCAGCUAGAAGAGUUCUAGUUUAUCUAAGAAUGUUUCUGACUUGUAUACCUAAGUAAUACAACUCCUUAUAAGUCUGCCACAUGUGAUAAAGUUAAUCUCCUUAUCGUCCCAAAAGACUUUGUACAAAUCACAAAGUGUUUGCUCUCAAAUAGAACUUACAUGGCACUUUUCUUCAUCAGUUGCAUUCCAAGCAUUACUUUGGGAGAGGUAUAGAGUCUGUAUACUUAACUUUUUAUAUUUCAAUGUACAAAUACUUCCCAAUGGAACCGCAAAAUUGGUAACAAACACCUUGAAUGCUGCAUGUCAUACGAAACCAACUAUGCUCAUACGUAUUCAUGGGUUUCUUAUGAAACAUUAAACUAUGGAUUGCUCCUUUGCUACUUGAACACAUAUUCGUUUUAUAAAGAUCAUGUCUGUGAAAAAUCAAUUUAAAUGUAUGUGAUAGUGACUGUCUUAAACUGAUAUGCUCAUGCACAUCAGUAAUUCGUAUUAUGUGUUAUAAUGGACAGCUUGAAUCCAUCUUUUCUUCGUUUGACUUGCUAAUUUUUCUUUAUUUUUCAAUUGCAUAUAGUGCAAUUCACUCUGUUUUAAAUUAAGGGGUAUAUUGAGGUAAUUUUGAGAGGAUAUAUAUAUAAAGCACUCUCUUUGUAUUAGUGUGGGUGUAUGGUAUGUAUGGCAUCGGAUUAAACCUUGAUAUUACAAAAAGUUGCUUACUUCUAUCCCCAUCGUGUUUUAUGCUGAGCUUCUGCAGAUACUUUGUUGAUUAAAGCGCUCUUUAUGCAUUGCUGUCACAAGUUUCAACGAAAUAAUUUAUGACAAGUUCUCCUUCCGUCUGAGGUUUGUUACAGACCUGAUUUCGUAUGCUCGGAGUAAUGAACUGAGGAUCUUUAUUAAUCUCAGCAUGCUUACAUAUAUUGGUACCAUGCAUGUAUAUAUGAUUAUAAGAAUAUAAACUUUGUUUAUAUGGUGUUCUAGACAAACACAGCAGUACUGCGCCUACGUUUGCGAGACCUUUUUAAUUUGAUUGAUUUCAGACGUUAGACUUUGUCCAUAUUGAAAUUAUCUUUUGAACAGUGAGCAACCAAUCUUUUGAUAACAAAGAACUUAGCUAUAAAAUCUAACUUCUAUAACCUCUGUCUUCUAUUGUAUAUUUUCACAAUAUUUUAAACACCCGCAGCAUCACGUGGGUCUUUUUGCUAGUAAUAGCUUAGAUGUGUAAAGAACACGUGAAGAUACACAUUUGCCAGGUUAUCUUGGCUUCCCUUGGAAACUCUUUUCCAUGAAAAAUCCAUUCCAUCACACAUACCACCGGAUUCAUGCUCAACUUCAAUAUCUAUGUAUUAAUAACUUACAUUUUACGUGCACGUGAACAACUAUUCUUAGCAUUUGCAAAUAAGAAGGUGCAACUAUUCAUACCAAAAAAUAGUUGAGAGCACAUAAAAUUGGCAUGUACUUGAUAAAAUUCGAGAAAUUCACCGGAGUUGCACGCUUCAAUGUAGAGUAGCCAGUGACAUACGCCAAACCAACAUAUACAGUUACAAAAUAAUGGAAACCAUACAAGGUUGUAGCUCCAAUUAAGAAUGCAUUACAUUAUGUGUCGAUGUUUAAUUAUUAUAUCAAUUAUUAGGGCCAGUUCUGUGGUUUUGGCCAAGAGAUCCCUAAUGUUUUAUUUAAUAGAUUUUUCCAUGCACAUCAAGUGAUACAACAAGUUUCAGGGACUAAUUAAAUAGCAAAAAUGAGGCGAUCAAAGGAAACAACUUACUUCUGAUAAUAAGAGCCUAAAGUCUAAACAUAAUAUAUAGGAAAAAAAUAAAACAUUACCAGGCCGUAUGCUUGCGAUGAUGCUACUUCCAAGACAGAAAGAUGAAGUAUAGGAUUGGACUGAGCAACUGCAGAACUGAUGUUUUUGCCGUAUGACAUUCCUGUUGCUGCACAAAUAAAAAGUGAUGGAGCAUGGUAGCCUCCAACUAAUCCAGAGGCUCGACACAAUGAGGUUGCACCUAUCUUGACCACUACCAACUGAAGCAACAGAUCAGCUGAGAGGCCUUUCUCAAGUGGUCGAGAUUCCAGCAAAAUGUCAACACUCUUGAAACCCGGAUAAAGAAUUUCAGGAUAUGCCAAUGCCAUCAGCCCAAUAGCCAAGCCACCCACGAUAGGGAACAAAAUUUUUGGUAGGCCAACAGUCUUGUGCAGAUUGUCAACAAAUACCAACAUGUACGAUUUGCACUUUGAUAAGGUUAACGAACCAAGCCACAUAGGACACCCAGCAAUAGAUAUAGCGGAAGCUCUGAACAUGAUUCGAAUACGUCUCAUUAUUAAAACCGCAGCUUUAAACAAUAACUUGAACAUCAACCUCUAGAUAUACUAAAGGUAUGCCUGAAAAAUUACCCAUUUGGAAUAUGCAAUGUAAAUCCAACUACCCAAAUAAUGGUAAAAUUCAGAAACCAUAUUCAGUAAAGGGAAAUCACAUUACCAGGAACAAGUAAAUACUCAGAGAUUAUGUAUUGAUGCCUUAGUCAAUUUUAGAAAUUAUUUAAAUAAAAGAACCAUGUUUUGUUCACUUGCACAUAAGGUUUUAUGUGUAUAAUUUUAAAGAAUCGACAGACGACUGAUAGUGUACCCGUUGGUGAACGGAAGUCAUAGUAUGGGACCUUAAAGGCUGCUUCAGAACCAAGAUCAACUUCUGAAACUACAGAAGCUAUCACAGCACUAUAUGACCAUAGAAGUGGUAUUCGCAAGCAAAAUGGAUGAGGAAUCUGGUGGUGAUGGCCAUAGGACUAACUCUGCGGCAAAGAAACAACCAGAAACAGCAGCAUUAAACCCUGUCAAAACAGAACAGCAACAAUUACAAUGAGGGCAAACAUGUCUUGAUAAGGGCAGCACAGACAUACACAAAACUGAAUACCAACCAGAAGCAAAUCCAGCAGCUGAUCCGGCAGCCACAAGAGAGAGCCUGCUUUAUAAACUUUUAUCAAACACAGCACCAAUGCCCUUGGCUACAGAAGUUCCAAUUUCAACGCCAAGUGUGACACAAGCAGCAAUUGCCUUGAAAAAAGGACGUGAUGCAGCCUUGAGACCAUAAAAAACCGAAACAGGCAUUCCCAUUUUCACUAAUAAAGUCUCUCCCUUUUCUCCUCCUUGCUCAUUGCCAUUGUUAUCUUGUGAACCAUUCUCAGAGAGCAUCUCGAAGCAAGUUUAAUAUGGCAACGAUUAAACCCCCCCCAGAAGCUGGAGCCAGAAUCACCUGCUUCCACGUAUCUCCCAUAAACUCCUCCCUCAGCCACGAAGCUCCCCUUUGCGGCAUCCCACCCCAGAACACAUCAUGUAUCUCAUGAACCUUCCCAUUCAUAUCAAAAUCUCAGAAAAAGCUCAAAACUUUAUGUAUAAGCAAGCAAGAAAAAAGCAAAGCAAAAAUAGGCAAUGAGUGAUGGAAGUUGAGGUUCCACCCCAAAUUGAAAAUGGGGGAGUAGCCCGACUCCUUGUAAGUCUAUGCAAGGUUCAUCGACUUUCCGACCUGGGACAGUUUUUCAUAUCCUCACGUUCCCUGUCACAUGUUGCAGCACUCAAACCAAACAGAUGGACAAGACACAUUCCUAUGUGAGACAAAUCUUCAACAUCCUCACAAUGAAUAACAAAAGCAUGUAAAGAUCACUAGCAGACUACAAUGUUAAUGUAUCUCAUGAACAUUUACAAUUUGUGUAAAAUUUCAGAUAAAAGAUCAAAACUUUGCAAACAAGCAAGCAAGGAAAGCAAAUAUGGACUAUUGAGUAAUGGGUAAAAAUCAAACAUACAGAGUGUUUGAAGAGGACGAGGCCGAUUCUGGUGAGCAGACCCACCAAGCUCGACGACAGCACUAUCGUCCAGUUCCCUCGGCCACGGCCUUGUACUCUGUUUUCAUCUUCCCCUUCUUCUUGUUCUUCUGCUUUUUGAUCGUCAUCGUUUUGUUGUUUUUGUUGCUGGGUUUGUUGGUUUUGAGGGAGGGAGAAAGGAGGUCUGAGAGUCAGAUCUCUGCCAUCUUCAUCUUCCCCUUCUUCUUGUACCCAGCACUGGCAUUUUUGGUGUUGAUUGUUGAUGGUAUGUUUACCACCUACUUUUUAGGGAUAAAAACACUAAAAAAAUAUUUGCAAAAGAAUAAGGUAGUUGUAGUAUAAACUGCUCAACUAUGGUCAUUUUCCGCAGGAAUUCAAUAAAUAAUUUGUAUUUAAACUAAUUCUUAAUUAACUAUUUGAAAACAAAGUUUGAUAAAAGGUGAUUUUAUGACUUAAAAUAAUAAAAGCGAAUUUUAAAUUAACACAAUUAAAUAAAUUGACAAAGAAAAGAAAACAAAAGAAAACGUUUUGAAAACCAAAUUGUAAAAGUCUAGGGUUUCGUCGUCCCUUUAAUAAUCCUAUAUAGAUUUAUCAAUUACUUAUGAAUUACCCAUGCAACUUUGAAGGUUAGGUUUUCCUUAUGCAUAUUCUACUUGUGACUUUCAAGCUAGAACGUAUAUCAAACAUGCAAUCUAUCUGUGGCAUUCAGAUCAAAUAUAAGCAUGCAUGACUCAUUACGUUUUGUGAAAACCCUUUGAAAAACCAUGCAAUCCCUAAGAUGUGGCAUUUGCUCUAGGUGAAAUUACAACUAUCAAUCACAAGAAGCAAUACUCAAUUCCCCGGUGGCAUUCCGACCGAAUUGUAUCCGAUUACUUAUCUAACAUUCUAAGACCAUAUCCAAUGGUUGGGCUAAAAUCCAAAUAUUUUAGCUCGGAAAAUUUAGCUUUUAGCCCAGAAACAACUUUUCUGCUCCAACCGUUUUGGCCUAAAAUUUUAGCCCGGGAUUAUUAAAGAAUGAACUUAGGCUUUUUUUCUUAAAUAAAAUUUAAAAUAAAUAAAUAAAUAUGUAGACUAUCGUAAAUUAAUUUUGUGAACAUUUUAAUUUAAAAAAAAAUAAAUUCUGAUAAAUAUUGAAAAAUCACUAAAUUUUGGGUGAAUUUUGAGUUAAAUCAUUUUUUAAUUAUUUUAGUCGUUGGAUUUAAAUUUGGGCCGUUAGAUUUUUUUUUACCGUUAGAUUUUAUUAUAUUCAAUCUCAGCCGUUGGAUUCAAUGUAUUUAAAAUAACAUAUUCUAAAAAAAUUAAAUUUGAAUCUGGACCGUUGGAUCAACCAACAGUCCUUAAAGCCCAGCCAUAGGAUCAAAAUUAUAACCUGCCAAAAUAGAGUUAAUUCCUUGAUAUAUUAGAUGAUUAUUUCUCAUUACAAGAUGAACAUAUAUAUAGGGAAAGAAAGAAGACAUAGGACCUAACUUUGCCUAACUUGCCUAACUUGCCUAACUUACCUAACUUGCCUAAUUUACAUAAAGAAAGUUGACUAGCCUAACUUCACUAGCCAUCCAAUACUCAUGGCUGCUUUUAGUUGACACUCCCCCUCAAGUUGGUGCGUAAAUAUCUCGAAUGCCCAACUUGCUGAGUGAAAGAUGGAAAAUCCUACUUGACACUGCCUUUGUUAAAAUAUCUGCUAGCUGGUCAUCACUCUUCACAUAAGGCAAGUUAAUGGUACCAUCAACCAACCUUUCCUUGAUAAAGUGCCUAUCCACUUCAACAUGUUUAGUACGAUCAUGUUGAACUGGAUUAUGAGCAAUGCUAAUGGCAGCUUUGUUAUCACAAUAAAGUUUUGAUGGCUUUGCAGAAUUAAAACCUAAUUCUCUCAACAAAGUCAUGAGCCAUAACAAUUCUUGCACACCAUGUGCCAUACCUCUAAAUUCAACUUCGGCACUGGAUCUAGCCACUACAUGUUGCUUCUUACUGCGCCAAGUAACUAGAUUUCCUCCAACAAAUGUAAAGUAUCCAGAAGUCGAUCUGCGAUCAGUUACUGACCCAGCCCAAUUUGCAUCAGUGUACCCUUCAACUUCUUGAUGUCCGUGAUUGGAAAACAUCAAGCCUUUUCCAGGGGCAAACUUCAAAUACCCGAGAAUGCGUUGUACAUCAUCCAUGUGGGCUUCACUUGGCCUGUGCAUAAAUUGACUCACUACACUUACAGCAUAGGCUAUGUCAGGUCGUGUAUGAGACAAAUAAAUCAACCUCCCAACUAAUCUUUGGUACCUUUCCUUGUUAGCGAGAACUUGAUCAUGAUAGUCUCCCAAUCUAUGGUUUUGCUCAAUUGGUGUGUCUGCAGGUUUACAAGCUAACAUCCCAGUCUCAGUUAACAAGUCUAUAACAUAUUUCUUUUGAGAAAGAAAAAUGUCAUGCUUUGAUCUUGCAACUUCAAUACCCAAGAAAUAUUUCAGAGUACCCAAGUCCUUCAUUUCAAAUUCCUUGGCUAGAUACUUUUGAAGUUUUUGAAUUUCCUCGACAUCAUUACCUGUAACCACCAUAUCAUCCACAUAAACAAUUAAGGUUGUAAGUUUACCUCUAUCAUGCUUAAGAAAUAAGGUAUGGUCAGCUUGAGUUUGCUUGAACCCAUAACUUCUCAUUGAUUGAGCGAACCUGCCAAACCAUGCCCUUGGUGAUUGUUUCAAUCCAUACAAGGACUUUCUUAACCUGCAUACUUUGCCAAUAUCGCAAGUGGUAGUGAAUCCUGGAGGAAGAUCCAUGUAUACCUCUUCAUCCAAAUCUCCAUGUAAAAAUGCAUUUUUUACAUCAAACUGUCGUAGAGGCCACCCUAGAUUUGCUGCCAAUGACAUAAGAACCCUGAUAGUGUUGAUCUUUGCUACCGGAGCAAAUGUCUCCUAAUAAUCAAUGCCAUAGGUUUGAGUAUAACCUUUGGCUACCAGUUUAGCCUUGUACCUCUCCACUGAACCAGCUUUAUGCUUCACUGUGAACACCCAUCUACACCCAACAGGUUUCUUGCCUUCAGGAAGUGCAACCAGUUCCCAAGUGGAGUUUUUUCGAAGCGCUUCCAUCUCUUCAAUCAUAGCCUUUUUCCAUUUUGGAUCUUUAAGAGCAUCCUGUAACUUAUUAGGAACUGAGACUGAUGACAAUUGGUUUGCAAAAGAUAUAUAAGAGUCUGACAAGCGAUGAGAUGAAACAAAAUUAGAUAUAGGAUAUUGAAUACCCUUUGUAGAAGAAUGACCAUAACGAACAUGGGGUAUCCUUCGAUUUUCUCGAAUAGGAUAACGAGAACCCUGAGACUCACGAUGUGGUUCAUUUGAAUCAUUUGGAUCAUCACUUAAUGAAAUCUCAUGAUUGGACUCAUCAAAUAUAGUAGGCUGAAGAGAGGGAGAAUGAGUGGUUACCUCAGGAUAAUUCGUACGAGUAGCAGCUGAUUGGUCAGAGAGUUGGUCAAUGUGAGGAUCUGUCUGUGGGUAGUCUAUCUCAUCAUCCCUUUUUUCUUGUCCUCUCAUACACUUUCAAUAUUUUUUCACCUUGUGCCUCAUCAUUAGGCAAAUUUGCACCAUCACCGACAUCAGACAAUUGUUCAUCACCAAUGUCAAGCGGCAACUUCUCUUCCUCCUUACUCCAUAUCUCCCCCCGAAGAGAAGUGGCCAAAUCUUCUUUUGAAAAAAAUGUCUCGUGUUCCCGAAAGGUAACAUCCAUAGAGACAAAAAAUUUCCCAGUGGGAGGAUAGUAACAUCGAUACCCUUUCUGAGUAGCAGAAUAGCCAAUAAACACACAUUUGAUGGCUCUAGGAUCCAACUUAUGCCGAUUUUGCAUGGGGACGUGAACGUAGCAGACACAACCAAACACUUUUGGAGGAAUAUGAAAGAGUGAAGGAAGAGAAUGAUAUUGGGAAAGGGUUUGGAUAAGUGUUUGAAAUUGGAGAACACAUGAUGGCAUGCGAUUGAUAAGAAAAACAGCUGUGUGAAUGGCAUCGCCCCAAAAACGUUUAGGAACGUGCAUAGCAGAACAUAAAGAGCGAGCCACAUCCAAGAGAUGACGAUUUUUACGUUCUGCUAUACCGUUCUGUUGAGGAGUAUGUGGACAAGAUGUUUGAUGAAUGAUACCGUGUUGUUGAAAAAAUGUUCCAAGUCCAUAAUUCAAAUAUUCUUUCCCAUUAUCAGAUCGAACGACUUGAAUUUUAGCAUGAAAUUGGGUUUGAAUCAUUUGAUGAAAGAUUGGAAAUAGACAUAACCUCACUCUUAUUUUUUAGUAAGUAUACCCAAGAAACUCGAGUGCAGUCAUCAAUGAAAGAAACAAAGUAUUUAGCACCAGUAUAAGUAGGAAUAUGAAAUGGUCCCCAAACAUCAGAAUGAAUAAGAGAGAAAGGAACAUUACUUUUAUGGGAACUUAAAGGAAAUGAGACACGAUGAUUUUUAGAAAGAAUGCAAGUUUCACAAUGGAAAUCAGAAACCUUGACUUUAGAAAAUAAAGAAGGGAAUAGAUAUUGCAGGUACUGAAAGGAAGGGUGUCCCAAUCUUUUGUACCAUAACCAAAUUUUUUCAGAAGCUUCAAAUUGUUUGGCCUCCACUUGACAACUGUAACUUGUCUUCUCACAAUCUGGUGGUAAAUCCAAGUAGUAUAGACCUCCCCUCUCUCUACCAUGACCAAUCAAUGCUUUCGUUCGAAUAUCCUGAAACCAACAAUGGGUAGGAGAAAAGAUGGCAAGACAGUUUAGUUGAUUUGUAAGUUUACCAAUGGAAAGAAAAUUGUGAGAAAGUUUAGGAACAUGUAAAACAGAUGAGAGAGAUAAGCCUGGUGUUAAUGAGAUGGAGCAUGCUCCAAGCACUGGAGUAGAAAUUCCAUUAGCAACUUUAACUGUAUUUAAAGGUGGAGUAGUGUGAGAAACAAACCAUGUAGAGUUAUUGGUCAUGUGGUCAGAAGCUCCUGAAUCAAUGAUCCAAGGUUUAUUGGGAGGAACAAUUGUAGUGUUCAAGGCAAAACCAAAGUUACCUGCAUCGACUAAGGAAGUAGAAGCAGUAGUUGGAGAAACUAAGUGAGCAGAUUGAUCCACCCGAGGUAUGGAAGGCGUUGGUGUCAGGUGUGCUUGUGAUCCACCAAUGCCUUUCUUUUGAUUUUCCUUCUUUUGAACCCACCAAUCAGGAUAUCCAUGCAGCUUGAAGCAAGUGUCUCUAGUAUGCUUAUCCUUGUCACAAUAAGUACACUUCCUUGUAUCAGUAGUUUUGGAUCCACCUAAUCGAGAAUUAGAGACUCCACGGGGAAAUCGAGACGGAGCAGCUACCAUGGCAGAUCCUUCCACUUGUGGGCCAACCAACAUAAUGGUUUGCCUACUUGCUUCAGCAUUCACAAGAGCAUAAGCAGCACGAACAGAAGACAGAGUUGUUUGAGUCAAAACUUGACUGCGAACAUGAUCUAAAUGAGGAUCAAGACCAGCCAGAAAAUCAUACAAUCUUUCUUCCGAAAUUUCUGUCUCUCGGGUAGCAAUAUCAUCAGCGCAUUUCAAUUUUCCAGGACGUAAGAAAUCAAUUUCUUGCCAUAUUUGCUGAAGUUUACCAUAAUAUGCAGAUAAAGGUUCUCCAUUCUGGCGAGUCACCAGUGCUUGACGGCGAAGUUCGUAUAACUUUGAUGCAUCUUUUUCAAUUGAGUAAGUUUGGGUAACAGCAUCCCAAACAUCUUUUGCAGUAGAGAGUCGGAGAAAAAUGGCCCGUACAUCUCUGGUCAUGGAGUUGAGUAACCAAGAUUGAACCAUGGCAUUCUUUUCCUCCCAUAUAGCAUACAAUGCAUCAGCUUCUGCUGGUGCCAUUUUUGUUCCACUGACAUAAGACCAUUUACCUCUGCCAGUGAUGUAGAUGCGGACACUUUGGGACCAUGAGGAAUAGUUAGACCCAUCCAACUUGUCUGGGGUGAUAUGUAGAGACAUAUCACUUUGAGUAACAGUAGCUGAAACAGUGGUCUUGGAGUCACCCAUUAUUACUGCCUCAGAGGUUAUGGGUAAAUUUGUUGGGUGAUUCCAACGGGUAUGGCUUAUGGGGUAUUGGGUAGUAUAUUUUUUUUGUGUAAAGAUUUCUGGGUUUUGCAGAGAUACUGCAAAUGGGAAGAAUAUAGGAAAAGAUGCAGCGGAAUAUGUAUGGUUAACAAGCUGGAUAUGGGUAAUAAUGUUGGUAGAUAUGGCCAAAUGAAAAAAAGAGUAAGAUUGGGUUGGUAUGAAAGUAGAAGACCUGCAGAAUAACAGGUCUUAUUGGGUAGAUGGCAGUAGUGCCAGUAAGUGAAUCAGAAUAGAAACUCUGUUUGGAUCAGAAUGGCUCUAAUACCAUGCCAAAAUAGAGUUAAUUCCUUUAUAUAUUAGAUGAUUAUUUCUCAUUACAAGAUGAACAUAUAUAUAGGGAAAGAAAGAAGACAUAUGACCUAACUUUGCCUAACUUGCCUAACUUGCCUAACUUGCCUAACUUACCUAACUUGCCUAAUUUACAUAAAGAAAGUUGACUAACCUAACUUCACUAGCCAUCCAAUACUCAUGGCUGCUUUUAGUUGACAUAACCGUUGGGAUUUUGUGGGUGGCCGACACAUGCCUGACAGCGGGGCCCACCCCUGUUAGGAAACCUUUGCAAGCGCACCGCGUAGAGCACGUUGGAGCGUGGGCGGGCCGAGACUGGCCCAACAACCCACAAGUCCACUCGCAGGGGGGGAAUUUGGCCCAGCUUUGGCAUUUGGCAUUUAGCCCAAAGUUUUAGCAUGGGUUGGAGAGUGUUUGGGGGGAAUUUGGGAGAUAAUUUAGCAUGUAGCCCACUAUUGGAGAUGGUCUAAUGGUAGCGAAGUAUUAAGAUAUAGAGACAGUUUAAAGCACAAUGAUUAAUAAUUCAAAAUAUGCUUGAAUAAUAUCAUAAGCAAUUAAAUAAGAACUACAUAUUCAUGCUAAGGCUCAAAACAUCGCCCUGACAAACAAAAAUUAGCUACGAACAACCAUAAAACAAAAGGAAUUUUAUUGAAAUAGAAAAAUGAUAGAAAACACCUAGAAAAUAAACUUCAAAAACCUUCUAGAAUAGUGCGUUCUCCUCUCUUCUCCUCCUCCUCCUCAAAAAACCCUAAUGGCUAAAAGCCUUAUUUAUACUACUAUGAAAUAAAACCCUACCUAGAAAAGGACUUGGAAUAAAACUAGGAAACAUAAUAAAAUAAUAAAACAGAAAAUAAAAGGUUUCCUAUUUAAACUAAAAUUCGGACUUCUCAUAAAAUUAUAUUUUUGACUGACCAAAUCGACUCCGAUUCGGUCUCAAAAUGUCUCUUUUGAAAGAUGAAGAUGUCCCCUACAAAUCCUCAGAAGGAAUAUUCCUCAAAAUAUGUCAUAUUGACCUCCAAAAUACCCAAAAUGUCCAGAAACGUCAAUCUGGGAAAGCUGCGUGCUGGGCCUUAAUUUCAUUGCCACGGUCAAACGGCUUGGUAGAAAAAUCUAGAAUUUUGACACAAUCAUCUUGAAAGGCACACAAAUAUCCUCCAAUUGGAAAUAUAUAACAAAGUAUCAAAAUUUUACCAAAAUAACCAAUAAACUAAUACUAUGAAUAGCGCAAAAUAUAUGGUAUAAUAUGGACCCAUCAAAUACCCCCAAACUUAGCUUUUUGCUUGUCCUCAAGCAAAACAAAACUCAAAAACAAAGAUAAAAACUAGCAAACUUAAAAACUAUAUUAAAACUCUACUAAGAUAAAAUUUUCAUCUUCAAAUUGCAAUCUAUAGAAAAUGUUAAAAAUUAAAACAUCUUUCCAAAAGUUUCAACGAAUCCCACCACAGAGUCUAAGCCAUUUAGAAUCAAUUAGAAAAGAAUUCAUGAACUUCCUUUGGUGUAAAGUGAACCAAUAUAGUUAAGGAGACUCGACUAAAACCCUUAUCUUGUCUUCUUUAUUUCACAAAUACUAACUUGAAACAUAACUUUUUUUUUCCCAUUUUUUUCUAUUUUUUUUUCUCUUUUCAUACUCUUUUUCUUUUAUUUAGUAAUAGUAGUGGUCGUGCAAUGCCAGUUUCCUUAAGCUUUCUAUUCAACCCAUGUAACGAGCUUUAGGUCAAUGACUCCCAAACCACAAAGGCUUUAGGGCACUAUGUGUAGAACACCCUAAGGACUUACUAACUCGAGCUGAAAAGGCUAUGAAACCAACUAACCACCUUGCCUCAUACCAAGACUCUACCGUUUGACGCGAGAAUCACUGUUGAUCAGGCAGGACUGGCUCUGUUACUAAGCAAAGUCUCGGGUGGAACAAUUAUUACUUUAUUUGUAACACAUACUAAACUUUACUAAGAACAAAAAUUAAAAUACAUAAGUGUUUCAAUCUCACUCCCCACAAACCAUACGAUAAAUAGAAAAGACUCUAAUAUGAGAUUAAUCUUCAUCAUGUCCAUUUGUUCUAACGUUUAAAAUAAUCUAUGGAUAUUAACUUAAAAAAAAUGAAAUUUUUUUUAUUGACUCAAAAAUUAAGUCUAAACAUUCUUAUUUCCCACCUGCAAACUUAAAUCACACGUUGUCCUCAAGGUGUGCGAAAUAAAAGAAAAAUAAAAGACAACAAAACACGACAACUAAACUUGAACUAAACAUAAAUAACUAAAAGACAAAAGAAAAAUAGCAAAAACAACAGACGGAAAGGUAACAAAAUAAAAAAAAUAGUACAGAAAGGAAAAAAGUGCACCUGGUGCGAAUAGGGGCAUGAGGCAUGGAACUCAAGUAAUGACAGGAAGGGAUCCAAGGUCUUGAGGAGCCACACAUUGGGCCGUGGAAAACCAAGAAAAGACAUGAAGAAUGGCCCACGAAAAUAGAAGCAAGGCAGCCCAUUUGAUGCUCACACGCACGACACACACGAGCACCAGAAAUUUUGGCGGUUCUUUUACACACUAAUUUUCUCAAUAGUUUCCGCCAUUACUCGAACUCAAAGAUAAAUACCCAGCCGUGCCUCCCUCCAUAGUUGUAUUCCUGUCAAUUUCCAUCACAAAAUCAUCGAGCUAAAACACCACGACUUCUCUGAAAAUCCUUUAACACAGCUCCAACCCUAAAGUGAAACGAAAUCCUCAGACGGAGUCUCGAUCCAUCCAUCCUCUCUCGAAGCUCCGACAAAUCGCCCUCGAUCUCCAGCCCUUAAACAUCACUGUUGUCACGGAGAUGUUUGCAAAUCCAUGGUCCAGAGCGUUGAUUCAAGAUUCCUCACGAAGGUAACUAUCCUCCCCUCUUCUCUUUGUACUGUUCUAUGAAUUGUUUGGAAGAUAGUGCUUACAUUCAUGCAUCCAGUGGUGAAGCCACGUGGGAGCGAGGAGUGGCGGCCGCCACUUCCCUCGCGGGGAAACACCACUGGACCCCAGGUCUUCGCCACUCCCCUCGCGCGCCUCGCCGGAAAAUAAUGGUUCACGACGCCCUCUGUUUUUCUGGGUUUUCUGGGGAAUCUGCGGUGCAGAUUGUGUUCUAAUUUUUUUUUUUUAAAAAAAGGCCAAAACGACGCAGUUUUGGACUUGGUAAAAAUUUUUUUAAAAAGCUAAAUCAAAACGGCGUCGUUUUGAUAGUUGAAUAAAAAAAAUUAUAAUGGGGUGGGGGACCGCUUCCGCAUGUCGCCCCAAUGAAACCCUAGCUUCUGUCUGUCCCCCCCCACACAUGACCCCAUCCGCAUCGCACCCUUUACUCUUUUCUAUCAUUUUCUUCAGUCUUCUUCACCAAUAAUCAACACACACAUAGACACACAGAGAGCGGGGCCAUCCAUCUCAGCCAUGCUGCUCCCCAAACUCCAGCAGCCAAGCCAAAGCCACAAAGUCCUCUUUAAUUUUUGUUCCACAAGCCAGUGAGCCACUCUCCUCUCCUCUGAGCUUGAGCCGGCUCCAAUCACUAUUUAAAAGUAAAUUUUUUAAUUCUUAAAUGUAUAAUCCCUACCUUAAUUAUUUAAUACAAAUUUCAUUUAAUUAGUAUAGAAUUAUAUGGUAAUGCAUUAAUAUGGUUAUUGGUUAUUGAUUAUUGAUGUGAAUCAUAUUGUUAUUUAAUACAAGAUUGGGGAUUGGUAUUUAAUACCGAGUUACUUCUUUGUAUGACAUGUUUGAGUCCGGUGAAUAAUUUUGCAUCUUUUGACAAAGCAAAAAUUGUUCGUUUAACCCAACUUUAUUCUCAAGAUUUUGGUCGUAUGGACCUCAUGAAUCUUCCAAUUCAACUUGACAAUUACAUUCAUGAUAUGAAGAUGCAUAGUGAGUUUUCAUCAUUGAGAGGAAUUAGUGAUCUUGCACAAGAGUUAGUGAAGACCGGGAGGUGUGAAAGUUAUAUGUUAGUGUAUAAACUUCUUACAUUGGCUUUGGUGUUACCGGUUGCAACCGCUUCGGUGGAGAGAGCUUUUUCUGCUAUGAAGAUUGUGAAAACACCAUUGCGUAACAAAAUGGGAGAUCAAUGGUUGAGUGAUAGCAUGAUUGUUUACAUUGAGAAAGAUGUAUUUGUUUUUAUUGAUAAUGAGCCUAUUAUGCUACAUUUUCAUGACAUGAAACCUCGCCGGCAACAAUUGUAAUUUGUUUGUAUUGAUUAAUUAUGGAAGACAUUACUAUAUAAAAAGAUUUAGUUGUUGCCAUUUUUUUAACCUUGCAUUCUUUUAAGUUCGCCUCUCCCCCCGAGAAAUCCUGGCUUCGCCACUGCAUGCAUCCAUGGAUCUAGAAUUUCAUCAAUGCUCAUGUAUAUUGUUGUAUAUGUCUGCAUGUCUCCUGAUGAUGAAUGCCGAGGAAAAUUCGUGCAAAAAAUCUGGAUCUGAACUUAGCUUUGAGUACUUGGUCCACCCCCAAACUUGUAUUGUAGUUUUAUUUAUUUUUUUUAUAUUGAAAUGUAAGAGCGAAUGAGUGGAAUGUGUCCAAGUAGUACAGAGUCUUCUUUGCAAACCCACUGUAACGUUUCUGAAAACUCGAACUCCAGUUGGCUUUCCUUUUAAAUUUCUGCAUAUUAGUGUUGAUGUUGAAUGCAAAGCCGUGACGAAUGGAUAGUUGAAUGCAUACUAAUGUGAAUGGAUGAAUGCUAUGCAUCCACGAUUAAUUGCGAUUAGACCGAUUCCGAAUGCAACCUGCAAUCACAAAUCAAAAACCGAAUUAGAUAAGUAAGGAAAAAUAACAAGUUUUUUUCUUUUUUUGGUAAUUAGGAAUAAAAACAGGAAAAUAAAUAAACGAAAUAUAAAAAAAAAGAGUUAGAAAAAAAAAUUGGGUUGCCUCCCAAUUAGAGCUUUAAUUAACGUCUAUAGCUAGAAGGAUUGGAAUGAGGAUUGUACGAUCACGUCAUAAGAGUCAACCACUCUUUUCUAGCAGCGUAGGGCAACGGUAAGUCUGGUGUGACUUGAUGGUUAUCAAUUAUGCAUCUGAAUUAAUUGUUUGAAGCCUUGAUGUCCACCCUUCGCUGUGAAUGACUUUUUGUAAUAAAAUAGGAUCCCCUCCAGCAAGGUUUACGUCUUUGUCGAGUUGCCUUGAAUCUUGUAUUUAAUACUCAUAAUUUGUGCAUUGGCCGAAUUUGUCUAUGAGGAAUUUGGCUGCCACAAAACUUCUUCUUCUUCUCCCAUGCCUUUGCCUGCUUGAUGGACCUGCACUCUAUUUCUGCAAUUAUGAUUGGCUUUCCGUGUGUGCUGGCAGUUUCAAAGCUUUCCUGCAGCUUUGUGGGUUGCAUUGCAGCCUCUUGAAAGAGAAUGUGUGGUAUAUAGGUCUGGGUAGGACUGGGUUCUGGGGUUAUGACAAGAUCAACAGGUUUUGUUUCCUCCGUUGUGCAUGAGUCAAACCUUGAUGGCUCUUCAAUCUCAAUAUCUUCCAGUAUGUAAUUAGAGCUCUCCACACAUUCUAAUGUACUGGUAGCCGAACUGUCUUCUGAACUUUGGGGCACAUUAGGCUGCUCAAAAGGUUGUAGAGUACCUGCCCAUCUAAAAGUAGGAUGCCUUUUCAAAUCUGGAGCGUAGAAAUCAAAAGUGGGAUCAUUCCAACGCCAAAGUGAGUCGUUCCUCAUGUUAAUAUGCUCCUCCACAUAGUCUGGAAAAUAUUUCCUAUCAGGGCAUUGCAAAAUUUCAUGGGUUUUUGAACAACAAAGGGCACAAAGUAUAGGCUUAAAUCCAUAGAAACCCUGUUUUGCAAAAGAAACCCAUAAAGGUGGUCCUGGUGGUGGUAUUUCCAUGUCCACCAUUGCCGCUGAAGAAUCCCAUAAAGGUUGUGGUCCGGCUGGUGAUGGCAGUUCCCACGCCAUUGUUGCACUCUUCUCAGAAUUAAACCUACAAAAUAAAAUUAGCAAUUAAAUAAAUAAAAUAUUUAUGUACAAUAAUAAGUAACCAAGAAUAUGAUAAACACAAAUUAUUUGAAACAAUCUCUAGCAACGGUGCCAAUUUCUUGAUAGGAUUUUUACCACCUACAAAAGUAGGGAUAAAAACACUAAAAAAAUACUUGCAAGAGAACAAGGUAGUUGUAGUAUAAACGGUUCAAGCAAUGUCGUUUUCCACAUGGAUUCAAUGAAUAAUUUGUAUUUAAACUAAUUCUUAAUUAACUAUUUGAAAACAAAGUUUGAUAAAAGGUGAUUUUAUGACUUAAAAUAAUAAAAACGAAUUUUAAAUUAACACAAUUAAAUAAAUUGACAAAGAAAAUAAAACAAAAGAAAACGUUUUGAAAACCAAAUUGUAAAAGCCUAGGGAUCCAUCGUCCCCUUAAGAAUCCUAUGUAGAUUUAUCAAUUACUUAUGAAUUACCUAUGCAACUUUGAAGGUUAGGUUUUCCUUAUGCAUAUUCUACUUGUGACAUUCAAGCUAGAACGUAUAUCAAACAUGCAAUCCGUUUGUGGCAUUCAAAUCAAAUAUAAACAUGCAUGACUCAUUACGCUUUGUGAAAAGCCUUUAAAAAACCAUGCAGCCCCUAAGACGUGACAUUCGCCCUAGGUGAAAUUACAACUAUCAAUCACAAGAGGCAAUACUCAAUUCCCCGUUGGCAUUCCGACCGAAUUGCAUCUGAUUACGUAUCUAACAUCCUAGUGGUAGCUAAGCAUUAAGAUAUAGAGACAGUUUAAAGUACAGUGAUUAAUAAUUCAAAAUAUGCAUGAAUAAUAUCAUAAGGAAUUAAAUAAAAACUACAUAUUCAUGCUAAGGCUCAAGACAUCGCCCUAACAAACAAAAAUUAGCUACGAACAACCAUAAAACAAAAGGAAUUUUAUUGAAAUAGAGAAAGGAUAGAAAACACCUAGAAAAUAAACUUCAAAAACCCUCUUGAAUAGUGCGUUCUCCUCUCUUCUCCUCCUCCUCCUCAAAAAAUCCUAAUGGCUAAAAGCCUUAUUUAUACUACUAGAAAAUAAAACCCUACAUAGAAAAGGACUUGGAAUAAAACUAGGAAACAUAAUAAAAUAAUAAAACAAAAAAUAAAAGGUUUCCUAUUUAAACUAAAAUUCGGCCUUCUUAGAAAAUUAUACUUUUGACUGACCAAAUCAACUCCGAUUCGGUCUCAAAAGGUCUCUUUUGAAAGCUGAAGAUGUCCCCUGCAAAUCCACAGAAUGAAUCUUCCUCGAAAUAUGUCAUCUUGACCUCCAAAAUACCCAAAACGUCCAGAAACGUCAAUAUAAGAAAGCUGCAUGCUGGGCCUUAAUUUCAUCGUCACGAUCAAACGGUUUGGUAGAAAAAUCUAGAAUUUUGACACAAUCAUCUUGAAUGGCACACGAACAUCUUCCAAUUGAAAUCACUCCAAAAUUCAUCUGUUUGAUCACCUUUUGCUCCAGAUGAAUUCGAAUAUCCUACAUUGGAAAUAUAUAACAAAGUAUCAAAAUUCUACCAAAAUAACCAAUAAACUAAUACAAAGAAUAGGGUAAAAUAUAUUGUACAAUAUGGACUCAUCAAUUGUUCUAGUUUGGGUGUAUGUUGGUGUAGCUCCAAUUAAGUAUGCAUUACAUUAUGUGUCAAUAUUUACUAAUUACAUCAAUUAUUUGGCCGUUUCUUUGAUUUUGAUCUAAAACAUAGUACUACCUCAAAGAUUCCCAAUGUUUUAUUUAAUAGACCUUUUCAUGCACAUCAUGUAAUGCAAGAAGUUUCAGGGACUAAUUAAAUAGCGAAAAUGAGGCGAUCACAAAAGGGAUCAAUCAAAAUGCCUUAAUUGUACCAACUAAUGAAGUUAUUUAAAAGGUUUGUAAUUAUAUUUUAGAACACUAAUCAUUGAUCGUCUCCUAAAAGAAGAAGAAAACGUAAAACCGACGAAACGUGAACACAACAUCGUCGUGGACAAAAGCUGCUUGUUGGCCAUGAUAAAAGUAUUUAAUCUAUAUGGGUGUGUAUGGAUUAUCAAUUAGGUUCCUUCUUUAGACGGAUUUACAUAACGAUGUCUAAAUGUACAUCUGCAAUUUACAGUCUCAAAAUAUAACAUGUCAAAUAUCCGACAAACAAAUGAUUCUGAUUUAUAAAUUGUAGCUUCCUUCUCAAUCUCGCAUUAAGUUGACAAAUCGAAAACAUAAACUUGCAAACCAACUCUGAUUUCUAAAUUGUAUUUGUUGGGGUAGUACCUAAUGGGCCGGGCUCAUUAGGACCAGUGGCAAUUUUGAAAUAUAACACAAAUACAACACCAUUUUUGUCACAAAAUAUAAGACGAAAAAUCAUCGUUUUUGUACCCCAAACUAUUGGCAUCGCUCGGUGUCUCGCUCGGUGUCUUCGUCGUCUUCUGAUUUUCCUCCGAAUCGGAGAAGAAAGGCAACCAAAUCCUGGUCCUCCGAAUUUGUGGUUUUCCCGGCGCUCCUUGCGCGUACUGCAGCCUGAGCGCGCGGUGCUCUCGAUUGAUUCCGUGGUCUGAUCCUCCGCGAAUCGCAAUCCAACGGUGGAGAUGGCAUCGCCGCAGAACCAAUCGGUGAAUGUGAAUCUUUUCGAUGCGUAUUUCCGACGGGCCGAUUUUGAAUUUGUAGUCCAAUUGUAGUUGAAGUGGUAAAUGUGAGCUCGGGAUGUCUUAAUUCUCUUACCUAAGCUGAGAUUUUUAUUUCGUGUUAGUAUAAAUGCGGAAUUGAUGUUCAAAUGGUAGAAAAUAAGUAGAUGAAGAAUUUAUACUACAGUUAGUGAUGUUGAGAGAGUUAUGUUAAAUAUUGAUUAUAUGAAUGCACUUUCUCAUUAGCUUGAAUUGCUGAACAUAACAGGCUCAAUCAAGCAUAUUUUUCGUAUUUUGAUCUAAAAACUUACAGAUGCCAUAGAUAUUUUGUAGAUAUAAAAUUUAAUUUGUGAUUGGGAGUAAUCUUUUGAUGGCCAAUUCACAUACGAACAUCCAUAAAUAUAUACUAUUAAAUUGAGUCAUGUCUCAUUGUGCAGUCUAGAUUGAUAGAAUGACUACCCAUCAUGCCACGUUAUCUUCGAUGGAGCGGUUUAGGGAGGGACGCCCUCUUCCAGCAGUGCUACCAAGCAACGUUAUGUUUGAUUUAUCCAAUCGCAUAUUGAACAAUCGCAUAUUUUUGUCGUGUUGAAUGUUCAAACUAUCGCGCUUGGUUGUGAGAUUUUUACUUUGUCCUGCCAUGAUGUGUUAAUUAAUGUCUAGUUAUACACUUGUCCAUAACUAGCGCUUUAUAAUGUAUAAAGCAUAAACAAUAUCAAAUAAUAAAAGCCUUACCUGGUUGUUGUCUUAUUUCUUGGUGAGACAAGUGAGCUAUCAAAGUACAAAUUUGCCUUAAAAAGUUUUUCCUAAUCACUUUCAUUUGCUUCAGACUCAUGACUUGAUCCACUAACUUGAGGCUCAUCUCUUGAUCCACCACCUUUGGAAUCAUCAUCUUGUCUUGUUUCUUCUUCUACUUUUGGUCCCCUCGACAUGAACACAUGACCAAAUUUGAAUUUCUCAGCCUCUUCGGCAUACAAUGGGCAUAUACCACAGCUUUCCACCUCGAUAGAAAAUGGGCACAAGAAGACGACAGAGGCCUCUUUGGCAAGUUUGUAAACAUCAGGGGAGCAGUUUUUUCCUACCUCUUCACUUCUAAAGGCCUCAUUCCACACAUGCACGUGAUGUUGGCCGUCAUUGGAGCCUCGGAUAAUGUACUUAGAACUGAACAGUUCAUGGCUUUCACCCAUGACUUUGACAAUGAAAUUAGCUCUUACCGUCUUGAAUAAAUACUUCACGUCUGAACUGCAUGAAAGAACAACAGAGAGAGCGAAACCAAAUAAACCUGUUCGAAACCAAUCUGGACAAAGCUCAAUGUCUACUGAAGAUCCCUCAUUUUGAUAGCUGAACCAAUUUGAAAUUUCUUUUCCUGGACAUACAACGUUAAUCUGAGGCCAGGGAUUAUGAGCCCAGGGUCUAUGACUCCAGUAAUCCUUUAAUGGCGCAACAGUUGCCAUUCGCAUAAUUGUAAUCUGUGCUUCAUCCAUUAUGUUGCUCCUUGAAUUAUUAUCCAAUUUUGGGCAAUUAGUAAAAAGUCUGAAACAAUAAUUAGGUUUAUCCCAACCUUGUGUGAGGGCUGUCCUUGAACUUGACACUAUCUUCAGCGAUGUGCAGCCUUCAGCUUUAACAUUACAUAGCACUGGGAGCUCUGGUAUAGAUUGAAGCCGGCUGCACCAGCAUAAGUCGAGCAUAGACAACCGAGAAGCUUGUUUGAUGCUUGCUGGUAUUUCCAAUAUACCGCUGAAGCUGAGUUCUAGUUCUUCUAAAGAGAGAAAACCAACAGAGCUGGAAGGCAAUUUUUCAAGUCUCCGACAGCCCCAAAAGUUGAGACGUCUAAGACUGAUUAAACUGUAGAUACUUUUUGGGACAUCCUUAAGUUGACAGCAGCGACUAAGGUUUAAAUCUUGAAGCCUAUUUAGAUUUCCAAUAGACGAAGGAAGCAUUUCGACAACUGUGUCUUGCAAACAAAGAGACACCAAAUGUUCCAUUGGCUUCAAGAUUUCAAGGAAUUUGGAAAAUCUAGAGCACUUGGUGAGAUCAAGACUCUCAAGAUAUUUCAAGUUACAGAUUGAUGAGGGUACCUCUGUAACUGCUGUAUGAAUUAAACUUAAGGACUUCAAAUGUUCCAUUGGCUCCAAAAUCUCUGGAAAGUUUUCAAAUUUAGAGCACGAAUUGAGAUCAAGUUUCUCGAGAUUUUUCAACUUACACCUACUGCUUGGAAGUUUCUUAAGGUCUUCGCAUUGCCUUAAAUUCAAGUAAGCAAUAUUUUCGUUAGACCAAACUGAUUCAGGCAACUCCUUUAUACCACUACCUCGUAAAUCUAAGUAUCUAAUAUUUCCUGGCAUCUCUGGAAGAUACCCGAGUCUGGUGCAGUCUCUAAGCUCAAGAUGAGUAAGCUUGUCAAGAUGUUGAAAAUACGAAGGAAUUUCAACCAAACUUCGACAGCGCCCGAGAUUUAUCUCCACAAUUUUUAGACUCCCGGAGAGAUUUGGAACUUCAGUUAGAUUUGAACAACCCCGCAGAUCAAUCACUUGUAAGUUGACAAGUAUCUGCAACAAAUUAAAUAGAAAUAUAAAGAAUUAAUAUAAUUUCUACACUUGAUUUUAUACAAGAAUUAAAAUAGGCAUAUAAUAUAACAUACCUGCUCUUCUUUCCAAAGCUUCUUAACUUUGCUAUAUCGCAUAUGAAGCUCAACUAGAUUUUCCGGACAAAAAUUUGACGGUAAAGAUUCCAGUGGAUAACUAAGCCAGUAAAGAUAACGAAGAGAAUCGGGAAGCUCUAGAGAAUCGGUCAAUUUGCCAAGCGAGCUUAGCAUUAUUAGGUUAGACAUAUUUUGAAGUCUGCAUGUUUCAACGGUCGCUCUUGAAGAUUAUACAACUCUAUGGCUUCAACAUUUGGAGUUUCCUGAGAAUAAGAAGAAAGUUUAAAUGUGAAUAUAAACAUAUUAAAAUGUAACGCACAUUUGGAACAAAGAGUAUUUGCGAUGGUAAUCAUGUACAAGUGUCUAAGUCUAGUCAAAUAUCCAACAUAAUUGUAUCCUCCCCUACUUGUCUAAAUAAACAAACAUUUGUUCAUAUUCCAAACACUUACUAACACAAUAAAUAUUCAAUCUAAUUCAUCUUUUGAUAUUCAAUCUAAUUCAUCUUUUAACAAUCUCACUUCUUUAUUAUACAUUAGUUUUACUUUGCUCUGUUAUCAUCUCAAGUUUGUAAUUUUUAUUUUCUAAAAAAACAAAAGAAAAGAAUAAAAUGGAAUGCAUUUGGCUCUUACCGUGUUACUCCUCAAUACACGAUAGACAUCCUCAUCAUUGAACAACCUACUCUGUUUACCGGGAUCUUUAAUACCUUGUUCUUGAACAAUUUUCCAUCCCAUUUCUUGUAGCAAAUCGUGCAUCUCUAUGGUUUCCCUUCCCAUUUCUUGUAGCAAAUUGUCCAUCUCUCUAGUUUCCAUUCCUCCUUUUGAAUCAAUUGAUAUGAGAGACAUCUCAAUGAGAAUUCUAAUUCCAGAUGUCGCAAAGAAUCCACGAACAUCUAACAUUCGUUUUACCUCAACCACAGACUUCCCUUUAUGAAAACAUGCUAUAUCCAAAAAUACAUCCUUCUCAUUGUCUCCCAAUUUAUCAUAACUUAUUCUCAACACUUUCUGGAUAUCUUCGAUGGGAAAUCGUUUCAAUUUGUUGAAUUCAUCUUCCCAUUCUUCUUUGCUCUUGCAAUUGAAGAACAAGGACCCCAGAACUAUAAGAGCUAAAGGAACGCAUUUGGCAUAAGCCACCGCCUUUUCUGCCAACUCCUUAUAAUCUGUUCUACAAGUACUGUUAUCCUUGAAAGCAUGCGAAUUGAAGAGCUGAAGAGAGUCAUUCGAUUUUAAUACCUCAACCUUGUAGAUAUUAUCCUCUUCAAUAGUUUUUCCAAGUGUGCCCCUAUCUCUAGUUGUGAUAAUGAUUCUACUUCCAGUGCCAAACUGAAGACGACUGCCAGCUAAACGUUCCAUUUGCAUUGAACUACUCACAUUAUCAAGAACAAUGAGAACCUUUGUGCGGCUGAGCCUUUUUCGAACACCAUGUGCUCCUAUGGAUAGACCUUCUUCCUUUAAUAUCUCUUUAAGAAGUGUUUUUUCCAAGUGAUCUAGUCCAUCAGCUUUUUCUGAGUUCUCCCUGACAUUCUUAACAAAACAAGAAGCUUCGAAUUUAGAAGAGAGUCUGUGAAAUACAGUUUCGGCAAGGGUGGUCUUGCCAAUACCACCCAUUCCCCAAAUACCUACAGUGAUGCAAGCGUCUGGUGAAUGAAUGCUUAAUAGCGAUUCUAUCUUCUUGAUGCGGCUUUCAAUUCCAACAUAGCCCUUUAAAUCGCAGGAUGAUUCACGACACAAUUGGGUCCAAAUAUGAUCGACAACUUUCUGAAUUAGAUCUGCCUCCGUCCUGGCGUAUAGAUGUAUAUGAUUAGGUAGAAAAGCAAUAGUUAGUCUUAAAUACGCUUUACCAAAUCUUAGCACAAAUCAAAUUGUCACAAGUUUAAAGAAAAUUUAUAACUUUAGACAAGUUAAGGAAUGAUUUAGCUACCCAGAUUUGUUUGAAUGAUCAAACCCAGAUAGAUUGGCUGCAGUCGUCAAAGCAUCCCUCCACUUCUGCACCUUGUCCUUAUCGAAACGUUUUUCAAGUUGAGCAAAUGCAACUUCAUGACUCCCGUGUUGUUUUCGUACAUCAGAUGGAUUGAUGUCGUAGAAUACGGGUAUAACCAUCCGGCCUUCUCUGUUCUUGCAUUUGAGUAUAUGCACAAGCUCAUCCAAACACCAUGAGGAAGAAGCAUAGUUUUGUGAGAAAAUGAUCACCGAAAUGGUGGAUUUCUCGAUUGCUUCUAGAAGGGCAGGUCCGAUUUCUUCUCCUCUCUGAAGUCUGUUAUCGAUGUAGGUUUCAAUUUUCUUCUGAAUUAAGGCAGCAUGAAGAUGGCUGGUAAUACCAAGGCGGGUGUCCUCACCUCUGAAACUGAGAAACACAUCAUACUUUCCUCGACGUGGGGGGUUAUCAGCAGCGGAUGAUGAAGAAGAAGCAAUGUCCAUGACCUCUAGUUUUCAGAUCCAGCAAAAAGACGUAGUUGCAGACAGAUUAAUUUUUAAUUAAGGAGAUAAAAAUUAUGACGUUGCACGAAUUAAGGAGAAUUUACUUAGAAUUGGCACAAAGUUUCAAUGAGAGAGAGAUGAACGAAAGUAGAAAAUGGAGCACAUGAUAGGCACAUAUUUUCUUUGAAAAAAACUAUAAUUUAAAUAAAGAUAUCAUAUAUUUGCAAUCUUGGUAUGAACGACGUCAUCUCAGCAUGUAAAACUACCAGUAGUUGAAAACCAUAAAAUGAUAUAAAUGCGAACCUUUUCUCCUUGCUUUGCUCGUCUCACAAUCAGUAUCAUCAUCGUCACCUGAUCGAUUCCUGCAAGUCAAGUUUUGGUUAUGUUUCAUACAGUCAAAAAACAUAAAUCAGAUUAUUAUGCAUACCAAAAAACACCACACAAAAAGGAUGCAAAAAAUCAACUUGAGACCUUUUUCUUGUGUUCUCUUCCUUGUUUUCUAUUUCCAUUGGCGCUUUCUCUUUUAAUCUUUUGUAAUGAAGCUUUUCAGAACCUCUGUUAAGAGAACCGUUUAAUCCAAGCGUCAAAAGGAAGACAAUUGAUAAAGAUGCAAACAAAACAAAGGACAUCCGGUGGCAGGUCUCCAGAGAAGAAAUUAACAGCAGACAUAACAAAAAUUAAUUAGCAAAUUAAAUGCCAGCAUAACAUAACAACUAAACUUAUUAAUUAAAAAGAAAUGACAAAAAAUAUAGAAAGAGCCUUUAACAGUAUCAGUAAACAUUAAACACUGACUAACCUCUGACAAGUUACCAAUUUGACAAUGGCUUGUUUGUUUUCUCCACCUUCAAAAUAAGAUAUCCAAAACAACUACUUUUUUGUAUAAUCAGCAGUAGCAACAGCGGAUGACGACGAAGAAGAAGAAGGCAUAUCCAUGAAACAAACGAGAGAGGGGGAGAGGCAGACUUGUUCAGAUUUUACUGCAAUUGGCUUUUGACUAGAUGCACAAAGUUCCAAAGGCUCUUCUGAAAAAGCUAUGAGUAAUAGAAAGACCAGUUGCAUGAAUUGGAUUUGGAAUCUGUAUUUCCGAGCACAAGUGACAAAUCAACUCAUUAAAUUAUUAAUGAAAAAUCUUUAGAGUCACAAAUUCAUUUUGUUUGAUUUCACCAUAAGAUAUUACACAAUCGUUACAACUAUUAAUCUCUCUACCAUAUUAUAAUCAAAUCAAAUUAAACGAAUCUUAAUAGUUAAAGAAAACUAAUGAAAAAAAUUUCAAAACUUUGAAUUUUAACCAAAUUAUCUCACAGGCAGCAGCUCUGUCUAUAAUUAUCUCACAGGCAGCAGCUCAGUCCAAAUUAUCUCACUGCAUUUUGACCUGGAAAUAAUCAAUUUUCUCUCUAGCAUCCAAAAUUUCUUUCUCCAAGUCUUUGGAUAUUUGUUAAUGUUGUGCUAGGAUAGCACCAAAUCAAUUGGAAACUAACUCAAACUAACCUAUAAGAAAUUACCAAAUGAAGUGCAAGAAUAAAAUAGAAAAGGCAUCAAGAUUUAACAAGUUUCCUCAACUAUCAAUGUAACUGGAGUACGUUCUUAAAACUGUAGGAGCUCAACAAUAAUCCACUAUCAAUCAAAUAAGAGUGCAUAUAAAGUAUUUGGCAAUAUCACAACCCAACAUCUUAAUACACUCAAUAUCUCUCACUCAUCAAAACAAACAAACAGAGUAAGAUAUAUAAUGAAUAAUUUCAUUUAUAUAAAAAGCUCAAAACUAAUUUUAUAAAAUACAACUUUGAAAGAAUGAUUACUAACGAAAUGAGGGCAGCAGCUCUCCUCUUUUUCUCUAACAAAUAGGGCAGUCGGCGGCCUUUCUUUGCUGACUACUAAGGGCAUCAGCUGCGGCUAUGUAAAAACCCUAGCCACAUCACGUGGCUUUCACAUGUGGGCUAAAAACAAAAGGUCUAUUUAAUGGGCUGAUGAGAUCAAUUAAAGCCUAAUGGAAUGCGGUCACAAAUUCAGCAGUUAUGACAAGACACUUGUCAGGAACUAAACAUUGUUAAUCAUCCAUCACCGAGAAGAGGAAAAAUAAAAAACUUUAACUCCGGCUAACAAGGAAGAGAAACGUAGCAAGUGGUUCUUUACCAUAAUGGUGAAGAAGAGUAUUACUUUUGCAUUACGUUAUAGGUUUGAACCCGGUUAACACUCUAUCUAACAUUUAAAAAAUGGUUAAUUACAGUUUACCACCUCAAGUUUGGGUGCAAUUACAACUUCAUACAACAUCUAUAAAAUAUUUCAAUCUCUUACAUUACCUGUUAUUUUGUUUCAAUUUCAUACAUCCGUUAAAAAAUCUAUCAGUUUCUCUAUUAUUUGCUUACAUGGACGUCGUGGGUCCCAUAAUAUAUGUGCCAUGUAAAUUAUAAAAUGAAAAACAAAAUUUAGAAAGAUUUGAAACUAAAAUUAAUAAAACCAAAAAAAAAACAAAAAAAACAAAAAACAAAACUUAACCUAAACUAAACUAAACAGAAAAGGUAAAAUAAAAAUAAUUAAAGAUGCUUUCCUUAAUACUAUGUCUAGAUGAAAAAAUUUAAGAUUAUUAAGGAAUUUUAAAAUGAUGGAAAUUGAAAUGAAGAGAUUUUAUUUUCUAAAAUUUGUGAAUUUUCUUGUUUAGUUAACCUAAAAGAACAAUGGAAUUGAUAAUGAAAUUUGUUAAUUUUAAACUCUCAAUCAUAAAAAUUGGGAAAUGACACAUAUUUACAUGGAAUUUAAACUUAGGAAUUUGAGGUCCCAAAUUCUAACGUAGCUGUGAUGACACGUACUUUGAAAAUGUAUUUACUAUGAUUUUUUUUUUGACAGAAACCAAGGCUAAGAAGCCGAACAGAACAAGAGAGCCUACGAGAGGCUAACACCAAACACGCACACAAAGACGAACGCAAUGAGAGGGGAUACAAACCAGCAGACGCGACAAACAAAUUGAGCGUCGCCCCAAACAUUGCCAAGACAAAUCAAUGCGAACAAGGGAGCCCAUCCUUGUUCAACACAUGCACCAACGAAGAUGGGGGCCUCAAAACCCAGACCCGAUCACACAUCUCUGGACAACCAACCGACGCAAGAAAAUCCGCCGCAUAAUUGGCUGAUCUUAGGACCCAAGACCAGUGGCAGAACUGAAAAGCUUCACUCAACUGCUUGACUCGAGCCAAGAGAGGGAAAGCUUCCCAACUUCCAGAAUCAAUAGAGCCAGAAAGACAAGAAAUGGAUUCAUGAGAAUCCGAUUCCAAAAUAACCGAAGUACACCCCAAGGAAAUGCCCAUCUCACAUGCACACAAUAACGUAUAAGCUUCAGCCGCAGCAACAUUGGGGGACACCGUAGCGUACCUGGCAGCCGCCACAAAAACCCCAUUCGCAUCCAUCAGGACCACCCCCACAAAGCCCUUCCUAGAAGCCCAAGACCAACUAGCGUCAACAUUUAUCUUAAAAAACAAAGGUGAGGGAGGAGUCCACCGAGUGACCAGCACCCGCCCAACAGAAAACACCAAACCAGCAGACCCCGUGACCCCCCUCCACAUCCCAGAACGACCUAAACGCAGACGACAUCCUCAACAGCACCGAGGUGGGGUUAAUUGGGACCUGAUUGAACACAAAUUCACAACGAACUUUCCAUAUAACCCAACAAGUAAAGCUCAUAUAAGAGUGAACCCAUUUCCGAUCAGCCAAGGAUCCAAGGUUAAUAGAAAAAACAGACUGCAACCAGCUCACCCACAAUUGAAUACCGUCUCUAUCAACCCGGUAGUUAAGAGCUCCCCCAAGCCAAAUAACUUGAACCCACGGACAGAGAAGGAACAAGUGCUCCACCAUUUCAUCCGCACACUGACAUGUAAGACAAAUAGGUGAAGAGGAGGCACGACGACGGAAAAGCACCGCUCUAGUAGGGAGGACAUUAUGCAACGAGAGCCAGAGGAAGUGACGAAUCUUAUGGGUCCCAUGUAACUUCUAAACAGACCGCCACAGCUGAUUCGGAACUAAGCAAGCACCAGGUAGGCGAUGAUCCCUGAUAUCCAUGGACUUCGAUUGCAACCAAUGAUAACCCGAUCGAGCUGAGUACAUUCCGGACUUGCUGGCAUCCCACACCAACUGAUCAUGUCGGUUAAGAUCACUAAGAGGAAUCUGCCGGAUGACAUCCUGCUCCUCCUCAGAAAUAAACGCUUGCAAAAAAUCAAUGUCCCACUCAUGAGACUCCGCCAUAAUAAGAGAGAUGAUCCGCAAAGUGGGAGUAACUGCGACCUCACCAAGCGGAACCGGAUGGCCCGCGGGCAAAGAAGGGAGCCAUCAGUCCACCCAAACACGCACAUCCUCACCACCCAAAAUUUGCCAAUGAUAACCAUUCCAGAGUAAUUCUCUACCUUCUAGAAGACUAGACCAAGCCCAAGAGGCCCUCUCUCAUUUGUUGGCAUCCCAAAAAGAGCAGUUCAGGAAGUACCGUGCUUUGAGAACUCUAGCCCAAAGAGAAUUCGGAUUAUAAAUCAACCGCCAACAUUGUUUAGCUUAUAAAUCAUCAUUAAACUCACUGAAGUUCCGGAAUCCCAAACUCCCCAAAUCUUUCGGAAGGCCAAGAACAGCUUUAGAAACCCAAUAAGUCUUCCGCUGAGCCCCCAGACUACCCCACCAAAACCCAGCGACCAAAGCAUCCAACUCAUUACACACUAUGGCUGGAAAUUUAAAAAUACUCAUCGGAUAGGAGAGGAUAGCCUGAACAACUGCCUUAAUCAAGACCUCUUUCCCUGCUCUAGAUAAUAUUUUUUGUUUCCAACCUUGCAACUUCCCCAAAACCCGACCCUUAACAUAAGCGAGGCCCCGCUUCUUGGAUCGACCCCAAAUAGCUGGAACACCCAAGUAAGCUCCAGGAUUAGUAACAGCAGGGAUACCCAGAACAUUAACUAAAUCACUAUAUAUCCGCUAAGGAACGUUCGCCUCGAAGUAGACACUAGAUUUUUACAAAUUCACUUUCUGCCCCAAAGCCUCGCAGUACCUCCCCAGAAUGUCAACCAGAUUUCUGCAAUUCUUCACAUUUGUCUUUAGAAAAAGAAGAGUGUCAUCAGCAAAAAAUAUAUGAGAAAUGACGGGCCCGGAAAUACCAAUCUUCAUCUUAUCCAACAUCUUCGUAUUUACCGCUUCCUGAAUCAAACAAGAUAGGACUUCCCCAACCAACAUAAAAAGAUAUGGAGAAAGCGGAUCACCCUGCCUAAGACCCCUAGAGGGAUCAAAAGAAUUACCAGGUUGCCCGUUGAGAAGGACUGCAAAUUGCACCAAAGACACAUCUCAUAAUCACUUGCCCCCGCUCACUGCAAAACCCCAUCCUUCCCAUGACAGCAUCAAGAAAAUCCCAUUCUACGCUAUCGUAGGCUUUCUGCAUAUCCAACUUAAUGCCCAUCUCAAACCUGAUUUUCGUUCUACGCCCUUUCAGGAAAUGGAAACAUUCAUGCCCAAUUCCAAUAUUAUCAUGAAUCUGACGACCAGCCACAAAUGCAUUAUGAGAGGAGGAAAUAAUAUGUGGUAGUACACCUCUAAGACGAUUGGCAAUGACUUUGGACAGAAUCUUAUAAGAAUAGUUACAAAGGCUAAUAGGUCGAAACUGAGAAACCAUUUCCAGAUGAGGGACUUUAGGUAUAAGAACAAUAUGAGUGGCAUUAAGAGUACGAGGAGUAACCGAACCAUGCAUUAAGGAUGUAAUCAACCUAUUAACAUCAUCCCUAAGCUGCUCCCAGAAAGUCUGAUAAAAAUGCCUUGGAAUCCAUCCGGCCCAGAGGCUUUAAGCCGACCCAUAUUCAUCACCGCCUCCUUAAUUUCCAAUUCCGACACCGGCGCAAUAAGCUCCAUGUUCAUCGUCUCAGUAAUACCCGGCUGAAUACAAUCCAAUAAUGUACCCCAGUUCCGCGGUCCCCCAGACCUGAAAAGUUGACUGAAAUGCUCCUCCACUAUCUCUCGGACUCGGCUCAGUUGCUCCACCCACUGCCCAUCCCCGUCCAUCAAUUUAAGAAUCUUAUUCCACCGCCGCCUUUGUAAAUUAGAUUGAUGGAAAAACUUAGUAUUCGCAUCGCCUUCCCGGAGCCAUUGAACCCGAGAUCGUUGCUGCCAAAAGCUCUUCUCUUGGGCACUAAGAUCAUCAAGUCGACGAGAAACCUCCUGAAUCUGAGUAAAAUUUGGGCCCCAAUUUAGUUGAAGCUCCCCGAGCUGUUGAAUACAUUCUUCAAUUUGCUGCCCUCUAUUUUUGAAUUUAUUUCGACUCCAUCGAAGCAGGAGAGACCGAUAGUCAUUUAGCUUCGUGACCCAAAGCAACGGGACCCCACCCCCACCCUGGCUAGCCCAACACUCCUGAACCAACACUUUACACUCCUCCUCUGGUUUGGUAUUGCUGUGCUUUGAAAAAAAGCUGCUGUGAGAAUAAGCGGCUGUGCUGUGAAAAUAAACAGCUGAGUGUUUGGUAAACUUUUUUGUAAAAGUGCUUUUGAAAAAAAAAAGCAGUAUGAUAGUGUUUGGUAAACUUUUAUGUGAAACAGCUGUGACUGUGUGAAAUGACCAAAAAGGGUAUAAUACUAGAUGUGCUAUUAAUUUAAUUUUCUUAACAAAUAAAAGUGAAUUACUUAAAUAUACUUCAUUUUUAGAAGAAAAUUAUUUAUAAACUUUAUAUUAAAUAUUAAUUAGUAUGACAAACUACUUCAAUUGAAAUAUUUUAGACUGAAUAGCUAGGAUUCAUUAGUACAAUAUUGUUAGUGUACUUGAAAGUAGUCUAAUUAGAUGCAUUCAUCAAACUUGUUGCUAUUCUAUUUCUUAAUGCCUCUAUUUCAUGUGAUCCUUCAACUUGAUAAUUUUGAUAUUCAUCGUCAUCAUCAUCACUACUAUCGCUCUCUUCACAAAAGUCUCUGGGGUCAUCAAAAUGACGAUCACGUUCAGAAUACCUCCGUAUGUAGUUAUGAAGAGCCAUUGUAGCAAAUGACAAUCUUCACUUGCUUAUUGAACGGGUAAUUAGGCAUGUCCCUUAAAAUUGCCCAUCUUUUCUUCCAUACCCCAAAAGUUCGUUCAAUGAUGCUCCUAAGAGAAGAAUGUUUGUGGUUGAAUACCUCUUUAUGACCUGUUGGUUCGGCACCCCUACGAAAGUCCGAGAGAUGAUAUCUUUCACCUUUAUAUGGUCCCAAAUAACCUCUCAUUUGUGGGUACCCUGCAUCUACCAAGUAAUAUUUUCCUGACAAUUGAAAAUUUUGUUUUGUAUUAUAAUAAUUAUACAAAGCAAGUAUGUAAAAUGUUAUAAUAAAAGUAUGAAGAUUACCAUUUGGAGGCUUGGAAAAGUUUAAAUUUGGAUCCCGUAGCACGGAUAGAAAAACCCUUGUAUCAUGUGCAGUGCCUUCCCAUCCGGCACAAGCAAAUGUGAAUUGCAUGUCAAAAUUACAUGCAGCCAUAACAUUUUGAGUUGGUAUUCCUUUCCUACCAAUGUACGGAACUUGAUCCGGAGGUGGUAUUGAAGCCUCAACAUGCACUCCAUCUAUGGCACCAAUACAAUCCUAAAAAUAAUAACAUAGAAGAAAACUGUCAACCUACGCUUAUAGUUUGCAAAUAAGUUAGAAGAUGAGUCAAACUUUACCUUAAAAUAAGGGAUGUAUCUUGUAUCUCUCCUUAUUUCUUGAGGAAUGCCACGAAACUCCGAAUCCAUUGGUUUGAUAAUAUCUAUUGCCAUGUUACAUACGAUAUCCAACAUAACACCAAAAUAUCUACUAACAGUCUCACCAGAAUGUUGAAAUCUCUCUUGAGCUAAUCUAUUUUUCACACCAUGUCCCAACAUAUGCAAGAACAUUCCUAAUAUUUCAAUUGCAUUGAUUCUCCUUGUACCUUUCAAUCCAUAAUUAGUUUGCAAGUCAUUGGAUAAUCUAUAAAAGACAUCUUUGUUCAUCCUAAACAUUCUAUAACAUCGCACAUCAUUUCCUUGUAGUACUUCCAUCAACCAAAUAUUACCUGUAUGGGAAGAAUUCAUACAUGGAGUUUUGUGGACAUAUUUUAAAUAAUAUGUUUCAACAGCUUUUGCUACAGCGCAUAUAAUUAGACCAUCCUCCAACUCCUCCACAUCAUCAUCAGAGGUGUUCAUAUUGAAUAUACCUGUAACCUAACACAUAAUUCAACAUUCCACAAGUCAUAAUCUAACAAUCACUAAGAAUUCAUAAUUCGACAUUCAAGAACAAGUCAAUCCAACGUUUAACAAGAAAUUAUAAUCCAACAUUCAAUAAACACAAAAUACAAGCAACAUUCAACACAAUCUUAAUGCAAAGUGCAAACCACACAAAGUCCUAAUUCAUAGUUAUAGCUUCUUAUUGUUCUUUGUUGAACAUAUAUUUCAACCAAGUUAGCCGGACUUCAGGAUCUUGGAUCGUGGUAAACACCUCUCGCUUCUCUGCAGAACAAAAUAAACAUGUAGCAAACAACCAUAACUUGCUAGGUGGCUCACAACCAGGCAAUUGUCCUACAACUGCUAACACUUCCGAAAUACUACUACCUAUAUGUAGCGACCUCAUCAAUGAGUUUGCAGAACUCCUAGUUUCAUAAGCUUCAACAAGACGAUCAAUUUGACCACAAAGUUUUGCAGCACCUCCAAUUUUUUUCCCUUUCUUAUCAACCUUCUUCUUUCCCAAUUCUCCUUGGUUAGCCGCUCUUUUUUUCCCUUCCUACUUGCUUGCCUUAGAUCCUGCAUAGUCUCAGUUUCUUCCUCAUCAUAUGAAUCAAUUUGUCCUACAGAUUCCUCUCUUGACUCUGGUGGUAGUACUCCAGAUGAAGGUGCCCAGGCAUGUUCACCGGUAGCAACUGUAGUCGAGAACAUCCUAUCUAACUUGUCCUCCAUCUCAGGACUAAUGCCUUUUUCGCAAUUUUCCAUAUUCUUUGUUUAUCUACAAGUAAGAAAGAAUAUGAUUAAUACAUAUUGCAUGAUAUCAUAAUACAUAUUAAAAGAUAAAUACACAAACCUGAAUUUUAUUAUUCCACCACUCCUCAGAGGCAUCAAUAGUACCCUUGCUCGAAUUCCACCCUAGGCAAGUUUCUUUACCAACUAGCUCUUUCCACAACUUCCACUCAUUUUUAAGUGCAUCCCACUUAUUUUUCAGUUGCUUUCUUUCAUAAUCAUGCCCUGUCUCUGCCUUGAAGUUAGCUCUAAUAUUUGCAUAUCCAUUUUUGUCAAAGUGAGUGUCCGGACGAUGUCCGGCCUCAACCUCCUUGAUGCAAACAUCGCAAAAUAUAGAUAUAUUGUGGGCAUUCCAUGUAGCUACAGGAUUUGACGAAGAUGCCCCCUUCUUUGCCUUCAAUACCAAUUACUAAUGGUACAAUAUUGACCUAUAUUACGCAUAUGAUGAGGAUGUCCAAUGUUUUAUGCCAUGCAGUUACUGCCUUUAUUAAAAACAUGCUCUAUAAUCCUAAUAUUCACAUUUAAGUAGACGUAAUAUCUCCCAACAAACAUGCACUUAUUUAAUAGAGCGAUUCAAUUCAAAUUGGUGUUUUCAAAAUCAAGUUCUACUUUUAAGCUUAUUGCAUGAUUUCAAAAAUUAUUUCCAAUCAUAAAAUAAUUAUGAGUACAAGAUAUUCAUCUUAUUGUGUCAAUAUUCGAGAAAUAUAUUUCCUCUUGAAAAAGAUUAAAACAUGGAUACCCUCCAAAUGGCCUCUUAAGAUGAAUAUGGAUGGUGAGCGGAACAAUAUCAUUGUCAUUCCAAGAGAAUUGCUCAAAUUCAAAGUCCUCUUUAAUAUUUCAGUGCAUAACACAUAAUGGGUUUCUAAUGUCAAGCCAUUGCCAUAUCAAUCAGUUUCAAUACUGAAAAACACCAACCCUAGAAGCGUGAAUGUUAGAAGGAGUAAAGAUAGAUGGUCCUUUAUGUUUAAAGAAAGACAGGUAGUCUGUGCACAUAAGCUCUGCCUAUCCAUUCCUCUUUGCACAUAAUCAUGACAAAGGCUUCACUACUACCUGACCGUUUUACCAUACUUGUUGGCUGAACAGAAAGAAACAAACACAUAAAAAAAUGACUUUCCAAUUUCCAUCCUAAUUUCAUCAAUUUCUUAGUAAACAAACACGAAAAAAAAUAAAAUGAGCAACCAAUUCAACAAUUAACAAACAAAUUACAGAGAAUCAACUAAAAAAAUCAGCGUAAAGUGAUGGAGAAAACGAGAGAGAAAUCUCACAGGUCUGAGAGGGAGUGAGAGCGCGCACGAUUGGUUGGAUUGGACACGAACCGCUCAGCGAGAGAGAUCUCAAAGGAGUUGCAAUGACGGGCAAUAAAGGUGCAGAAACAGCGAGAGAGAUCUCAAUGAAACCGCGAUUUUCAGAGGGAAAAGAUAGGAGCACAGGGAUUGAAAACUCCGUGGGUUGAAAACAUGAAGCCAAAUCAGAAAGCCAAAUAAUUGGGAUAGUGCAGAAAAUUAAAACAAAACAAACAAAACAAAUUAGAGCAAAAAAAGACAAAAGGUCAACGAAAGCUUGGUGCCAUAAAGAUACAAACAGAAUCAUUCUCCCUCCCUCCCUCCCUCCUUCCCUUCAGGGAGAGCAAGAGAGCAAAAGAGUGAGAGACAGCGGGAGGAGGACACAAUACCAUAUAACGGGUGAACAAAUUGCCCACAACUGGUCAUCACAUUGUAUUCUAUCAAUUUUGGUUUCAUUAAGAUUUUGUUUCUUAUAUAAAAGAAUGAUCUCAAAAGAUGGAAAAUUAUACCUUUCUAUAAGCAUAUUAUAAGUAUAUAAUUCAAACUCCCACUACUUUUAGGUAUUUAACAUGACCGGCCAGUGGGAAAAAAACAAGAACCAGUCAUUAUAAUCCUAAACAUAAUUGUUAACGAAUAAAUCGUACUACAAUUUUCUCAACUAGAUAAAGGGGAACAUUUUGGAGCGGAGAACAGGCUUGGAAACUGUCUCAACAACAGAAGCAUAUGUUGAAUGUGUUUUUCUUGACAAUUGUAUGUGUUUUAUCUGUUGACAAUUAUAUGUUUAAUAUGUAUAUUUUUUGCGUGUUGCAGAUCUUGAUUUCCUGUUUUGUGAAGACGUCACAUUAUGAAGAGUAUCUCUGCGUUAAGGUAAGGACAUUUUAAUUCAGAAAAAAAGUUGUUCUACCUUCCAAUUAGCUGACCUCAAUUUACCAUAAUCAAGGCUUAAUUACAAUAUGCUAACGUAGAAGGAAAGAUGACAAUUUGUCCAAUACCAAAAAAAGAGACAAUGAUCCUCACUUUGUUUAACUUUGGGUCUCUUGGCUGAAGUUGGUUUGGGAGGGAGAGAAAGCUAAAUUUAUGUGGGGCUCACACUAUGGUUUGGAAGGGAAAGAAAGCUAGGGUUAUGUGGGGCACUAUGAUCCUCACUUUGUUUUGAGUGGUUUGGAUGAAGAGGAGUAGAAGGAGUUUUGAAGAUUUCAUGGGAGCUAUUGGAAAGCUCUAUUGGAAAGCUGCUAUCUCUUGGUUCAUUAGCAGUUUUUAGAGUUUGGCUGUUAAGGGGCUAAACAACUCGAAAAGAAAACCAGCAGCCAUGCUUGACCUGUAAGCAGGGCUCGUGUUCCUUCUUCAGGAACCACAACAUCCCUAACUAAUUUAAUAGCGUCAUAUAGAACACCAGGACUCAGCACUUUUCCAGGACAAUUCUCACUAUAAUGGUGAUCUGUUAGACAACUACCAAACCAAGUUUGCAGGACAAUUUAGAAACUCUCCAUUUUUUAUAGUGAGGAUUACACUUUUGCCAGUUGUAUUUGUAUGCGAUCCUAAACUACAAAUACGACUACGUACAAAUAUAUAUAUAUGCGAUCCCAGGUACACAUAUACGACUACGUACAAAUAUAUACCAUCAUAAAGAAAACAUGAUUAAUUUUCCAACUUUCGGGAGAAAAUCAAUAUGCAUAUAUACAAGUAAAAGUAUGGUUUUACCUUUUUAAUUGCAAAGGCAGGAACUUGAAAUAGAGAAGAUAUGACGAGAAUAACUGGAGCAAAAACGAAAGCUUUCCAAAUCAGAAGCACAGUUCACAGAUUAGAAGCAGAGCAAAGCUUUAUAAGAAAUUAUCCCUUACCUAAACCCAAAUCAGAAGCAGACCUUCUAAAAAAAAUGAAUAGAGAAGUAAUCAAACUUCUCUCUCAAAUUUUCUUGUUUCCUCCACAAACCCUAAUUUUUUCCCCAAUUAAUUUUUUCCACAAAUCAUAUCACCUUCCCCAUUUAAUUCCCCACCCUCCAUCCCCAAUUGUUUUUCCCGACACCCAUACCCUCAUCCCUUUGCUCUUCCCACCCCUCUUUCCCUCUCAAUCUCCCAUCCCCAAAUUGAAAAAUCCAAACAAAUUAAUAACUUUUACAAGAGAAGCUUACCAAAGGAACCUGGAGAACGAGAGAUCGCUAGUUUUUGGAACGAGAGGACGAGAGGACGAGAGGACGAGAGAGUGGUUGUUAGGUAUGCGAGAACUCUAAGGCGAGAGUUGAAUGUCAGGUACGCGAGAGCUCUGAGGCGAGAGUGAAGGCGAGAGGGAAAGGAUGGCAAUUUUGGGUUAUUGAAAAUUUCAUUAAACGUACUAUUGUUCAUCUGUGUUUUCAAAAUAAGCUGUUUUUGGAAGCUGCUAUUUGCAGCUUCUACUCAGCUUCAGGUUUUGGGCUUUUUUUUCACCCUUAGCUUUGAAAUAAAGCUGUUUUUCAAAGUUUACCAAACAUCAAAAUUGCUACCAACUUUUUUAUUAAUCACCUCACUCCCAAACCUGACCUAAGGGCUGGUUUGGUAUUGCUGUGCUUUGAAAAAAAACUGCUGUGAGAAUAAGCUGCUGUGCUGUGAGAAUAAGCGGCUGUGAAAAAAAUCAGCAGAGUGUUUGGUAAACUUUUUUGUAAAAGUGCUUUUGAAAAAAAAAAGUAGUCUGAUAGUGGGUUUUUUCAUUAAAGAAGCACUGUAGCUCUGUGUGCUUUGAAAAAAAAGCCAGUUUUCCAAAGCUACAAAUAGCAGCUUCAGCUUUUUCCUUUGAUUUCAGCUUAUUUUCACAGCAGCUUCCAAAAUAAGCUCUUUUUUUUUAGUUUACCAAACACCUAAAACCCUCACAUCUUUUUUUCAUGGGUGUUUUUUUUUAAGCACCUCACUCCCAAACCACCCCUAACAUUAGCUAUGUGGAAUGGCUUAUCAGAAAUUGUAUAAUAAGGAUAAUAGCCUCAAGCAAUCUCGAUAGAACUAGGACUUUAUUAUCUGAUAUGUUUAUUAGAGUUUUUACGGUGAUAAAGAUAGUUUGAUAAGGAUUACAUAAUGGGAAGUGUCCUUAUUGAACUCCAUCGUUUAUGGUAUAAAGCUAGGGUCCAUGCGCUCUCACAAAUACACAAGCUUUCAGAUACUCAAGCCCCAUUGAUUGAGCCUUGUAUCCAGUAGUGCAGAGUUGCAGAAGAACCCUUUAACUCAAGCAGUAAUGUCUUCAUCAGGUGAGUGGUUAAGUUGGUAUCGUGAUUUAGUUUUCAUAAGUUAUACACUUACACUCAUUGGAAUUAUUGUUCUGUUUUGACAGGGUUUAAUGCUACUGUUUCCGGUUGUUUCUUUCCCGUAGAGUCCAUCACCACCUAAUUCCUCAUUCAUUUCACUUGUGAAUACCACUUCUAUGGUCAUACUUAAUGUCCAAGUUCCUGGUUGUAGCUGAUCUCUUAUUGUUCUUGGAGAAGAAUAUUGCAGCAUUAUUGUCACAGUGGAUUUGAAUUGGCCUUGCAAUUGAAUCAAUAACUUUAAGUCCCAUUAUGAAAUUCUUUAACCAAACAGCUUGGUUAACAGUCUCACAACAAGAUAAAUAUUCAGCUACCAUUGUAGAAGCCGCCACUGUGUCUUGCUUCACACUUUUCCAAGAAACAGCUCCACAUGCCAUCAAGAAAAUGUAACCUGAUGUAGAUUUAAGAUCAUCCAAACAUCCAGCAAAAUCAGAGUCACUAUACCCUUCUAACACAAAUUCAUUUGUCCUUCUGAAAACCAACAUAUGUGCUUUAGUUCUCUGAAGAUAUCGCAGCACUCUCUUUGCUGCAUUCCAGUGAGCUUCACCAGCAUUCGAUUAGAACCUCCCAAGCACACUUUAUGAAAUCCCAUUCUCGGAUUUCAUUGUUAUAAUCUACGUUUUUGUACUAUUAAGAUUUUAUAUUAUUUCUCAAGAAUUUAUUUUAAAUUGUUUGAAUUUAGAUUUUAAUUAAACUAGUUACGAAGAGUGAAGUUUGGAAAAUAAUUAUUUGAAAUUCGUUGACCUUUUGAGGUCACAAGUAACGUUUUUGAAGAGGUCUCGAAUCUACGAACACUUAUGCGAAAGCCGUUUGCGAGUCCGAAUUGUAACGGUAUAGUUAUGGAAGUUUGAAGCUGUGAAACUUUAGGUUGUUGAAAUUAUUUAAUUUCCAUUUAUGGGUAAAGGGCGCCCAAACACUUUUUGGGGAUAAAAAAGGACCGGCUGUUAAAAGGAGAAAAGGGGGGGAAAAUGAAAGGGGAGGAGACGUGAUGGCAGCAAGGAGAGGAAGGAAAAGGGAGUUGCGAAAGAGAAAAGGGGGGGGGGAAUGUUCUUUCACGUUCUUCCUGGCUUUGCGAGGAAAGAAAAAGAAACGGGGAGGAGGUGGCUCUUCCAUAGUUGUUGGAAGAAAAUCCUUCUUUCUUCAAGCAAAAAAUCAAAGAGAGAGGAGUUGGAGAACAUGAUUGUGAAGGAAGUAUUUAGAGAUUUGAAGGGUAAAUUCCUUGUUACUUCAUUAUCUUGAUUUUCAAAUUUAACUUCCUUAAGUCGAAUUGAAACUGCCAUGAUGUAUUGGAGUUCUUAGUUCUAUUUAGGGUUUCUAUCAUUCAGUGAACUAGUCUAAACAUGAAUUAGAGUUGGGUAAUUUGGAUUGGGUGUGUAGAUCAAAUUUCUUGAUCAAGGGUUUGGUUCAAAAGGUCAAUUUUUUGUUAAUUUUGAGUCAUGUUAGUUUUGGAUGUUGUAUACAUGAUUUAUGGACUACAUGGAAGUAUUUGGGAUUUGUUAUAUGAAUUGGAAGUGUGCUGUUACGUAAGUUGUAGAAAUGAUUUCGUUGCAAAGAAAACUCAAGUUUCGAGUAGCCUUCUUUGGCUCUUAAUUUCUAGGCCUUUAUGUGCUCCUUUGGAGAAAUUUUUUGUGUAUUGAAAGUACAUAUGUUCAUGAUCGUAACCCAAUUGUUUUCACUCCGUUCCGUUGAGUUUUGGUUGAUCAAAACCUUAUUUAAACUUGGGUUCGCGAGCUGCCAAGCAGCAGCAAGAAAACUGGGUUUCCAGUUUCAAGACUCUGUUUUUCUUUUGGUGUAACUUCCAAUUGAGAGCUCCGUUUUCUACAAACUUUGUAUGCUUUUAAAGUACAGAACACAAGCUUCAAAACCCAUAUAAUAUUACAUGAUUUGGUUUAGUUUUGAAUGUUCCAAACGGAGCCUAAACUUGGUCCAAUGGUGCUGUUUUCUGCAGAUUUUGUGGAGAAGCAGAGUACUGUUUUUGCCACACCUAGUUUCUUUCCAGAUUCCUUUCUAAUCUUCCUUACUACUAAUUGAGUGAUGGUAUUAAUGUCAAUUGUGAAUAUGAAUUGGUCUUAUAAAUAGGAUUUCUAUUGAAAUAUGAUAUAUAUAUAUAUAUAUAUAUGUGUGUAGCCAUAGACAUAUGUUUAUUAAACAUGAAUUGGCUUAUGUACGGAUGAUGAUUGUCAUAUAUGUGAGUUAAAUUAUCUUUUUAGUAAUGUGAAUGAUGCGUAUGAUUAUUAUUAUUAUUUUUAUGACAAUGUGAUCCUAGAAUCCUAUUAGAAGUAUGUGGUAGCACUUUUAUGCUUGGGUGACAUAUUAGUGGUGACCUUGAGAAGUUGAUGGGUGGAAUGGAAACCUUGAUUGUCAUAUUGGAUUGUUAUGUAGCCUUGAAUCUAGUACUUCCAUACUUGUCAAGUUCUAAUGAUCGAUUGAGGAAUGUUAUAUCUUUCGGCUUGAAUGUACUAUGGUAAAUGUAGAUGGGUAACGAGUGACGAACUACGAAUGGCUUGAUCCCUGGUGAGGGUACGUAGGCAGUCUAACGAGAAGGUUAGAUGCAGUCAUAAAGUAUACAAAAAUUACUACGCAAUUUGGACCUUGAGUGGUGCUUUAUUCAUAUCCUGAAGAUGAGUAUGUUAGAUAUACGAGUAUUUGGUGACGUCGCGUGUCGAUCCAGGAUGUAUGUCGGGAUCAGGGCGUGACACACUUAUUGUGAAUGCAAGAUCAGGUCAUGUACAGACAUGAGCGUACAUUAGGCUUCCUACUAAGGAAGCAUAUGGCUUAUCUUCCAUGAUCUUUCUCUCCAAAUCAUUUUUAGGGCACUGCAACUUACUCAAUUUUUCUCCCUUCGAAAUUGGCACUUUAGUAGUUCCACAACUGGACAUGUUGAAUCUUUUUAAAAUCUUCUCUAUAUACCCUUUCUGCGAUAGUCCCAAUAAACCUAUCCUCCUGUCCCUUUUGAUCUCAAUCCCUAAGACAUAUGUUGCCUCUCCCAAGUCUUUCAUUUCAAAAUUCCUUUGCAAGAAAGACUUUGUUUCACUUAAUAAACUCUGACUAUUAGUGGCAAGCAGUAUAUCAUCAACAUAAAGAAUUAAAAUGAUAAAACUACUCCCACUAACCUUCAUGUAAAUGCAGUUGUCAGAAAGAUUUUCAGUAAAACCAUAUUCUCUUACCACUUGAUGAAACUUGAGGUACCACUGCCUCGAUGCCUGCUUGAGUCCGUAAAUAGAUUUCUUCAACUUGCAAACCAGGUUAUCUUUCCCCUCUUCUUUGAACCCCUCUGGUUGCCUCAUAUAAAUACAUUCAUCCAAAUCCCCAUUUAAGAAGGCCGUUUUCACGUCCAUUUGAUGCAAAAUAAGAUCGAAGUGUGCUACCAUAGCCAUGAUAACCCUAAAAGCAUCUUUGGUUGAAACUGGACUGAAGGUCUCUUUGUAGUCAACACCCUUUCUUUGUGUGAAUCCUUUCGCGACCAAUCUAGCUUUGUGCCUUUCUAUAUUUCCAUUCGAAUCCCUUUUAGUUUUGAAAACCCACUUGCUUCCUAUGAGUUUCAUUCCUUCUGUCUGUUCAACUAACUCCCAUACACAAUUGUUUUCCAUUGAAGUCAGCUCACUAUUCAUUGCUUCUAUCCACUUGUCGGCAUUUGGUCUUAAGAUUGCUUCUUUAAAGCUUAUAUGAUCAUUAAAUUCUGAUAAAUCAAUGUCACUCUCAACCAUGUACACGAAGUCUUCUAGUGUCGUAGGUUUCCUGACCCUAGUUGAUCUUCUGAGAUUAGUGGUGAUGUCGACAUUGUCCUCUUGUAUUUGUUGUUGCUGAUCGAUGGUGGCUGCUGCUGUCUCAAUUAUUGUGGUAACUUGAUCAUUAUUUACCACUUCUAGAAUUGUUACAUCAACCUCGUGGUCUUCAUCGCAUGCAUCAGUUUCAUCGUCUUCCAUGUGCCCAACAACUUUUAGAAGUGGAGAUGCUGCACUUAUCUCAGUUUCCAUUGGUUGGACUGCGAUUUCAUUUCCUUCUUCUUCAAAUACAAAGGUGUCCACCUUAGUCCCAGGACCAGUAUCGGUGUCAUGCUCUAAGAAAAUUGCCUUGCCAGUUUCAACUAUUUUGGAAGUAUAAUUAGGGCAGUAAAAUCUGAAUCAUUUCGACCUUUCUGCAUACCCUACGAAAAAACAACUAAUGGUCUUGGGAUCGAGCUUUUUGUUGUUAGGACUAUAAACUUUUGCUUCUGCUCUACAACCCCAAACAUGAAGAUGAUUCAAGCUGGGUUUUCUCUUUGUCCAUAAUUCAAAAGGAGUACUAUCAACAGAUUUCGAUGGCAUCCUAUUUAAAAUAUAAUUUGCAGUCUUCACUGCUUCUCCCCACAAAGAACUUGGCAAAUUAGCUCUACAUAUCAUGCUUCUUACCAUGUCCAUUAAGGUCCUGUUUCUUCUUUCUGCAACCCCAUUUUGCUCGGGGUUUCCAGGUGUAGUGUAUUGAGCUACAAUCCCAUUUUCUUGCAAGAAUAGUUCAAAAGCUCUAGGAUGUCUACCAGUUUGAGUAUAUCUACCAUAAUAUUCUCCACCCCUAUCAGACCUAACAAUCUUUAUUUUCUUUUCCAAUUGAUUUUCAACUUCAUUCUUAUAAAUUUUGAAAACUUCAAAAGCUUUGGAUUUUUCAGUGAUCAAAUAAAUAAAACAGAACUUUGAAAAAUCAUCAAUGAAGGUUAUAAAGUACUUGUUUCCUUCUAUUGUUGGCGUUGGAAAAAGACCACAAAUGUCCGGGUGAAUGAUUUCUAGGACUUGUUUACUUCUAGUUGAUCCUUCUUUCCUACCAUUUGUCAUUUUACCUUUGAUGCAAUCCACACAAAAAUCAAAGUCAUUAAAAUUCGAAGAUGGUAAAAUGUCAUUUUUAACAAGCAACUCCAUUCUUUGUUUCGAAAUAUGGCAUAGUCUCUUAUGCCAUAGGUUUGAAGAUUGAGUUUUGGUGUUCCCAUUUUGUAUGUUGAAAACGUGUUCAUCAAAGUUUAACUUUAUUUGGAACAUUCCAUCACUCAAGAAGCCAGAACCAAUUUGAGAUGAUUUAUUAAAAAUGUUGAAGCCAAUAUUAUUAAUAGUAAAAUAAAAUCCCAACAUAACUAGCUUUGAAACUGAAAUCAACUUCCUUCUCAUAGAAGGUACAUAAACGACAUUUUCCAAUUCUAAACAAAAACCAAAUUCUAACUUUAGCCUAACACUUCCUAAAGCUUUGACUUCAACUCUUCUUCCAUUGCCAACAGAGACUUUGACUUCAUCUUUAUUUGGUGUUCUCUUUGUUAUGAAGUCCUCCAAUGAAUUCGUAACAUGAAUAGAAGAGCCUGAGUCAAGCCACCAUGCAGUGCUAGGUAUAUCAAUCAAAUUUGACUCAAAACAAGCAAAAAUAUUUUUACCUUACUUUGACUCUUGUUUAGCAAGCCAAGCCUUAUAUUUUGGGCAAUUUCUCUUCAUAUGACCUGUUUUCUUGCAAAAAUAGCAUUUGAAAAUCGAUGGUUUGUUAGGUUUAAAGUUCCUUUUGGUAGGAGAUGGAGCCCUUUUGGUAGUAUCUUUUCUGGUAGCAUCAACAGCCGAAGGUUUGUGUGCUUUAUAGGCACCAUGCACGAGAUUGACAGAUUCAAUCUUUUCCUUUUCAUACUUCUCCUUUUUCAUCCUUUCUUCUUCACUUACACAUAUAGCAAUUAACUCAUUCAUAUCCCAUUUUUCACGCAAAGCAUUAUAAGAUACUUUCAGUUGAGUGUAGCUAUCACGUAGAGAGUUCAUUAUCACAUGCACAAGAAAUGUUUCAAAUAUAGGUACCUCGAGAGCCUUAAGUUUUCCAGCAACAUCCAUCAUUUUCAAGAUAUAUUCACGUACGCUCUCAAUGCCAUCAUAUCUCAUGGUGGUAAGUGAGUUCAUGAGAUUACCUGUCUCAGUUUUUUGAGACUCCUUGUAUUUUUCUUCGAUGGACGCAAGAAAGUCCUUGGCAUUACUAGCAUCUGGGAAGCCACCACGAACCACAUCAGUCAUGCUCCUCUUGAUAAUCAUCAGGGAAAUCUUGUUUGAUUUUUGCCAUUUUUCAUACUUGGACCGUUGGCUGGAUGUGCUCCCAUCUGUCGGCAUAGGAGGCUCUUCAGUCUUGAGUGCUAAAUCCCAAUCCAUGACUCCUAGCACGAUCUCUAGAUCCUGUUUCCAUUUCUUAUAGUUGAUACCAGUAAGUGGUUCAACAGUGUUGAGGUUCAUGGAGCUACGAUUCAUGGCUGUCAAAGCAUAAAACUUUCGAAUAUUAAUCCUUAUCCCCAAACCAUAUAUCACAGAAAACAACAUUCUUUAGAUUGAUGAAAGCUGCGAUUAUUUCCUUUGUUCAUAUCACUUUUGCAGCUGAUACAUGAAUUUCUUUAACUAUGAUUAUAGAUCUUUAUGAUCUGACAAUGAUAGUUGUGUUCAUGUAUUGGCUGUCAAAAUGAUAUGCCACUCAAAAACUAAAUAUGAACAUCUGAACUUCUUUAGAGGAUCAACGUUCACGAUUAGUGUUCACGUGCCAUUUUUGGUAUACAUAUUAAGAUGAAAAACCCACACGAAUAAGAAUGGCUUUAGCCAUCACAUGCUCGUGCAUUUUUUCCCAGAUAAUAUGUAACCAGUUCUGUAACCUGCACAGCAAUAAGAAAACAAACAAAAAUUCUCGAUACCUCCAACAUAGGAUUAAGAUGAUACGUGAAGGCUCUGAUACCAACUGUAAGUGUAUAACUUAUGAAAACUAAAUCACGAUACCAAAUUAACCACUCACCUGAUGAAGACAUUACUGCUUGAGUUAAAGGGUUCUUUUGCAACUCUGCACUACUGGAUACAAGGCUCAAUCAAUGGGGCUUGAGUAUCUGAAAGCUUGUGUAUUUGUGAGAGCGCAGGGACCCUAGCUUUAUACCAUAAACGAUGGAGUUCAAUAAGGACACUUCCCAUUAUGUAAUCCUUAUCAAACUAUCUUUAUCACCGUAAAAACUCUAAUAAACAUAUAAGAUAAUAAAGUCUUAGUUCUAUCGAGAUUGCUUGAGGCUAUUAUCCUUAUUAUACAAUUUCUGAUAAGCCAUUCCACAUAGCUAAUGUUAGUCUCCUCAUUAUUCCAAAACACUUCUACACGGUAAACAAGUGUUUGCUCUCUAUUGAACUUACAAUGAGGGCAUACAUGUAUUGAUAAUGGCAGCAUAGAUAUACACAAAACUGAAUACCAACCAGAAGCAAUUCCAGCAGCCACAUGAAAGAGCAUUCUUUGUGAACUUCUAUCAAACACAGCACCAAUACCCUUGGCUAUAGAAGUUCCAAUCUCAAUGCUAGGACCUCGGGACCUAACAAGUUCCUAGUCCCAAGUGUGACACAAGCAGCAAUUGCCUUGAGAAAAAGACACGAUGCUGCCUUGAGACCAUCAAAAACCGAAAUAGGCAUAUUCCCAUUUUCACUAAUAAAUUCUCUCUUUUUUCUCCUCUUUGCUCAUUGCCAUUGUUAUCUUGUGAACCAUCCUCUAGAGCAUCUCGAAGCAAGUUUGUUAUGGCAACGAUCAAACCCCAAGAAGCUGGAACCAGAAUCACCUGCUUCCACGUAUCUCUCAUGUACUCCUCUCUCAGCCACGAAGCUCCCAAUUGCGGCAUCCCACCCAAAACACAUCACGUAUCUCAUUAACCUUCCCAUUCAUGUCAAAAUCUCAGAAAAAGCUCAAAACUUUAUAUAAGCAAGCAAGAAAAAAGCAAAGAAAAAAUGGGUAAUGAGUGACUGAACCUGAGGUUCCACCCCAAAUUGGAAAUGGGGGAGUAGCCCGACUCUUUUUCAUAACCUCACGCGCCCCUCACAUGUUGCAGCACUCAAAGCGAAACAGAUGGACAACACACAUUCCUAUGUGAGACAAUUCUUUAACAUCCUCACAAUGAAUAACAAAAUCAUGUAAAGAUCACUAGCAGACUACAAUGCUAAUGCAUCUCAUGAACAUUUACAAUUUGUGUAAAAUUUCAGAUAAAAGCUCAAAACUUUGCAAACAAGCAAGCAAGAAAGGAAAAAUGGACAAUUGAGUAAUGGAUAAAAAUCAAACAUACAGAGUAGUUGAAGAGGACGAUGCCGAUUCUGGUGAGCAGACCCAUCAAGCUCGACGACAGCCCUAUCGUCCAGUUCCUCAACCACGGCCUUGUGCUAUGUUUUCAUCUUCCUCUUCUUCUUGUUCUUCUACGUUGUCAUCGUCAUUGUUUUGUUGUUUUUGUUGCUGGGUUUGCUGGUUUUGAGGGAGGGAGAAAGGAGAUCUGAGAGCGAGGGCUCUGUUCGAGCAAAAAUUCCACGGGGGGAAAGGGUUUCCUGGCUCGAAGCAACAGCUCCCCGAGAGGUGUUGGCACCGGUUGAUGUGGCUGUCGGGCUCCUGGUUGUUGGUGGUCUACAAGAGGAGGAUAGUAGUUAGUUCUUAAAGGUGCCUUUGUGGGGCCUUAGGUGUAGGCCUUGAGGCUUCACAAUCAAAACUAACUAUUGAUGUUCAGGCGUGCCACUGCCAUCUUCAACAUGGUAGAUGUAAGAUGUAUGUUUGGAUCAACUGCUCGUGCCCGAGAGACCUGGUUAGCCUUGAAAGGUAUCUUUGUGGGCCUUAGGUGUAGGCUUUGAGGCUCGCAAUCAAGACUAACCAAAACGCUCUAGCGUAUUGUAGUUGUUUUAUUGCAGCAUGUGUAAUAUAACCGUAACAAACUAACCACUCGUGCCCGAAGAACUGGAUUAACCUUGAUAGGUGCCUUUGUGGGGCCUUAGGUGUAGGCCUUGAGGCUCACCAUCAGAAUUGAUUCAAUCCCUAAGCUAGGCAUAGUGAUCAAAGUCUCACAGAUAUAAAACUUAGUAAGUGGUGCGAUUACUUGCACCCCAAGUAACUCGGACUUCUUGUUAUCAAAUGAUUGUCGUGGAUAGGUUAAGUCCACAUUAAGUUCUUUUUUAUGACUUAAGGCCAAUGACUUUUGGUUGGAUCAAUCUUAUACCCUUGAGAGGUUGGAACUCAGAUCUAAACAAUUUAUCAAGUCGCAACUUAUCUCAUUUUUUAUGGUGGAAACCACUAAACACGCCAGAUCCGGGCACCAAUAUAUAUUUUAAGCAUAGACUGAUGGGAAGUAACUUGAAUACAUAUUGAGGAAUACAUCAUGUCAACAGAUCUAUUUAUUAAAAAGAGGUAGAACACAGAGGGUUGGGCAAGAUUUCACCUUGUCGGGCAAGGUUGAUUGCCUCGCAGUUUCCUCUAUUUGUGGCUACAGAGUGUUUAGGUGCUAAGGGAAGGGAUAAACAAGCAAGUUUAUAAAAGGGAAUCGAUACUAAAACAAGCUUAAGGCAAGGUAGUAGAGCUAUUACACAGACAAAGGUUGUAUUUUCUACGAAUAGCUUAAGGCUCGAAAGGGUGCAGUACCGAGACAAAGCACAGCUUUCUGGGUUUUCUUGGCUUGGUUGAGAGAGGCAAGUUGUAAGAUUGUUUGUUUAAUUGAUUGAGUGUCUUUAAUUAUGGUCUCUCUUUCUUCUUUUAUAGGCAACUCAUCAUGGCUACUUGGAGCUCUUAAUAAGUCAUCAAUGCCAUCAAUGUACACCUCUAUGCUCUGGCCAAUUAGAUCAUGAAAGAUGGCAUUCAUUGCCCUUUGGUAGGUUGCACCAGCAUUUUUAAGCCUGAAUGACAUGACCAGGUACUCAUAUGUCCCCACAUGCCCGGGGCACCUAAAAGAUGUCUUGUGUAUAUCUUCCUGAGCCAUUUUUAUUUGAUUAUAGCCAACAUUCCCAUCCAUAAAAGACAUAACUUUGUGCUUUGCAACUGCAUCUAUGGACAGGUUAGCCAUGGGCAUGGGAUAUUCAUCUUUUGGUGUGGCGCCAUUUAUAUUUCUAUAAUCAACACAACAUCAUACUGCUUUUGUUAUAGCUUUUAAUACAGGUACAAUGUUGGCCAACCACUCCACGUAUUUGGCAGGCCUAAUAAAUCCAACUUUCACAAGCCUUUCAAUUUCUUCCUUGACCUUUUCUUCGAUUUCUUUUGACAUCAUUCGUGGUGCCUGUUUGACGAGUUUAUAUCCUUCAUUGAUAGGCAUCCUGUGUUCUACCAAGGUUGAAUCUAAACCUGGCAUCUCUGUAUAAUGCCAAGCAAAACAGUCUUUCAAUUCGUGCAAGAGACUGAUGAUCCUUGCCCGAUCAUCAGUUGCCAACAAGCCACUAAUCUGUAUAGGCCUUGGAUCUUCUUCAGUUCCCAAAUCAAUGACCUCUAAUGGAUCUUGAACCUCUGGUGGUGGUUUGUCUGGCUCCGCACAUAAAAAUUCGACUAACUCCGGACUCUCGGGCAAGUCAUCAGGCCCGUCUAGGUCAUAUAUGCAUUCAGCCAUUUGAAUGGCCGCAUCUAACUCCAUUCCGCAAGACUCUUCUUCAUUUUUACCCUGGCUGCUCAGAAUUUCUAGCUGCCAAUCCAUCUCUCUUUUCUUCCAAAGUUCUCUUUCUUGCUUUCUUUCUUUCUCAUACACCAACAGUCUUUUGAUUAAAGACCUGACUGCCAUCACUUGGUCCCUCUUCUUUUGGAUUUGAUCUGUCAUUACUGGUGUUCGGGUGUUGGGAUGAUGCACGGUCUGUCCCAUUCCUCCUUUGUGAUGAAUAGUCCUUGUUCUAUGAGCUUUUGGGCCGUCACCUUAGUUGGGCGGCCGUUCUCAUCUGCUCCUGAACAUUGCAGAAUUCCUACGUUGGGGUCGUAGAAACUAGCUUCUGCUACAUUUGCUGUGGGAAGGAAUUGCCGUGAUUCAGCCUCUACCAUCUCCCAAAAGCCUGGUCUUUCAUUUCCUUCUUCAUGGUAGAUAGCAACAUGUUGAUGUAAGGUGGAGGGUAUAGCAAGACUUUGGUGGAUCCAGUCCCUCCCAAGUAGUGCCCCAUAGGUGGAAGUGCAAUACACCACGAAGAAUGCCAUCAUGAUCUGCUUAGAUCCCAAGUCUACCUCCAGAUGCAAUAUCCCGUGUGUCCUAAUGAUAGCCCUAGAGAAACUUGAGACUGUCAGGUCGGUGGGUAUGAGGUCCUCUAAUAUUCUUCCCAACUUCUUCAUCUGCUUGGCUGGCAAGACAUUGACAGCUGCCCCAUCAUCGAUCAAUACUCUUUUGAAUGACACCCCCUCCAAAUGAGCAUUGACAUAUAUUGGCUUGAGAUAAUUGGCUAAAGUCGAGUUCAGCCGACUGAACACUAUCUCGUCCGUAUAGACCCUUAUUGGUUGUUUGGAGGCAUCGGGCAGCUCAGCUUUGCUUGAUCUUCCCCCUUCUGUUGCUUCCAUAUUAACAUGGGCCAACAUUGGCUCUACUGCCAUAUAAUCAUCCUCCAUGGCAAAAGGUUGACCUAGCUCAGCACAGAACAUGGAUGACAGUAGAUAGGCCAUGUUCACAUGAAAGUCACUGGGUCCGAGCAGAUCUUCUCUCUUGUCCCCCAUAUGACUCAGGAUUUCAUCUAACCAAGCCAUUGCUCCCUCUGAGAGCAUUGCUUUGGUGUUCCCAUCCUGUUGGCUCACCCCUAAGCCUGGUACUUGCUCUGGGACCUUACCAAAUGGAUUCGUCAGUAAUGGCAAGGGCAUUCUCCCCUCGGGCAAGAUAAUCCCUAAACCGAUUGGUUCUGGACUCCAUCCUGGUGUAGGCAUCAUUGUCAUAUCUUCUCGAGCCCUUCUCAGGAUUCUAUACUUCCCAGGAUGAUUGCUUUGGGGUACAUGGUCACCUCCACCUUCCGUCCGGCUGUUGGCUCUUUCCACCUCCUUCUUACUCCUCCAGUGGCACUGGCUUCCUCCUCUAGAUGUUGCUUUUUCAACUUUUUCAUUUUUGGAGGCUUCAUAUGUUGCAGGAGUUUUUAAAGAGUUCAUGUAGGCUUUGUGCUGCCUCUGAACCCUUCGAACCAUGGAGGCUCUCAUCUUUUUGACGGGUUGACCAUUCUUCCCAACCACAUACCACUUCCGCCUGAGGCGGGCAUGUUUAUCUUUGGUGACAGGAUUGGUAAUCCUGUCUUUUCUUCUAGCUUCCUCCCCGAUAUGGCCAUACUGAGGAGGCCUUAUAUUCCUCAUCUUUGGCCCUUUAACUUCUCUGUCUUCUGCUUCCUCAGAGGCUUCGUGGUCUCGAAACACUUCUGAUAAAGCCUUAGGUUGGGAAUCUCCUCAUAACCUUUGGAAGACACUUCGAGAAAUAUCUCGUUCAACUACCCGCACGGCUCUUUCACGGGCAUCUUGUCUCUCCUUUCUCUUGAUCAACUCCUGAUCUAAGAUGGCUCCUGUCAGUGGUAUCUCAAGUUCACACUCGCAUUGGCAUCUACCACACAACACCACACCUUUGAUGAUGGUUGCCCUUGGUCUUUCGGGCAAUUUGACAACCUCUUCAGUUGGUUUGUCAACCUGCCUUCUUUCUCUCACCCCCUGGGUAGCCUUGUCUUUUCCUUUCUCAGCCCACGUUAAAUUAAUCAUAUUAACCGGGGCUUCACAGAAGGGAUCUACGAGUUGGCCCAUCUUUGCUUCUCCUUCGACCUGUCCCCUAUCUUUUUCCUUCACGAGCACAGGCAACAGCUUGGGAAUAGCUGGUUUUGCCAUGAAAGUUGGCUCAUUAUGUGGGGUAGAGUCAAUAAGAUUAAGCUUUUCUUCUGGACCUUCCGUCAAAGAAUGGCAUCUGCUUGUAUCUCUUUUGAGCCCUAUGGAAGCCUUUUCCAUUCUCCUUAAUAUUUGCAACAUAACAACAUGCAAAUCUUCGUUGGUCGUCCUUUUAUCAAAUCCUUGCAUCAAGUCUUCUGGAAUAGUUGACCAUUGUAGAUUUUUUAGGAGAUCAGUCAUGUUUUUACUUCUAUUUUCUCUGAAGACUCUCUCCGGAUAAAUAGAUUUGAUCUUGGAAUCCCACCGGGCGUGCCAAAACCAACAGCUCCCCUAGAGGUGUUGGCGCCGGUUGAUGUGGCUGUCGGGUUCCUGCUUGUUGGUGGUCUGCAAAAUGAGGACAAUAGUUAGUUCUGAGAGGUGCAUUUGUGGGGCCUUAGGUGUAGGCCUUGAUGCUUCACAAUCAAAACUAACUAUUGAUGUUCAGGCGUGCCACUGCCAUCUUCAGCAUGGCAGAUGUAAGAUGUAUGUUUGGAUUAGCUGCUCGUGCCCGAGAGACCUGGUUAGCCUUGAAAUGUGUCUUUGUGGGGCCUUAGGUGUAGGCCUUGAGGCUCGUAAUCAAAACUAACCAAAACGCUCUGGCGUAUUGCCGUUAUUUUAUUGCAGCAUGUGUAAUAUAACCGUAACAAAUUAACCACUCGUGUCCGAAGAACUGGAUUAACCCUGAUAGGUGCNNNNNNNNNNNNNNNNNNNNNNNNNNNNNNNNNNNNNNNNNNNNNNNNNNNNNNNNNNNNNNNNNNNNNNNNNNNNNNNNNNNNNNNNNNNNNNNNNNNNNNNNNNNNNNNNNNNNNNNNNNNNNNNNNNNNNNNNNNNNNNNNNNNNNNNNNNNNNNNNNNNNNNNNNNNNNNNNNNNNNNNNNNNNNNNNNNNNNNNNNNNNNNNNNNNNNNNNNNNNNNNNNNNNNNNNNNNNNNNNNNNNNNNNNNNNNNNNNNNNNNNNNNNNNNNNNNNNNNNNNNNNNNNNNNNNNNNNNNNNNNNNNNNNNNNNNNNNNNNNNNNNNNNNNNNNNNNNNNNNNNNNNNNNNNNNNNNNNNNNNNNNNNNNNNNNNNNNNNNNNNNNNNNNNNNNNNNNNNNNNNNNNNNNNNNNNNNNNNNNNNNNNNNNNNNNNNNNNNNNNNNNNNNNNNNNNNNNNNNNNNNNNNNNNNNNNNNNNNNNNNNNNNNNNNNNNNNNNNNNNNNNNNNNNNNNNNNNNNNNNNNNNNNNNNNNNNNNNNNNNNNNNNNNNNNNNNNNNNNNNNNNNNNNNNNNNNNNNNNNNNNNNNNNNNNNNNNNNNNNNNNNNNNNNNNNNNNNNNNNNNNNNNNNNNNNNNNNNNNNNNNNNNNNNNNNNNNNNNNNNNNNNNNNNNNNNNNNNNNNNNNNNNNNNNNNNNNNNNNNNNNNNNNNNNNNNNNNNNNNNNNNNNNNNNNNNNNNNNNNNNNNNNNNNNNNNNNNNNNNNNNNNNNNNNNNNNNNNNNNNNNNNNNNNNNNNNNNNNNNNNNNNNNNNNNNNNNNNNNNNNNNNNNNNNNNNNNNNNNNNNNNNNNNNNNNNNNNNNNNNNNNNNNNNNNNNNNNNNNNNNNNNNNNNNNNNNNNNNNNNNNNNNNNNNNNNNNNNNNNNNNNNNNNNNNNNNNNNNNNNNNNNNNNNNNNNNNNNNNNNNNNNNNNNNNNNNNNNNNNNNNNNNNNNNNNNNNNNNNNNNNNNNNNNNNNNNNNNNNNNNNNNNNNNNNNNNNNNNNNNNNNNNNNNNNNNNNNNNNNNNNNNNNNNNNNNNNNNNNNNNNNNNNNNNNNNNNNNNNNNNNNNNNNNNNNNNNNNNNNNNNNNNNNNNNNNNNNNNNNNNNNNNNNNNNNNNNNNNNNNNNNNNNNNNNNNNNNNNNNNNNNNNNNNNNNNNNNNNNNNNNNNNNNNNNNNNNNNNNNNNNNNNNNNNNNNNNNNNNNNNNNNNNNNNNNNNNNNNNNNNNNNNNNNNNNNNNNNNNNNNNNNNNNNNNNNNNNNNNNNNNNNNNNNNNNNNNNNNNNNNNNNNNNNNNNNNNNNNNNNNNNNNNNNNNNNNNNNNNNNNNNNNNNNNNNNNNNNNNNNNNNNNNNNNNNNNNNNNNNNNNNNNNNNNNNNNNNNNNNNNNNNNNNNNNNNNNNNNNNNNNNNNNNNNNNNNNNNNNNNNNNNNNNNNNNNNNNNNNNNNNNNNNNNNNNNNNNNNNNNNNNNNNNNNNNNNNNNNNNNNNNNNNNNNNNNNNNNNNNNNNNNNNNNNNNNNNNNNNNNNNNNNNNNNNNNNNNNNNNNNNNNNNNNNNNNNNNNNNNNNNNNNNNNNNNNNNNNNNNNNNNNNNNNNNNNNNNNNNNNNNNNNNNNNNNNNNNNNNNNNNNNNNNNNNNNNNNNNNNNNNNNNNNNNNNNNNNNNNNNNNNNNNNNNNNNNNNNNNNNNNNNNNNNNNNNNNNNNNNNNNNNNNNNNNNNNNNNNNNNNNNNNNNNNNNNNNNNNNNNNNNNNNNNNNNNNNNNNNNNNNNNNNNNNNNNNNNNNNNNNNNNNNNNNNNNNNNNNNNNNNNNNNNNNNNNNNNNNNNNNNNNNNNNNNNNNNNNNNNNNNNNNNNNNNNNNNNNNNNNNNNNNNNNNNNNNNNNNNNNNNNNNNNNNNNNNNNNNNNNNNNNNNNNNNNNNNNNNNNNNNNNNNNNNNNNNNNNNNNNNNNNNNNNNNNNNNNNNNNNNNNNNNNNNNNNNNNNNNNNNNNNNNNNNNNNNNNNNNNNNNNNNNNNNNNNNNNNNNNNNNNNNNNNNNNNNNNNNNNNNNNNNNNNNNNNNNNNNNNNNNNNNNNNNNNNNNNNNNNNNNNNNNNNNNNNNNNNNNNNNNNNNNNNNNNNNNNNNNNNNNNNNNNNNNNNNNNNNNNNNNNNNNNNNNNNNNNNNNNNNNNNNNNNNNNNNNNNNNNNNNNNNNNNNNNNNNNNNNNNNNNNNNNNNNNNNNNNNNNNNNNNNNNNNNNNNNNNNNNNNNNNNNNNNNNNNNNNNNNNNNNNNNNNNNNNNNNNNNNNNNNNNNNNNNNNNNNNNNNNNNNNNNNNNNNNNNNNNNNNNNNNNNNNNNNNNNNNNNNNNNNNNNNNNNNNNNNNNNNNNNNNNNNNNNNNNNNNNNNNNNNNNNNNNNNNNNNNNNNNNNNNNNNGUUGAAUGGUUUUGAACUUUAUGACUAUGUCAUAGAGUUGCACCUCUUAAUUCGAAAGAAAUAAAGAUGAAAAUCCUUAUGACUACAUUGAGUGCAUAUAUGAUAUAUACUCAAGGAAAUUGUAAAGUACCAUUUGACUCGAAAUAAUGAAACCUUCAUAGCUAAUUGGUAGCUUAAGGUGACUACAAUCAAAGAGAAUGGUUGACUUUAAAGGAACCAUUUUUGACGUAGUCUUAGUUUCAAUUAAUUCGAAGAUUGCUAGCUACAACUAAAUGAUGAUUUAAUGUUUAGACAUAAUAUGGGUUUCUGAAACCAUUAUUAAGAUAGUCUUGAUAAUAUAUGUCUAAAAUUAUAAAUCACAAGACAUGUAAGUUGUAGAGAUCCAUCCAUCAUGGAUCUUAGCAAGUUAAUGGGAGCUAUUUGCAUUUUAUGAGAAAAAGGAUCAAAUCGUUUGAUUUCUCAUAAAGAUGUAAAUGAAUCUUUUGUUUACUAGUUUUACAAAAGAUUAGUGGGAAUUAAUCAUGUUCCUAAAAAUUUAAAUAUAUAUGAUAUAUUAAUUUUGGAAAUGAAAAGAAUACUUCUUCGUUAAAGUUAUGAUUUUAAUACAUUAUAUGAAGAUAGAAUGUAUAUGGGAGAUAUAGUCUAUAUACAUGGGAUGGAAAUCUAUAAUGAUAUAUUUCAUGAUAUAAUUGGAUUAUAUCAAUCCCUAAUAAUAGACAAUGGAUGCUAGGAAGUUUCUCAUAUGAUGAUAAACUUCAAAUAGAAGGACGAUUCUAGUGAGACUAGCAAGUUGCCCUUCUCAAAGGGAACGUGCCCCUUUGACUCCCAAAGAAAUAAUGCGUAAAUAGAAUCCUUUAUGCAUACGCAGAAAGGUGAUUUAUGUAUUUCAUAUUGUAUGAAAAACAUUGAUAUGAGUUGUACCUAGAACGAUACAAGACGAUAUCAAUGCAAGCCCAGUAUCAGAACCAUGGCAACUGUCAAGUGAGUCCUUAAGUAUUUAAGAAAUACUAAAGGAUAGAUUCCUCAAAGAAUGAGGAAGAAUUAGAGUAACGUAAUGGAAGCGUAAAUGUAUUAGAUUAUGAAUCUAAUCCAUCAUUGGAUGUUUCUUCAUUAUGAAUGAAGAGAUAAACGAAUAUCUCUUUAUUGUGACUAAAGAGAUAUUUGGAUGGAAACAUUAAAGUAAUGGCUUUAGUGUGUUCCAUUAUGAAUGCAAGAUAUAUUGCCAUAUAGAAGUUUACAACAAUAUUGUUUGGAUGGGAAGUUCAUUUAUGAACUCUCUAUUCGGUUCCAACCAGAAAGUGUUUGACACUAAUGGGGCGAUAGCUCAAGCCUGGGAAUCAAGGUCUCAUCAAGAUCCGAACUCAAAUGAGAGACUGAACCACAUGAUUGAGAAUCAUGUAUAAUGGUGACGUCGUUAUUCUCAAGGUUGCUUCUAUGGAUAACACAUAUAGAUAUCCACUGUCUAGGCCUACUAUUCAGCCAUUUAUGAAAUGACUACAGAAGAGGUAUCAUCAAGAUGACCAAGCUUAUUGGCUCUAGUGCAAGUGGGAGAUUGUUGGAAAUGUGCCCUAAAGCCAAUCAUGUGAUGAUACUUUACGGACAUUUCACAUGUUAAACUAAUCUAGUUUUACAUAUAAAGGGCAAAGAUUAUUGUUUGAGCCGUCUCAUUUAAAUGUUAUAUGCUUAAACGAUAAAGUCCAAGGAAUAUGUGAUUGGGAGAAUGUAAUCUAAUGAAGUUAGAUUCAUGAGACCAUUCUUUCGUAGACACAUCCUAAACGUUCCUGAUCAUAGGAUUGCCAAUUGGGCAUUGACAGUCCGUUAAGAUCAGUACGUACUAUGUCUUCUCUCAGGGAGAGUGAUUAGUCUCGAGUCAUUGGUGUGUGUGACAUCAAGACAAGUACGGUAUGUGCUCAAUAGAGAAUGAGUUCACUGAACGCGAUCAACGAAGAGUUCUCAUAUUCAUGUCACAUGAGAACUCAUGGUUGGGAUAAUGCAAAGUAGUCCUUUGACUUGAGGCAUCAUAGUUGUCUUAUGGUUAAGUCCUUGAUCUUUGAUUAUGUCAAAGUCACUCCAUCAUGAGGGUGUCCAUGGUAUCGUUGGGGUCAAGCCACUUAGCUAUGGAGACAAGUGAAUGCGCAACAAGGGAUCUCUAACCUUCAAACCGUUUGAGGAGAAUACUCUAUGAUAUGAUUUGAAUCUCUGGCCAGAGUAUGAAUGAGAUUUGGGAAUGCGUUCCGAAUCACAUUCAAGGUAAUCAUAUAAGCACAAGACACACAUUGGAUAGUAGACAUGAGCAAAUAAACUAUCAAACCAAACAAUGUGGUCAAGAGUAUUAGAUUAGAGAAAGACCGUAUUGCAUUUGUAAUCCCGAACUGAAUAGGUUCUCUAACCUCUUCUGAUUAGCUUGGGUAACCAUGAUAUGCUGCUAGGUGUCACUCAUGGUUUGUGGAAGCCCUAAACGUGUGUAAUCACUAAAGGGAGAAUUGAAAAUAGUUUCAAUUCACAAUCGAUGUGAAAUGGUUUUAAUCGCCCACUACCUCGCUAAAAGGAACCUAAUGGAUCGCACACCAUAAGAGGUGGAGAUUGGAGAUUAAACGGAGAUGAGUAAGAAUGAUUAAAUGGUUUAAUUAUUUAUUUAUGGCAAUGAUUAAUUAAUAUGUUAAUUAAUCAAACGAAUAAGUUCGUUAAAGACCUCGCGAUAGUUUUGGACCUUAAGGCCCAAUGGGCUUCGAACGUCAAGUCCAUUGACUUAAGUUGUAUGACAACUUAAUGAAUAAUGAUUCACAAAGGCCCAAUUACACCAAAAAUAUCCCAUGGCCGGCCAUAUGGUUUAGGGUAGUGAACUUGGACUUAUUUACAAGUUUGCCACUCAAAUGAAUUAAGGUAUAAAUAUGACUUUAUAGCCAAAAUUCAUUUAGGGGUUUGUUUUGGGGAAAAUUGGUGAGAAUUGUCUCUCCAUUUCUCUCUAAAGAGGCCGGCCACCUUGGAGGGUACAUCUAGCAAUCCUACUACUCCAAGGUCAUUCGUUUUUUCUACAAUCUAACCUUGAUGUCGAGACUUAGAGGUUCUCAAUUUUGGGAACUUGGAGAACCAUAUUCUUCCAUCCAAAUCCAUGGAUCUAAGAAGCAAGGAAUGAAGGCCCUAUCUCUUUGGGUGAUUAGCCUUUGCUUAUGCAAAGAGGAAUCUACAAAGGUAUAUUUAUCAACUCACUUUGUUUUUGAGUUGAUUCUUGGUUCACCAAUCUACUAGGCUUUGAAUUUCAUGGUAAUGUUUUGUUUUUGAGUGCAUGCAAGCAUGAUUCCGCCUUUAAUUGUUAAUUGCAUGCUAUAUGAUGUUGCUCAAAUGAACAUGUUUUCACAAAAUAAUCCUUUAAUGUGGGUGUUGGGGAAGCGUCGUAUGCAGUCCAGGCCUCCCGUUAGCUGCUACACCAGUUGAGCCAACUGUUCAGUGUCCACUCACGACCAGCUAAUGGAUAAAUGUCUGACAAAAUAAUUAAGUAAUAUUCAUAUUAAUAUAAAAUAAUAUACCCGAAUUUCCUUUUCUUUUCAUAUUAACCAAAUCAAGAGUUAUCUUUUAAUAGUAACUUAUUAAAUAUAGUCCAUGAUUGGAAAACGGCACUUGGUGUAACAAAUCGUGUUUUCGGUAUACUAAAAAAUGCUCAACUUUAUUAUAUAUGUUGUAACACCAAAUAUCCAAUUAGAAUCCAAUUAUGUCUGUAUUCAUAACUUACAAUUUACGCAUACGUGAGCAACUGUUCUUAACAUUUGCAAAUAAGAAGGUGCAAUUAUUCAUACUAAAAAAUAGUUAGGAGCACAUAAAUUGACAUGUACUUGAUAAAAUUCGAGAAAUUCUUCGCAAUAAUUGAGACAUUUUUGCUACAACUAAGAACAAAAGAAGCUCCCACAACGGAGUUGCUCACUUCAAUCUAGAGUGGCCGACGACAUAUGCCAAACUAACAUAUACACUUACAAAAAAUGGAAACUAGACAAGGUUGUAGCUCCAAUAAAAAAAAUGCAUUACAUUAUGUGUCAAUGUUUACUAAUUAUAUCAAUUAUUAGGCUGAUUCUUUGAUUUUGAUCUGAAACAUAGUACUACUUCAAAGAUCCCCAAUGUUUUAUUUAAUAGACCUUUCCAUGCACAUCAUGUAAUGCAAGAAGUUUCAGGGACUAAUCAAAUAGUGAAAAUGAGGUGAUCACAAAGGGGAUCAAUCAAAAUGCCUUAAUUGUACCAACUAAUGAAGUUAUUUGAAGGGUUUAUAAUCAUAUUUAGAAUGCUAAUCAAUGAUCGUCUCCUUAAAGAAAAAGAGGACGUGGAACCGAUGAAACGUGAAUACAACACUUGUCGUGGACAUGAGCUGCUUGUUGGCCAUGAUAAGAGUAGUUAAUCUAUAUGGGUGUGUAUAGAUUAUCAAUUAGGUUUCUUCUUUAGACGGAUUUACAAAACGAUGUCUAAAUGUACAUCUACGAUUUACAAUUUCACAAUAUAACAUGUUAAAUAUCCGACAAACAAAUGGCUUUGAUUUCUAAAUUGUAGCUUCCUUCUCAAUCUCGCAUUAAGUUGAAAAAUCGAAAACAUAAACUUACAAACCAACUCUGAUUUUUAAAUUGUAUUUGUUGUGGUUGUACCUAAUGGGCCGGGCUCAUGAGGACCAGUGGCAAUUUUGAAAUAUAACACAAAUACAGCACCAUUUUUGUCACAAAAAAAUUCAUCGUUUUUCUACCUCAAACUAUUGGCAUCGCUCAGUGUCUCCGUCGUCUUCUGAUUUUCCUCCGAAUCGGAGAAGAAAGGCAACCAAAUCAUGGUCCUCCGAAUUCGUGUUUUCUGAUUCUUCCCGGCGCUCCUUACGCGUUCUGCAGCCUGAGCGCGCUGCGCUCUCGGUUGAUUCCGUGGUCUGAUUUUCCGCGAAUCGCAAUCCGACGGUGGCGAUGGCAUCGCCGCUGAACCAAUCGGCGAAUGUGGAUCUCGAAGGAUCUCUUCGAUGCGUAUUUACGACGGGCCAAUUUUGACGGCGAUGGCCGGAUUAGUGGCAAUGAAGCCGUCGCUUUCUUCCAGGGCUCUGGUCACCCAAACAGGUCCUUGCGCAGGUACUCUCUCUCUCUCUCUCUCUCUCUCUCUCUCUCUCUCUCUAUAUAUAUAUAUAUAUAUAUAUAUGUGUGUGUGUGUGUGUGUGUGUGUAUGCUUGUGUUUUUAUGUAUAAUUGGAUGUGUGUGUGAUUAUAUUUGUGUUCCGAAUCAGAUUGAUUUUGAAUUUUUUUAGUGUAAUUGUAGUUGAAGUGGUAAAUGUGAGCUCGGGAUGUCUUAAUUCUCUUAUGUAAGCUGAGAUUUUUAUUUCGUGUUAGUAUAAAUGCGGAAUUGAUGUUCAAAUGGUAGAAAAUAAGUAGAUGAAGAAUUUAUACUACAGUUAGUGAGGUUGAGAGAGUCAUGUUAUCAGGUCAUUAAUAUACCUUCUGGUGUAUCCGUUCCGUUCGACCUGAGGUGGUAAGCAGACUUUAGAAAUGUGUUAUAUGACCCAAGGAUUGAUCGAGGAUUGUUUAUUACAUUAGAAUUGUGCAGUAGUGAAAACCUGCAGCAUAAGAUGACUAUGGAGUAGUUAGGAUUGUCGCAUACAGGGGACAUGUUCUUGGGUCAGGAUCAUAUCGACAAAAAGGUUCUUGAAGCUGUAUACUUGUUUUGCUGAAGGAAUUUCCGUAUAAAAUGAUAACCAGGGGCAUAUUAUGUUAAAUAUUAAUUAUAUGGAUGCACUUUCUCAUUAGCUUGAAUUGCUGAACAUAACAGGCUUAAUCAAGCAUAUUUUUCUGCGAGAUGCUUUGCUGCUGGAUGUUCAGUCGUUGCAUGAUGUAUUCGUAUUUUGAUGUAAAAACUUACAUAUGCCAUAGAUAUUUUGUAGAUAUAAAUUUUAAUUUGUGAUUGGGAGUAAUCUUUUGCUGGCCAAUUGACACACGAACAUCCAUAAAUAUAUACUAUUAAAUUGAGUCAUGUCUAAAUGUGCAGUCUAGAUUGAUAUGACUACCCAUCAUGCAGUUCGGUUUUUUACCCUCUCUAAUAAAAUUUGUUUCGCUGAUCUUUGUUUGGUGCAAACAAGGACACUAAGUUUUGCCGGUGUUAGUCCAAUCGGGCCAUUCAUAUUUUUUGCUCAUUGCAGUUCGGCCAUUGAAUAAUCACAUAUUUUUGUCAUGUUGAAUGUUCAAACUAUGGCGCUUGGUUGUGAGAUUUUUACUUUGCCCUGGCAUGGUGUGUUAAUUAAUGUCUAUGUUUAUGAUAUAAAGGUAAAUCAAGUUUUAAAGAUAACAAAUAGGCUAUAAUACACUUGGCCAUAACUAGCGCUUUAUAAUGUAUAAAGUAUAAACAAUACCAACAUAAUAAAAGCCUUGCCUAGUUGUUGUCUUAUUUCUUGGUCAGACAAGUGAGCUACCAAAGUACAAAUUUGCCUUAAAAAGUUUUUCCUAAUCACUUUCAUUUGCUUCAAACUCAUCACUUGAUCCACUAACUUGAGGCUCAUCUCCUGAUCCACCACCUUUGGAGGAGUUCCAGUAAUACACACUAUUAGCUUCCACACAUGCAAUGCAUGGGAGGAUUUGUUUUUUAUUAAAUUUUUAUGGGAUUUAGAGAGUUAUUGUAGUAAAUAAUAAAGAGAAAAAGUAGGGAGUGGGAGAGAGAGUGGGGUAAAAUUAAAAUGAAAUUACUAUAAACAAUAUUUAUUUCAGUUGAACUGAAAUAUAAGAGAAAGACGGUAAUUAAAUUGCUUCCAGAUCCCAACCACCAUGUAUCGUCCAUUCUCAUGAGCAUCUAAGCAAUAAUUUAUUUCAGAUGAACUGAACGACCUUUAUCUCACAUGUAUUUGGAGUUAGGUCGGCGAUCCAUUUAAUUCCAACUAGGAUUACCAACACAAAAUUGACAACACUUUUGGGUUUAAGGUGUUAAGGUAGAGCUCAAUAUUACAAUUUACAAAAACCUUUAAAAUCCUAUGAAUCAAAAUCGUCAGUUUUACUGGAUGACAAUAUUAAAAAAAAACUGGUCAGAUCACAGAACUAAAAGGAUUGGCAUCUCAACUGUAGCAUGUAAUAACCGUAAGGUCCAGCAUUAAUCACUGAAAAAUGAUUUUUCGUAAGUAGGAAGGUCUAAUAUUUGUGAUCAUAAGGAUGGUCUAGCUACAGAAACAUUGACAACAAUAUCAAUCAAAAUUGGGCCACUGCAAGAUCUGCACUGUGUGCUCAGCAACUCUAUGCUCAUUUUCACUAACCUGACUCCUCCGAUAAUGAUGCUUCUGAACAAUCUUAAUUAGUUUCUCAAAACGUGACUUGAGAACAUCCUCUUCCGUGGGCUCUUGCAAGCGUUGAAAUGAUUGCCUGGCACUGCCCUGCAUGAAAUACAGAAACACCAACCAACAAAAGUAAGUCGAAAUACACUGAUAGAUGUACGUUUUUCGUGCUGAAGAUGAAACAAUGCGAGGUCAACUUAAUAGUUUAAAAGAAGCACUUUAAAGGACACACUCUUGCCUUCGGAAUGCCCGGUAAUGGAGAAGGAUAAGGCUGAGAAGAUCCCGAAUCUUCAGCACUAUCAGCCCCAUCACCAGAAUUCAUAUCCAUUAAUAUUUUGUGACGCUCCUUGCACUCUUUAGGCUUGCGAAAAAUACACUGCAUGGUACAAAGUCAUAAGAGCAACACCCAAGACAUACACUAGGAAAACCAACACUUCAAAUGCACAUAGAUCAUCUUCACCAUAGGCAAUAAGCAUAAGGUGCACCAGCAAUAACACUAACCUUCAAGUGCAGUGUGCUGUUGAUUGCAUCACUUAUGAGUUCCCAAUUUGGGCCCAUAUCAUGUACAAGAACAACAAGUGCCUAAGGUAACAAAAACAGUAAAUCUUGUUCAGUUAUUGGCAAGUCUACAACAUCUGAAGAGAGAACAAUUUGAUAAAAUUAAUAAUGACAUAUUAACCUGAUCUUCAGAAUGGGACCAUGGACCUCCAGAAGUAGUAUCUAGAGAUUGCUUUAAUAUCUUUGGCUUCUUGGCUGUAUGCUGCCCAUAUAAACCUGCAGAGUACAAAGUUUAAUACAUAAAUGAGAGUUCCAUAGCAUUUCAAAUCAAAGGCUACAACAAAUAUCCAAGUGAAGACAGGUACCAAUUGUUCCAUUGGACUCAAAAUCAUCUUGUCUUGUUUCUUCUCCUACUUUUGGUCCCCUCGACAUGAACUCAUGACCAAAAUUGAAUUUCUCAGCAUCUUCCGCAUACAAUGGGCAUAUACCACACCUUUCCACCGUUAUACGUAAAACAAAAGUAUUGCCGGCUUCAGAAUCUUCAGAAUCUUCAGAAUCUUCAAAACCCACAGGGCAGAAGAAGACAACAGAGGCCUCUUUGGCAAGUUUGUAAACAUCAGGGGAGCAGUUUUUUCCUACCGCUUCACUUCUAAAGCCCUCAUUCCACACGUGCACGUGAUGUUGGUCAACACUGUGGUCGUAGCUUAUGCCUGGGAUAAUGUACUUAAAACUGAACAGUUCAUGGCUUUCACCCAUGAAUUUGACAAUGAAAUUAGCUCUUACCCUCCAGUCAUGCCGCCGCCCUGAUACCCCAGAAAGAACAAGAGAGAGAGCGAAACCAAAUAAACCUGUUCGAAACCAAUCUGGACAAAGCUCGAUGUCUACUGAAGAUCCCUCAUUUUGAUAGCUGAACCAAUUUGGAAUUUCUUUUCCUGGACAUACAGUGUUAAUCUGAGGCCAGGGAUUAUGAAUCCAGGGUUCACGAAACCAGCUAAUGUACUUAAAUGGCGCAACAGUUGCCAUUCGCAUAAUUGUAAUCUGUGCUUCAUCCAUUAUGUUGCUCCUUGAAUUAUUAUCCAAUUUUGGGCAAUUACUAAAAACUUUGAAACAAUUUUUAGGUUUAUCCCAACCUUGUGCGAGUGCUGUCCUUGAACUUGACACUAUCUUCAGCGACUUGCAGUUUGAAGCUUUAACAUUGCAUAGCACUGGGAGCUCUGGUAUAGAUUGAAGCCGCUUGCAGCCCUUUAAGUUGAGUAUAGACAACCGAGAAGCUUGUUUGAUGCUUGCUGGUAUUUCCAAUAUACCGCUCUUGCUGAGAUCUAGUUCUUCUAAAGAGAUAAAACCAACAGAGCUGGAAGGCAAUUUUUCAAGUCUCCCACACUCAUUAAAGUUGAGACGUUUAAGAUUGGUUAAACUGUAGAUACUUGUUGGGACAUCCUUAAGUAGAUAGCAGCGUCUAAGGUUUAAAUCUUGAAGCCCAUUUAGAUUCCCAAUAGACGAAGGAAGCAUUUCGACAGCUGUGUAUUCCAAACAAAGAGACACCAAAUGUUCCAUUGGCAUCAAGAUUUCAGGGAAUAUGGAAAAUCCACUAACUUGAGGCUCAUCUCCUGAUCCACCACCUUUGGAAUGAUCAUCUUGUCUUGUUUCUUCUCCUACUUUUGGUCCCCUCGACAUGAACACAUGACCAAAUUUGAAUUUCUCAGCAUCUUCCGCAUACAAUGGGCAUAUACCACAGCUUUCCACCUUCUUAGGGGAAGCAGAAUCCACCGGGCAGAAGACAACAGAGGCCUCUCUGGCAAGUUUGUAAACAUCAGGGGAGCAGUGUUUUCCUACCUCUUCACUUCUAAAGGCCUCACUCCACACAAGCACGUGAUGUUGGCCGUCACAGCAGUCGUCGUUGCAGUCCUCUGGGAUAAUGUACUCAGAACUGAACAGUUCAUGGCUUUCACCCAUGAAUUUGACAAUGAAAUUAGCUCUUACCAUCCUAAAGUCAUACCACCGCACCUCUGAAACCCCAGAAAGAACAACAGAGAGAGCGAAACCAAAUAAACCUGUUCGAAACCAAUCUGGACAAAGCUCGAUGUCUAUUGAAGAUCCCUCAUUUUGAUAGCUGAACCAAUUUGGAGUUUCUUUUCCUGGACAUGCAAUGGUAAUCUGAGGCCAGGGAUUAGGAAGCCAGCGAUGGUCCUUUAAUGGCGCAACAGUUGCCAUUCGCAUAACUGUAAUCUGUGCUUCAUCCAUUAUGUUGCUCCUUGAAUUAUUAUUCAAUCUUGGGCAAUGAAGAAACAAUCUGAAACAAUAAUGAGGUUUAUCCCAACCUUGUGUGAGUGCUGUCCUUGAACUUGACACUUUCUUCAGCGACUUGCAGUUUGAAGCUUUAACAUUGCAUAGCACUGGGAGCUCUGGUAUAGAUUGAAGCCGCUUGCAGUAGUUUAAGUCGAGUAUAGACAACCGAGAAGCUUGUUUGAUGCUUGCUGGUAUUUCCAAUAUACCGCUGAAGCUGAGUUCUAGUUCUUUUAAAGAGAGAAAACCGACAGAGCUGGAAGGCAAUUUUUCAAGUCUCAAACACCGAUGAAAGUCGAGACAUUUAAGAUUGGUUAAACUGUAGAUACUUGUUGGGACAUCCUUAAGUAGAUAGCAGCAUCUAAGGUUUAAAUCUUGAAGCCCAUUUAGAUUCCCAAUAGACGAAGGAAGCAUUUCGACAGCUGUGUAUUCCAAACAAAGAGACACCAAAUGUUCCAUUGGCUUCAAGAUUUCAGGGAAUUUGGAAAAUCUAGAGCAAUUGCUGAGACGAAGGCUCACAAGAUAUUUCAACUCACAAAUUGAUGAGGGUAACUCUGUAACUGCUGUGUGGCUUAAACUUAAGGACUUCAAAUGUUCCAUUGACUUCAAGAUUUCAGGGAAUUUGGAAAAUCCAAAUCUAGAGCACCCGCAGAGACCAAGACUCUCAAGAUAUUUCAACUCACAGAUUGAUGAGGGUAGCUCUGUAACUGCUGUUUCGCUUAAACUUAAGGACUUCAGAUAUUUCAACUCACAGAUUGAUGAGGGUAGCUCUGUAACUGCUGUUUGGCCUAAACUUAAGGACUUCAAAUGUUCCAUUGGCUUCAAGAUUUCAGGGAAUUUGGAAAAUCUAGAGCACCCGUGGAGAUCAAGACUCUCAAGAUAUUUCAACUCACAGAUUGAUGAGGGUAGCUCUGUAACUGCUGUUUGGCCUAAACUUAAGGACUUCAAAUGUUCCAUUGGCUUCAAGAUUUCAGGGAAUUUGGAAAAUCUAGAGCACCCGUAGAGAUCAAGUCUCUUAAGAUAUUUCAACUCACAGAUUGAUGAGGGUAGCUCUGUAACUGCUGUUUGGCUUAAAAUUAAGGACUUCAAAUGUUCCAUUGGCUUCAAGAUUUCAGGGAAUUUGGAAAAUAUAGAGCACCCGUAGAGAUCAAGUCUCUCAAGAUAUUUCAACUCACAGAUUGAUAAGGGUAGCUCUGUAACUACUGUUUGGCUUAAACUUAAGGAUUUCAAAUGUUCCAGCUCCAAAAUCUCUGGAAAGUUUUCAAAUUUAGAGCAACCACUGAGAUUGAGUAUCUCGAUAUUUUUAAACUUACAGCAGUUGCUUGGAAAUUUCAUAAAGACGCAUUGAUUUAAAUUCAAGCAAGAAAUAUUUUUGUUAGACCAAACUGAUUCAGGCAACUCCUUUAUACCACUGCGAUCUAAAUUUAAGUAUUGAAUAUUUCCUGGCAUCUUUGGAAGAUACUUGAGACUCCGGCAACAUUCAAGAUCAAGAUGAGUAAGCUUGUCGAGAUGUUGAAAAUACGAAGGAAUUUCAACCAAACUUUCACAGCCCUGGAGAUUUAUCACUUGUAAGUUGAGAAGUAUCUGCAACAAAUUAAAUAGAAAUAUAGAGAAUUAAUAUAAUUUCUACACUUGAUUUUAUACAAGAUUUAAAAUAGGCAUAUAAUAUAAUAUACCUGCUCUUCUUUCCAAAGCUUCUUAACUUCACUAGCUUGCAUAUGAAGCUCAACUAGAUUUUUUGAACAAAAAUUUGACGGCAAAGAUUCCAGUGGAUAUCCCCGCCACUUAAGAUAACGAAGAGAAUCGGGAAGGUCUAGAGAAGUGGUGAGUUUGUGGUAAAAUUUUCCAGAAUCCACAAUUAGCAUUAUUAGGUUAGACAUCUUUUUGAAGUCUGCACGUUCUAAUGGUCGCUCUUGAAGAUCACACCAAUUAACCUGUAUGGCUUCAACAAUUGGAAUUUCCUGAGAAUAAGAAGAAAGUUUAAAUGUGAAUAUAAACAUAUUAAAAUGUAACACACAUUUGGAACAAAGAGUAUUUGCGAUGGUAAUCAUGUACAAGUGUCUUAGUCUAGUCAAAUAUCCAACAUAAUUGUAUCCUCCUCUACUUGUCUAAAUAAACAAACAUUUGUUCAUAUUCCAAACACUUCCUAACACAAUAAAUAUUCAAUCAAAUUCAUCUUUUAACAAUCUCACUUCUUUAUUAUAAAUUAGUUUUACUUUGUUGUGUUAUCAUCUUAAGUCAGUAAUUUUUAUUUUCUAAAAAAAAAAUAAAAAAUAAAAAAAAUUGAAUGCAUUUGGCUCUUACCUUGUUACUCCUCAAUACACGAUUGACAUCCUCAACAUUGAACAACCUACUCCGUUUACCGGGAUCUUUAAUAUCUUGUUGUUGAACAAUUUUCCUUCCCAUUUCUUGUAGCAAAUCGUGCAUCUCUAUGGUUUCCUUUCCCCAUUGUGAAACAAUUGAUAUGAGAGACAUCUCAAUGAGAAUUCUAAUUCCAGAUGUCGCAAAGAAUUCACGAACAUCUAACAUUCGUUUUACCUCAACCACAGACUUCCCUUUAUGAAAACAUGCUAUAUCCAGAAAAAUAUCCUUCUCAUUGUCUCCCAAUCCAUCAUAACUUAUUCUCAACACCUUCUGGAUAUCUUUGCUGGGAAAUCGUUUCAAUUUGUUGAAUUCAUCUUCCCAUUCUUCUUUGCUCUUGCAAUUGAAGAACAAGGACCCCAGGACUGUAAGAGCUAAAGGAACGCCUUUGGCAUAAGCCACCGCCUUUUCUACCAACUCCUUAUAAUCUAUUCUACAAGUACUGUUAUCCUUGAAAGCACGCGAACAAAAGAGCUGAAGAUCAUCAUCCGGUUGUAAUCCCUCAAUCUCGUAGAUAUUAUCCUCUUCAACAGUUUUCCCAAAUGUGCCCCUAUCUCUAGUUGUGAUAAUGAUUCUACUUCCAGUGCCAAACCGGAGACCACUGCCAGCUAAACGUUCCAUUUGCAUUGAACUACUCACAUCAUCAAGAACAAUGAGAACCUUUGUGCGGCUGAGCCUUUCUCGAACACUAAUUGAUCCUAUGGAUAGACCUUCUUCCUUUAAUAUCUCCUUAAGAAGUGUUUUUUCCAAGUGAUCUAGUCCAUCUGCUUUUUCUGAGUUCUCCCUGACAUUCUUAACAAAACAAGAAGCUUCGAAUUUAGAAGAGAGCCUGUGAAAUACAGUUUCGGCAAGGGUGGUCUUGCCAAUACCACCCAUGCCCCAAAUACCGACAGUGAUGCAAGCAUCCGAUGAAUGAAUGCCUAAUAGUGAUUCGACCUGCUCGAUGCGGCUUUCAAUUCCAAACAAGCCCUUUAAAUCGCAGGAUGAUGCGCGACACAAUUUGGUCCAAAUAUAUUCAACAACUUUCUUAACUAAAACAGCAUCCGUCCUGGCAUAUAUAUGUAGGAAAGUAAUUGUUAGUCUUAAAUAUUUAUACCUUACAAAAUCUUAGCACAAUAAAAUCAUCACAAGUUUAAAGAAAAUUUAUAAUUUUAUACAAGUUAAAAGAAUUAGUUAGUUACCCAUAUUUUUUUGAAUCAAACCCAGAUAGAUUUGCUGCAUUCGUCAAAGCAUCCCUCCACUUGCGCACCUUGUUGAUACUGUUCUUGAAACGCUGUUCAAGUUCAGCAAAUGCAACCUCAUAACUCCCCUGUUGUUUUCGUACAUCCGAUGGAAGGGUGUCGUAAAAAAUGGGUAUAACCAACCGGCCAUGUUUUUCCUUGCAUUCUAGGAUAUGCACAAGCUCAUCCAAACACCAGGUCGAGGAAGCAUAGUCUUUCGAGAGAACGAUCACCGAAAGCUCUGAUUCCUUAAUUGCUUUCAGAAGGGCAGGUGCGAUUUCAUCUCCUCUCUUAAGCUCGUCAUCAAUAUAAGUUGUGAUUUUGUUCUCAAGUAAGGCAGCGUGGAGGUGGCUGGUGAAAGUACGGCGGGUGUCCUCACCUCUGAAACUAAUAAACACAUCGUACUUUUUUGUAUCAUCAGCAUCAGCAGGAGCAGCAGUGGAUGAAGAAGAAGAAGCGAUAUCCACAACAUCUAGUUUUCAGAUGCAGCAAAAAGAUGUAGUUGCAGAGAGAUUAAUUGUUAAUUAAAGAGAAAUAAUAUUAUGACGUUGCAGGAAUUAAGGAGAAUUUACUUAGGAUUGGCUUUUGACUACAUGCACAAAGUUUGACAGAGAGAGAGAUGAACGAAAGUAGAAAAUGGGGCACAUGAUAGGCACAUAUUUUCUUAAAAAAAACUAUCAUUUAAAGAAAGAUAUUCAUAUAUUUGCAAUCUUAAUAUGAACAACGUCAUCUCAGCAUGUAAAGCUACUAGUACUAACCAACAUCCGGCACAUCAGUAGAAUCAGCUACAUCAGAAUCAGCCGCAGGAGACGAAGAAGAAAAUGAUCUGCAGCAUAUGUACAAUAGAGUCCCGAUGGCGAUGACGAUGAUGUUGAAAACUUGAAUGAAGGCAAUCAACUCCAUAUCUCUAUUAGGUAGGUGCACAAAGUUACAAACGCUUCAGGAGGACAAAAACUGAAAAUUUGGAGAGACAAGGAUUAGUCACUUUCACAUACUUAAAAAAUAUUUGAUAAUUGAUAAUGCUAAACUAACCUAACGCUUUCACAAAGUUACAAACGCUUCCGCCGGGCCCCGCGGCGGGGGGGGGGGGGGGGGGGGGGGGGGGGGGGGGGGGGGGGUGGGCAAAAAAAUUAUUUGUCAUGUAUAAAAACCAAUGUUGGAGGAGAGGGGAAUUAGACCUCAGACUCUGUCCUCAGAUGUAAUUUAUGUUUAUGGAAGAAACAUAGUAGAUGCAAUUAAUUGAACUGAGGCGUCCUAUAAAAAUAAAAAUAAGAGAACUUUAACGAAAAGCUCCUUGUACUGUUCAUUUUAACGAAAAAUCACAUUUUUACAUUAAAAAGUCAAUCCUGGUACUAUUCAUUUUACCACUGAGGCGUCUUUAUCGUUAAAAUUCAAAAUUUUCAAACCAUUUUUAUUAGUUUUUCUUAAAAAUAAUGGGGCCUAAUAUUUAAGUACUCACCCAAUGAACAAGUGCUUUUUGUUUUAAAAGUUCAAUAAAAAUUAAUGACAUGUACAUUAUAUUAUAAAAGAAUAAAACAUAUAAGGUCAGUAAUUACUAAUGAGUACACAAAUAUGGGAUUAACUUGGCUGCUGAAAAUUUCAGCAGCCACCCCUACUUACAACCAAUCACGUGUGGACACGUAUCUAAAUUUUGAUUAAAAAAAUCAAAACUUGGAUACGUGUCCACACAAAAUUGAAUGUAAAUAGGGGUGGCUUCUGAAAUUUCAACAACCAAAUCUUUUUCUACAAAUAUUGUCCUAAUAUUGUAUUUGGAUAAUACUUGGAUCCUGACCGGUCAGGACCCAUUUUUAAGGUAGACCAAUAACAUUGAAAUACUUGGCACAUUAAGUAAUUUUUUAUUAUUAUUGGCAUACUCAAAAUACCAAGUGUUUCAAUAUUAUUGGUCCACCUCAAAAAUAAGUCCUGACCGGUCAAGACCAAGUUAGGGCUGGGUUCGGUUUGUUUCGGUUCGGUUUUUUGCCAAAACCGAAACCAAACCGAAAUUUCGGUUCGGUUCGGUUCGGCCCAAAUUUUUUUCGGUUUUUUUCGGUUCGGUUUUUUUUUCGGUUCGGUUUUUUCGGUUCGGUUUCGGUUUUUUUUCGGUUUUUUUUUUUUUUUUUCCUCCAAAAAAUGCAAAACAACCCCAACAUAAGAUAUCAUGCAUCUUUUCAGCAAAGAAACAGCCACUACUUGCUAGUAUUUGAAGUUUUGAAAUUGUAACUUAAUCUGUAUUUAACUCCCAUUUCUUUGUUUAUAGAACCACAGACUAACUCAAACUGUUGAGGAUAUACAAGAAAACAUGUCCAUUUAGGUUUAGCUUACCAUCAAAUCAGGCAAAGGGAUUUUUACUUUAGUAAGCAUUAUUUCGCAAUUAUAUGCCCGUCUUAGCUCAAUCUGCAAGAGCCAGUAAAUUUCUCAUUAGAAUUGAGGUGGCAAAGGAAGACUAUAUUCAAUUAAUUCAAAACAACAACAAAAAGGUAAAACCAAAAACACGCUAGACAGAUCCUCAUUUCAAGCUAGUUAACUGGCAAUAACACAUUUACCAGAUUUUUUAGAUACUUUGGGGGAUGCAGCCUUCCCUUCCACGAAAAGGAAAAAGUUUGUUACUCCAAUAACCUUAUGAUAAAAGAUCCAUGGCAAAGUUUGCUCUAAACCAGCUGAAGUGCUUGUUUGAAUGGAUAUCUGGCACACACAAAAAUACAGACGGGUCAUGAGAUGGCUCCAAUGUCAUGGUUGUAUAAAUUUAUAAACAUACAUCAUGGCAAUCAAUGCAAAAUCAAAGAUCUAAGACCAAUUGGAAACACGAUUCCAUAUCAUUUAUACAAAUAGCAAACUGGAAACACGAUUUCAUUAAUAACAAAUAUUCUUAAGUCUGACAACCAAUUCAAGUUCAAUAGCAGAUCAGCUAAAACAAAAAUAUCUUCUUAAAAGUUUAUGAGAACUCAGAAACCACUACUACUAGUACUCAUCUUGGACCAAAUCAUCGACUCAUGCAAUGUUUGAAUAUCAGCCACUUAACGGUACUGCAAACAAAAAGUUCGAAAAAUGAAACCCAAUUACAUUGUGGAAACGGUGUAAUCUCAGCUCAGUAAACGGAAUCUAAACACAAUCAGUAGCUAAGGGUUCUCGAAGCCUUUACCUUGAUGAAGCCGAUUUCCUUGGCAUUGCUGCGGAAGCACUGCCUGCAGCACAUGAGGCCGUACUUCCUGAUCAAACCAUGAGGGUUUCCACACACGCAACUUGCAGGUCGCUGUGAAGGAAGAAGACGAAGCGGAAGAGCGGCGGAGUUGGGAAGGAAGGAGAGAGGGUCCAGACUCCAGAGUACAGAGAAGAGGGAUAAGGGAAAAGGGUCGCGCCGCCGUGGGUUAGGGUUACACUGGAGGAGAAGAGGCAGGGAACGAGAGAGACAGAGCGAGAGAGAGAGGAGGCUCGGCUGAGGCAGGGAACGAGAGAGAGAGGAAGGGAAUGAAACAUCAAUCUGAAAAGGUAUGGCUGCUAGUGGCUAGGGUUAAAGGGUUUUGUUACGUUCUCCAAAAAAAUUAAAAAACAUCUCAGACAUCUGGAGGUUCGAACCCGUGCGCUGGGGUUUUAAAAGGUUCACCGAAACCAACUUAGCAACAAGGUAUGUUUUGUUAUGAUUGUAUGACUAAACUAUUUAUAAUAUUUUAAAAAAUAAUUAAAUAUAUAUAUAUCGGUUCGGUUUCCGAACCUCAAAAACCGAAACCGAACCAGUCAGAUUCGGUUCGGUUCGGUUUGACAGUUUCGGUUCGGUUUUUUUUUUUUUUCGGUUCGGUUUUUUUUCGGUUUUCGGUUUGGUUUUUUUUUUUUUCGGUUUUCGGUUUUUUGAACCCACCCCUAGACCAAGUAUUAUCUCUGGCUUUCACAGUUUCUUAAAGAUAAAUACUUAGUCGGUACCCACUAUGCUGACCCUUUGAUAUGGCCCACUGAUAUUUUACCACAUGUCCUUUACAAGGAGGAUACUACUUGGCUGCUGAAUAAUUUAACAGCAGCUGCUGCUUACAGCCAAUUCCAAUCAAAACUCGGACACGUGUUCAGUCGAGAUUGGCUGCAGCAGCCAAACACUAGCUAUUUUGCAACAAACACCAACUAUUACUUUAAAACCAUCGCCAAGCACUACCUUUCUUCUUCAUUCUUCUGUCUGCCAUGGUUGAUUAGUCGACGCCGACCACUCCGGUCACUCCUCUAACCUCUCUCCUCCGUCAACCACCCCCACUAUCUCCAAUCGUCGUCCCACCCCAAUCCCACCUCCCUCAUCGAGACCAACGCAUACUUCCUCUUCCGAUUGAAAAGGAUAAUGAGUUUGAAAAAUCGGACUGGUUGGAAAAGGAGAUGGGGAUGGGCCAGUGAGGUUGGUGGAGCAGCCAUGAUCGACGACGAGCCGCCAUGGAACUUGAGAAGGUGGCGAAAUAAAAAUAAUGUUUGGUUAUAGGUUUAAAGUGAUAGCUCGAUGUUUGGGUAGAAAAAUAGAAAGAGUCUGGGUGAGAGUUUUAUAUUACAGGUGUUAUAAUUUGAGUGGGCCACAUCAAUAAAUUGGGUAAUUUCCAGUGAGUACUUAAAUAUUGUCAUUUCCUAAAGGGGUGUGCUAUCCACACACCCCAAAUUACUUCUCACACACCCUUAUUAAUUCAUAUCUGUUGAUCUUUUUCAAUUCAUCCGAUCCGACGGUUGAAAAUUAGAAGGGUGUGUGAGAAGUAAAAUGGGGUGUGUGGAUAUCACACCCCUUCCUAAAUAUUAGAAUGAUUACGGAUUUGGAUCCUCGCCGGAUCUCUUCACUGAGUUCUUAAGAAUCAACGGAAGUGUACUGUUGAUUAAAAAUUAUGCGGUAAUGAUUUUUUUUCUUUUUUAUAUUUUUUUACGUAAAAUGAGACUAUUUUACUUUUAAAAAUAUAAAAAGCAAGAUUUUUUAUCAACUGUCCAAGUGCGUUGAAUCCUAAGAUCUCCAGGGAGGAGAUCCGGCAAGGAUCCAAAUCCAAUUACUACAUGUCCAUUAAGAAGCAGCAGCAGCAAUAUCCAUUACCUUGAAUUGGCUUUUGCCUACAUAUAUUUCAUUUAUAAAAAAUAAAAAUAAAAACUAUAAUUUAAAGAAAGAUAUUCAUAUAUUUGCAAUCUAAAUAUGAACAGCGUCAUCUCAGCACGUAAAGGAAGACAAUUGUUCACGAUGUAAACAAAACAAAGUGACAUCCGGUGACAGGUCACCCGUGAAGAAAUUAACAGCAGACAUAACAAAAAUUAAUUAGCAAUUUAAAUGCCAGCAUAACACAACACCUAAACUUAUGUAAAAAGAAAUGACAAAAAAUACAGAAAGAGCCUUAAACAGUAUCAAUAAACACUGACUCACCUCUGACAAGUUACCAAUUUGACAAGGGCUUGUUUGUUUUCUCCAGCUUCAAAACAAUUAGUUUUUUGUAUCAUCAGCAUCAGCAAGAGCAGCAGCGGAUGAAGAAGAAGAAGAAGAAUCCAUAUCCAUAACCCCUAGUUUUCAGAUUCAGCAAGUAGUAGUUGCAGAGAGAUUAAUUGUGAAUUAGAAAGAAGGAGAGAGAGAGAGAGAGAGAGAGAGAGAGAGAGAUUGGUUCAGAAUUAAGGAGGAUCCAAUAAAGCAGGAGGACCCGAUGAAACAAGAGAGAGAGAGAGGGAGGGAGACUAGAUCAGAAUUCACUCGAAUUGGCUUUUGACUAAAGUUCCAAAGACUCCUACAGGAUCAAUGAGUGAGAGAUGAAUAGUUAUAAAAGUGUACGAAGGGGCACAUGGGAUGGGGCCCACCCUUUACGCUCUUUGCGUGCACGGUUGUAAAGUUCUCCUGUUAGUCAGUGACUUUCAAGAAAUUUCCAAACAAUUUCCAAACAACUGCGAUUGAGGACAUUUGUAUAAUCAAAUAAAAAUAAGUGAAUUUCACACUAUAAAAUCAUAGAUAGCUAAGCAUAUAGUUGUUCACCAAUUGAGAUUGAACAAAAUUUGGAAUCUGUUUUUCCGAGCCGAAAUGACAAAUCAAUUCAUUGAAUUAUGGAGUUUCAGCCCAUUUAGUUAUUAUAACUAUUUAUCUUGCUACCAUAUUAUAGUGAAAUCAAACUAAACGGAUCUUGAUAGUUAUCCAUUAAUAAAUAUUCAAUGGGUUAGUUUGUCACUUCUAUUUCCGAGGCUAUCGAAAGGUCCUAAGAAAGUCCGGAACUCCGCCUGAAUAUAUAAGCCUUGGCCAAAGAUAAAAAAAAAAGAAGAUAAAAGACUCUUUCUCACACAAUUAGCGUGUUUACACCUUUUAUUUACAAAGUUUUGAACUUUACCAGUUAGAUACCAAUUUAUUCAAGAAAUUUUCAAGCAUUGAGUACCUUUUUAUAAUUCCUAGAAAAAGAAAAAACAAAUGUAUUUCAAACUACAAAAUUUAGUUUCACACUACAAAAUCACGGAAAGCUAUCAUUCGCUACUAGAAAUUGCCUAAGAUUUGAAAUAUGUAUUUCCGAGGCUAUCAGGAGGUUACUUAGCAUGAAAGUAAGCAAGAAAAACAAGUGGUGAAUUGCCCUUAUGGUUGGGUCAUUUCUCUUCAACUCAUUGUGUCUCAUUUCAAACCCACCCACCUUCUCUUAAUAAAGAUUAAUGUAGAAUAUUGCUUCUAAUUAUAAAAAUUAAAAAAAAAAACAAGCUGUUUCUCAUUCUUUCACAUAUUUACGUGUUUUACGUACAAACCUUUGAACAUUCCCAGUUAGUGACCAAUUUCUUUCAAGAAUUUUCCAAACCCUUUCUAUCGAGUACCUUUUUAUAAUUUCUUAAAUAAAAAAAAUAAAAAAAAAUCAAUUUCACACUACAAAAUCAUGGAGGGCUAAGAUUAUAGUUCUUCACUAUUGGAGAUUGCUUAAGAUUUGGAAUUUGUCUUUUCAAGACAUCAGGAUGUCAUAAGAGAGCCCAGAACUUAGCCUGAAAGUAAAUACCGUCUCAAUUCAUCCUAUUUCAGAUCCGGGAUGUGAUAUGGUUCCAAAAGAUGAAUUGGAUAUGGACAGUUCCAAUAAAGCCUAUGGGGUCGCUUUUGUAACUGGAUAAUCAGCACUGAAAACUGUCUUUACAUUGGAUGGUUUUGUGUUUUGAUGAUCCCUACUUUAUUGAGCAAGAAAAAUUUGUGUAGAGGUGGCUAAUCAUGUUAUCCAUGCGAGAGUAACUUUUAUACUAACGUGGCAGUGAUGACCACUACUUUGAAAAUGCAUUUACCAUGAUUAUUAAAAAGAUUUUAUGCGCUUUAUUAUCGUAUAUAUGUAUAUAGGAAAGUUGGCAUGAGAUUUCCACAUGAGGUGCUUGUAAAUAGUUAGUCGUGCGGUUUGUUCACAGUUUAUCAACUUGCCACCCAAACCAACCAAUUAGAAACCAGCAGAAAUCAGCUACAUCAAAAUCAGCCGCAGAAGACGAAUAAUAAAAUGUUAAUCGUCUGCAGCACAUGUAAAACAAAGUCCCUAUGGCGACGACAAUGAUGUUGAAAACUUGAAUGAACCCAAUCAACUCCAUCUCUUUAUGUCUUAGAUCCAAGGUUCUAAAAGUCGUUAGGAGUUAGUCGGGCGGCGGGCUGGGGUCUAGCGCCUAGGCGGACUAGGCGGAUUUAAGUAAAUCUAUCAUAUUUCAUGUAAAUAAGUGUCUGUUUCUACUUGAAAUAUAUAUAAUUUCAUCAUAAACUACAAAAUAGAAUGCAUAUAUAUCAUGAAGUAUUGGAACAUAAUGAAAACAUGGGAAAUAAGGAUAUAAUGUUUGUUCAUUCAAGUAUGCAACAAGUCUCUUACAAUUUAUUGGAAAAAAAACAGAAUGCAAAAUGAAAGUUAUGUAUUUUCUGUCUAAGUGAGUUGCAACCUAGGCGGGUGCCUAGGCGGGCUAUGCGGGUGCCUAGGUGGUCUAGACGGUGGGCUGGGGCCUAGGCAUUAAUCGGGGCGGUGGGCUGGGGCCUAGCACCUAGGCGGCGCUAGGCGGGGAUUUUUAAAACAGUGCUUAGAUCAGAUAGCAAAAGGAGAAUCUUAACUACAGUUGCACCUGAGACUAAAUCAGAGUUUACCCUAUAAACGAAAUCGUAGUCCUUAUUCGGUAUGGGCACAAAGUUACUUUAAUAAUGGGGCAAAAGACAGUUUACUACCCUCAUGUUUAGUGGUUUUCAACAUUUAGUACAUCAAUUUUUUUUCAUCCCAGAGUCAUACCUAAAGUGUAAAUUUUGGGACAGUCUCAUACAUCCGUUAGUCAAACUGUUAGUUCUCUCGUUAAGUGAUGACGUGGCGCCCUGAUUGGGCGCCACGUGUCAUUAAAAUUUUAUUUAAAUAAAAAUAAUAUUUUAAAAUAUUAAAAAAAUAAUAAAUAAAAAAAUUUCUUCUUCUUCUCUUCUUCUUCUUCUUCUUCUUCUGGGUUCGGUUUCUCUUUCUUUUCUUUUUUUUUUCUUCUUCCUCCUCCUUCUCCUUCUUCUUCCUUCUCCUUCCUCCUUCUUCUUCUUCUCCUUCUUCUUCUUCUUCUUCUUCUGGGUUCGGUUUCUCUCUUCUUCUUUUUUCUUCUUCUUCUUCCUCCUCCUUCUCCUUCUUCUUCCUUCUCCUUCCUCCUCCUUCUUCUCCUUCUUCUUCUUCUUCUGGGUUUGAUUUCUCUUCUUUUUUUUUCUUUUUUUUUUCCUUCUUCCUCCUCCUUCUCCUUCUUCUUCCUUCUCCUUCCUCCUCAUUCUUCUUCUCCUUCUUCUUCUUCCUUCUCCUUCCUCCUCAUUCUUCUUCUCCUUCUUCUUCCUUCUUCUUCAUCUUCUUUUCUGGGUUCGGUUUUUUUUUUUUUUUUCUGUUUUUUUCCUUCUCCUCCUUCCUUCUUCUUCCUCUUCAGACACAUCCCCAAAUCAGUUCCUGCUAACACAGGAGGAAGAAGAAGGAAGGAGGAGAAGGAAAAAAAAAAAAACCCAGAAAAGAAGAGGAAGAAGAAGGAAGAAGAAGGAGAAGAAGAAUGAGGAGGAAGGAGAAGGAGGAGGAAGAAGAAAAAAAAAAAGUGAGAAACCGAACCCAGAAGAAGAAGAAGAAGAAGAAAAAAAAUAUGUAUAUUUUUUAUUAUUAUUUUAAUAUUUUAUUAUUUAAAUAUUUUUUAAUAUUAUUUUUAUUUAAAAAAAUUUAAUGACACGUGGCGCCCAAUCAGGGCGCCGCGUCAUCACUUAACGGGAGAACUAACAGUUUGACUAACGGAUGUAUGAGACUGUCCCAAAAUUUACACUUUAGGUAUGACUCUGGGAUGAAAAAAAUUGAUGUACUAAAUGUUGAAAACCACUAAACAUGAGGGUAGUAAACUGUCUUUUGCCCUUAAUAAUGCUACUACGGGCUUUAUGGUAGCGGCAAGCACACGUGCGCUUUAUUGUAGUGGCAAGCACAUAGUAGCCAAUAGGCCCCCCUUCCCGACCUUACGCGCUUUACGUACAAAUUUAACUUCGUUGCUCCAUCUACUGAUUUCAUCUUUGACAAGCAGAGCAUCCAAAGCAAUUUGAUCUUCACAAGGACUAACCAGCACCCGACACGUUACUGUAGUAUCUAGGCGACCCGCUUGCUGUUGCAAUAUUAGUUUAAGAUGUCAGAAUGGCAAUAACGGAUGUAAUUGAAGAUAAAACCAUCUACAACAUUUGAAUUUUUAGAUCAACGAGCCCCGAAACCUUGAAAUAGAGAAAGCCCACCUCCAUAAUGGUUUUGGUCGAAUCUGAUUUUGAAAAGAAAAGGUUCUUCCCAUGCAGUAGACUUGAUUUCAAGAGUCAUCGUCCCAAUAAGAAGAGUAAAGUGAAGGAAGAGAGAUCAAGGGGGAGGCUGGCAAUUUGAGGGGAGGAGUUGGCUGGGUUGUGAAACCAUCAUCGAACGUUAGAUGAUUAAGGAAUUUCUCUUCAACUCAUUAGUGUAAAGUAUCUCUUGUAAUUUAAAAAAAAAACAGAACUCUUUCUCAUACAAUUGACGUGUUUACACCUUUUACAUACAAAGUUUUGAACUUUCCCAAUUAGUGACCAAUUUCUUUCAAGAAAUUUUCAAGCACUUUCAGUUGAGUAACUGUUUAUAAUUCCCUAGAAAAAAGAAAAACAAGUGAAUUUCAAACUACAAAAUCAUGGAGGGCUAAGAAUGGUCAUUCAUUAGAGAUUGCCUAAGAUUUGCAAUCUUUCUUUCCGAGGCUAUCAGGAGGUCUUAAGGGAGCAUAGAAGUUAGCAUGAAACUAUGUGAGAAAAACAAGUGGUGGAUUGCCCUUAUGAUUAGGGCAUUUUAGUUCAACUCACUGUGUCUCAGUCCAAACCCUCCCGCAUUCCCUUAAUACAGAUUAGUGUAGAAUAUUGCUUAUAAUUAAAAAAAAGGCAAACACUUUCUCAUUCAAUUGACAUAUUUACAUUUUUACGUGCAAAUUUUUAACAUUCCCAGUUAUUGACCAAUUUAUUUCAAGCAAUUUCCAAGCACUUUCGAUCCAGUACCUUUUUAUAAUUCAUUUAGAUACAUUAAUUCAAUAUAAUACAUUUCAGUACACACAUUUAAGUAUAUUCGUUUAAUAUAAUACAUUUCGCUGCAUACAUUUGGGUAUAUACAUUUGGGUACAUACAUUUCGAUACUAACAUUUAUGUCACAGCCCGUUCCGAAGAUUAUAUAAUGUUGAGGUGAAGAGACAUAUAUAGCCUUGGAUAUUUGUGUGGUAAUGAGGUUUAAUAAGUUAUUUGGACAAUUUUAAAUAUUUACUAUUUGGAAAUGUUAGGUGUGUGUGUGUAUUGAUGGGGAAAUAUGGACCACACACACUAGACCUCUCUCUCCCCCGCGUCUCACUCUCUCUGUCUCUCGGACUCUCACUCCCUCUUUCCUCACGUAGGGACGAGACCCAAACCAUUGGAAACUUCAUAGAUCGACGUGUUUGAGAUCACCAUUGUACUCCUGGGGACCAUACGAACUCAUUGACACCCAUUUCAGGUAAGAACUCAUUCGUUAUCACGUCGAAAUCACGAGCACCGAAUUAAGCACUGUUCACGAACUUUUUGUUGGUUGAUUUUUAGGACAAUCCAAGCUCAUAGUGAGCUUUAGGAGGUUCUCAUGAAGCUCGGGGACGUCCGUUUGGAAGUUUUGGACGUCGGGAUCACUGCGUUCAAGGGUGGCCGGUUUUGGGUGAAAUUUCCCGACGUGAUUUUGAAGGUUUUGGAAGUUUUUAAAGGUAUAGAUCCCUUCCCCUCUUAAUUUAGAGCAUGUAGGAAGAAAUUUGAGUCAAAAUGGUGAAGAAAUGGCCGAGAAAACCCAAGUUGCAGGUUUACCCAGUUUCCGGCGCCGGUGGCACUGUGCCGACGACGUGAGGAAGAAGGAGACGCGCGUGGGGGCGCGUGCGUCACUAAAAAAUUAUUCUAAAAAUUUGUCGACGUCCGUGACGUCGAGUAGGUCACUGUGGUAUAUUCAUAUACCCAAAUUGAGCACCGUAUGAGAAGUUAUUAAGAAUUGUUGGUUAGGUGCUUUAAAUAACAUUUUAUAGUUUUCGCAUUUAGGUGAAAAUGUGAAUUGACGAUCCGACCGUUGGAUCGUCACCAAACUUUGAUGCGUUGUAAUACGUAAUAUUUGAGGAUUAUAGGAACUUACAGAUUGGGAAUCCGAUUUACGGAUCUUCCGAAAUUGGAGUUGUAAGUCCAUAAUAUAGAAUGUUAACCGUCACUUGGUUUGGUUAAUUGACGGAGAUCCGACCGUUGGAUGGUAAUGAAAUUUUAGGAUGUUGUUCUAGGGAUAUAUUGUGGACCUCAGGAAGUUAUGGAUUGGAAAUCUGAGUUGCAGAUCUUCCGGAUUGAAUUGUGUAGUGACGUGUUUUAUAUAAGUUAUAUUCAAUCGAUAUGAAUUCUGAGGUUGGAUUUGAUUAUUGUUCUAGGCGCCGAUCGUCAUGACGCCUUGAUGAGUUAUGCUAGGGAGUUGUAGGGCGAACUCCAGGUGAUUGGGCAGUUAUUUUCAGUAUAUAUAUAUAUAUAUACUUGACGUUUUCCCAGAAGUCGAAUUUGAAUGAUAGUAUGCUUUAAAAUGCCAUGCAUAGAAGUAUAUGAAAAGCAUGAAUUGAUAUAUGAUGCAUACAUUUUGCAUGGUGCUGUGGAGGCACAUGUAAGUCAGGUGAGUUCAUUUAUUCAUUGAAUUGUUUGAUGUGAGAUGUCUUGAGCUCAUAACAUGCACCCUAGGUGUUAGUGCUUAUAUUAUUCACCACACCGCACGCUCGUCUUGGAUCCAAGUAGGUGGAUGUCGUACAGACCAUGUGAGGGUUCCGACAUGCUAGUCGUAUAGAUCACUAGAUAUGAUUCCGACUAGUGGGUGACCUUAGUUAUGCGCGCCGAUGAUUGAUGAGAGAAGCACUAGAGCGUAUUAUUACACCUUUCAUCGUACAGACUACCUUACGUAGCUCCGAGUGAUGUGCAGAGUAAGGCCGUAUAGGUCACUGUGGUGACUCCGGCUGAGUGGGAUAUUGAGCUAUAGAAUUAACCGUACAUGACCAAUUGCAGGGUCUCCGGUUGAUUCAUUAUGUCACCUAUUAUAUUGAUGCAUUAUGUCACCUGUUAUAUUGAUGCAUCAUUCAACCUGUUUUGAAAGUUUUUAACAUGGCAUGGCAUGAUUUUUGGAUUUUGAUAAAGAAUGAUGAUUUGAAAUAUAUGAGGAUUUUUAAAGUAUUUAUGCUAUUUUCUAGGAAAGUAUACAGGUUUUACAGCGAGGGGUUAGAAAUGUUUUAAAUGAAAAGUUUUCGAAAAACUUUGUUUUACUGACCCACUCAAUUUUGUUUUGCGCCCCUCCAGAUUCAAGUUAGCAGAGCUUUGGUGGCUACGAGAAAUCCAGCGGUGUUCUAACAGAAUUCACAAAAGUAGGAUUCACCCCAGGUGUUAUAUCUUAGUAAUUGUAUAUUUAAAGCUUCCGAACUGUGUAAAUGGUUACGUCACUCUCACGUGACGGCCAGCAUGCCCUCCUUCGGAACGGUGUGUGUCAAUUUAGGUACAUUAAUUGAGUUUUUCAAGUUUGAAGUAUGUUAAAUAAAAUUAAUAAAUUAAAAAACUUUUUUUUGGUAAAAAAAAUAAAUUCAAAUGUAUAUAUUAAUAAAUUCAAAUAUUUAAUGGGAGACAUUGAAUGAAAUACAGAUUAAUUAUUUUGAAUUAAUGACACAUCAAGAAACUAUAAUCAAUAUGUAAUCUAACAACAGAUUUAUUUUAAAUUUCAAUCUUUUUCAAGGAUUAAAGUUAGAAAACCUCAAAAAUAAAAACAAUUCAAUUUCACACAACAAAAUCAUGAAAGACUAAAAAUAUAGUCUUUCACUAUCGAGUAUCGGAGAUUGCGUAAGAUUGAGAAUCUAUCUUUCCGAGGCUAUCGAGAGAUCAUAAGAGAGCCCACAACUUAGCCUAAAAUUAAGUGAGAAAAACUUGUAUAGAGAUGGCCAAUCAUGUUAUCCAUAUGAGAGUAACGUCCAUACCUACAUAGAGGUGAUAACGUACUCUGAAAAUGUAUUUAUUACGAUUAAAAUUUUUUGUUUCUUAUUAUAGAUAUAUGUAUAUAGGAAAGUAUAGGUUUAGCAUGAGAUUUCCACGUGAGGUGCUUGUAAAUAGUAAGUCAUGCGGUUUGUAUCCAUCAGCUGAUCAACGUUCGGAGAAAUUUUUUCAAAUAUCUGGCACAUACGCUGACCUGAAGUUCCCCAUUAAUAAGCUUCUGACACCUAUUCUUUACUCUUUAAGUGACAAUAAAAUAUCUACUUUAUCUUUGUAUUCAUUUCAGAAAAUAAUUAUAAAAAAAAAAGAAGGCAAGAUCCCCUUUCCCAUCCUCAUCCCCCGCCCACCCUGCCCUUCCCGUCACCUCUCCCUCCCUUUCUCUUUCUUUCUGUUUCUCUUGCAAGAUUCGUCGUCAGCCCCCUUUCCCAUCCCCAUCCCCCGCCCACCCUGCCCUUGCCGUCACCUCUCCUUGCCUUUCUUUUUCUUUCUGUUUCUCUCUUCCCCUUUUUAUUUCUUCUCUUUCUUGCUCCAAAAUAAGAACAAAGGUGAUGCCGGCGACUCCGGCUGAAAGAUCGAGAUUGACGACAGCCGAUCUGAAUUGAAGUCGCCGUCGACAAUCUCUGGGUUCCAUGUGGAAGUAAGAGUGGGAGAGAAAGAGAGGAAAGGAAAGAAAGAGAGUCGAAUAGAGGGCAGGGACGAUGACGCCGGAAAAAUCGCCGGCCGGUGAGAGACGUGGGUGUGCGUGGUUCGACGUCGUCAGGCUCGUGGACUUCUGAUAUCUUAGUUAGAGCAAUUCCAACCUGUGGACUUUGCGCCAGCGCAUUUAUUCACUCAAAUGAACAGUAAUAGACUGGAGUGAACAGUAAUAGGCCAAGGCAUCUCCACUCCUAAAAAAAUGCGCUAGCACCCAGCGCAUUUAUUUGGUGUGUUUUUUUUUUAAGUUUAUUUCGGAUAAGAUUUUUAACCCAUUUAAAAUAAAGAAUAAAAAAAUAAAAUAGUUUUAAUCUCGUCACGCCACGUGUCAUUAUCUGAACGUAUUAUUUUGUGAAUAGAUUUCCGAUAUUAUUUUCAACCAAUCCCGACACGCCACGUGUCACUUCCGUGGUACAAUAAUUUAGCCAAGAUUUCGAUAAGAUUUCGAUAAUUGAAAUGUGGUGUAAAGGUGAAAGAUGAGGGUUAGGUAUUUAUAGGAAAAAAAAUAACAUUUUUCAAUUAUUUCUGUAAUUUUUUUAAAAUUUUCUGUAUUUUUUAAUAAUUUUUUCUGUUUUUUUAAUGAUUUAAUAUAGUUAAUUAAUCUGGACCGUUGGAUUUGAAAAAAUAUUCAAAUCCAAGAGCCAGGGACUUGCCACGUGGCCAACGGUCAUAUUUCUGACCGUUGGGGCCUUUUUUUUUUUUUUUUUUUUUUUUUUUUUUUACUUUUUUGUAAAAAGAACGUGGACCGUUGAUUUUUGAUCUGACGGUCCAUGUUAAAAGUAAAAUUUAAAUUUUUUUUACCGUUGGAAAUCCAACGGUCUAGAAAACUAGCCGUUGGAAAUCCAACGGCACUGAGGAGGGCCACAUAGCCCUAUUCCGGGUUCUCCACAAGUGGGCUGACAAGCGGGCCCCCCCCGCCUGCAACCCGGUUCCCUACUCGCGCUUCUGCGCGCUUGUGCUGCACGCGGCUUCUAAACAGGCCGGUCUCUGGGUCUGUCCGAAAUAGGCUGGCCCGUUGCCCAGCUUGGGUUGUGUCCCAGGCUCUUUCGCAGGCUGGAGCAACUUGACAAGGGACUGGGCUGUUUUUUGGACUUGGUGCUGGGCAAUUUCCACUGGGGUGGAAUUGCUCUUAUUGUGAAACAAUUGGCAUUUUUUAAUUUAAAAGAAUAAAUUAUGCAGAUGUUAAAUGUUUAUUCGUGAAACUCUAUGUUAGCAUAUAUGUAUAAAUGUUUAUUCGUGAAACUCUAUGUUAGCAUAUACGUCAGGUAUUUGGAAAAAUUUCUCUUUGACUAGAUGCACAAAAUUCCAAAAGCUCUUUUGGAAAAGCUAUGAGUAAGAGAUGACCAGUUACAAAAGCAUAAAAAGGGCCACAUGGUUUUGAAUUUCCCUUUUUAGUAAGUCAUCAAUUUCUUUCAAGAAAUUUCCAAACAAUUUUCAAGCAGUUUUGAUUAAGGACAUUUUUUAAAUUUCCAAAAGAAAAUAUGUUAAUUCCACACUACAAAAUCGUAGAGGCUGAGAAUAUAGUUGUUCAUCAAUGGAGAUUGAACAGGAUUUGGAAUUUGUAUUUCCGAGCACAAAUAACAAAUCAACUUAUUAAAUUAUUAAUGAAAAAAUUUUAGAGUCACAGAUUCAUUUGUUUAAUUUCACCAUAAGAUAUUACAAAAUCGUUACAACUAUUAAUCUCUCUACCAUAUUAUAGUUAAAUCAAACUAAACAAAUCUUAAUAGUUAAAGAAAACUAAUGAAAAAACUUGAAAAUUUUGAAUUUUAACCAAAUUAUCUCACUGGCAGCAGCUCUGUCUAUAAUUAUUUUGCAGUUGUUUUGUAUAUGCACGACGUUGUUUCUUGGCAGAUUAUGGAUUAAAUUUAGGGAAGUGUUAUUGGCACUCCAAAAAUCUCAUUCUACACUCCUCACAAAUGUAUUUUUCUUUCCUAAUAUAGAAAGUUUGAAAUGUAGAAUGAGAUUUUUAGAGUACUAAUAAUAAUUCCCUAAAUUCAUUCAUAUUGGUUUAGUCACAGGAAUUUUUUUAUUUUUUAUUUUGGACAAAUAGUCACUGGAAUUUAAUUUGUCUAUUUACCGCUGUGUAGCGUUUGGUUAAAGCCUCGCCAAGGAAGCAGACACAUGCCUCAGGAAAAUCCAUGGAAAAUAAUAUUUUCCUAAAAGAAUAGUAUUUAAUGGAAAAGAUAUGCAUAGAGGGGAGAUAAUAAUGCACCGGCCGUUGGAUUGGCUUUUGGUGUUGUAGAUGAAAACGAGCGGUUGGUAAUUGAGGAGGAAGAUAUCUCGAGGCCACAAAAGAAAAUGACAAAUGCAGUUAGGGAUGAGAGAUACAGAUUAAUUGUGAAUUAGAAAGAAAGAGAGAGAGAAUGAUUCAGAAUUAAGGAGGAUCCAAUAAAGCGAGACAGAGAAUGAUUCAGAAUUAAGGAGGAUCCAAUAAAGCGAGAGAGAGAGUAGUUCAGAAUUAAGGAGGACAUGUUGAAACAAGAGAGAGAGAUAGGGAAGGGUACUUGGAAUCGAAAAUCGAAAUCCAAACACGUACCAAAUCGGACCGCAUCGAACGGUUUGGUCUUACGGUUUUGAAAUGGUUUCGGUUUUGAAACCGAACCAUAGUGUAGAAAACGGUUUGGUUUCGGUUUUGGCUUUUGAAAACCGCACUGAAACUGAACCGCACCUCAAAUAUUAAUAAACAUUUAAUGAAAUGUCCAUAUUAGAUGUUAUGUUUUAAUUGGUUGUUUAUUAGAAUUCAUAUAUUUAGUAUGAACUCAACCACACUAUAAUAUCAUCAUUCAUCGCUCAAUGCACUGAUUGUAGGAGUUGUGCAUUUGCUACAAGUUUUUGGCUUCAUAAUUGCACUUAUUUGAUUCUAGGGAGCAAGGGUGCUCAACUUAGAAAACAUAUUGAUGCUACACUUGGCAACGGCAACCUAAUAUAAUGCUUCUAACUGGAGAAGAUUUAAAUGAAUGGAUUGCUGUCAACAGUGCUUGGAGAAGAUUUAAAUGAACUGGAGAAGAUUUAGUGCCUGCCAAUUUUUAGUUUGGUUCGUCCAUUAUAUUGGUUGAUACGUGGUUAAAAGUUUUGUUUCAUGUCAAAGAACUUAUUUGGUUUUUGGAGAUGUGCACUUGCUGAAAGUUUGCUGCAUACAGUAUCCCAAUUUUAUAUGAAAAUAGAUUAUCAAAAUAUCCUCACUUAAUGUAUUGAUUGUGGACAUGGGUUCAUAGAUUAAUGUAUUGUAUGAAAAUUAGAAAAUGACACCGACUUAUGCGUAGAUAGAUGUAAAUUUUAAAUUGUGCAUUUUUUUUCUUAAGAACCAAACCGAAAAUGUUUGAAACCGCACUGAACCAAACCACACGGUUUGGUUUCAUUUCAAUUUUAACUUCAAAACUGCACCGAACCAAACAGUAAAAAAUUUUGGUUUUGGUUUCGAUUUUACUCAAAACCGCACCAAAUAGAAUCGUGCCCAUCCCUAAAGAGAGAGGGAGGGAGACUAAUUUACUCGAAUUGGCUUUUGACUAAAGUUCCAAAGGCUCCUUCAGGAAUAUCAAUGAGUGAGAGAUUAAUAGUUAUAAAAGUAUACGAAGGGGCACAUGGGAUGGGGCCAUCCCUUUACAUUCUUUGCGUGCAUGGUUGUAAAGUUUCCAGUUAGUCUGUGAUCAGUUUCUUUCAAGAAAUUUCCAAGAAAUUUCCAAACAAUUUCCAAGCAACUUCGAUUAAGGACAUUUUUAUAAUUUUCAAAAGAAAAUAAGUGAAUUUCACAUUACAAAAUCAUAAAGAGCUAAGCAUAUAGUUGUUCACCAAUUGAGAUUGAACAAGAUUUGGAAUCUGUCUUUCCGAGCACAAGUGACAAAUCAAUUCAUUGAAUUAUAGAGUCUCAUCCUAUUUAGUUUGAUUUCAUUAUAAGAUACACACAAUCAUUACAACUAUCAAUCUUUCUACCAUAUUAUAGUGAAAUCAAACUAAACGGAUCUUAAUAGUUAUUCAUUAAUAAAUAUUCAACGGGUUAGUUUGUCACUUCUAUUUCUGAGGCUAUCGAAAGGUCCGAAGAAAGUCCAAAACUCCGCCUGAAUAUAUGUGCCUUGGCCAAAGUAUGAGAGUCAUGAUUCCCUUCGAAUUAUCAUUGUGAGGAUCCUAGGGAUCAAUCAAUCCUAGCCGCACACCACAUAUCAUGUAGCUGAAAAAUAUUAUGCCAUGUAGAAAGAAUUAAAAAUUCAGAUGAUUUCUUGUUGCAGUAUGUGUGGUGAGUGGCUAUGAUUGAUUGAUCCAGGAUCCUCACAAUCAAGAUCUGGAGGGGAUCCUGAUCCUUCAGCUUUGAUCAGCAAACCAACUAAUGAAAAGGAUCAUCUUCAGAUCCUCUUUGUGAGAAUCCUAGGGAUCUUCACAUCCUAUCUGUUCAUAGUACAUCGUACAUCGUGCAACCAACUUUCGUUAGAUAUUGUUUGUGUUUAAUUUCAAAUAAAAAAUUCAAAAUAAUUUAUGGCCACACGAUGUACGAUGAAUGGAUAGCUAGGAUCUUCACAAAGAGAUUCCAGAUGGGAUCUGAAUCCCAAUAAAACUUAAUCUUGACAAAGACAACUAACCUACACCUGGUAGGUCACCAUAGCACUCAGGUUACGCCCUUGUUCGUUUAUUAUAGUGCAAUAUGUCACAGUAGCGUACCAAAUGUACACGACUCUUCAAUUAAAUAUAAAAGCGACUAAAACAUUUGAAAAUGAAUGAGUGAACCUUGAUAUAGAAAAUACACAGCUCCCAAAUUAGCUUCGGUGAACUAGAGUUUAGCUUGAUUACAAAAAAAAAAACAAGUGGUGAAUUGUCCUUAUGGUUAAGGAAUCUUUAACUCACUAUGUCACGCCUCGAUCCCGACAUACGUCCAAGAUAGUCACGUGACGUCAUCAAGUAUCCGUAUACGGUAUAUCUAACAUACCUCGCCUCCAUAAUAUAUACAAAGCAUUGCUCAAGAUUCGAAUUGCGUAAAAAUUUUCGUAUACUUUAUGGAUGCAUUUAACCUCCUUGUUAGACUGUCUAUGUACCCUAAAUAGGGAUCAACCCAUUCAUAGUUCACUAUUAACUACACUCAAACAGUCAUCACAUAAACCACUAUGUCCCAGCAUAAUACCACGAAUCAGGCAUGCAACAUCUCAAGGAACAUUCGACGAAGCACAAUAAUAUUCUCUAGUCAUCUUGCCAUUCACACACACAUAUGAUUUCCAACACCAUUCAAUAAUCACAACAAUCAAUAACACAUACAAUACAACGAAAUGCAAGGCUAGAGUGACACAGUUCGGCCAAAGCCUACAUAUCUGAAGCUGAAAUCGAAUCCAAGUAACCAACAAGUCAAAUGGUGCAAUUUCGGACCACUCAACGAAAUCUAUCAACAUCAGGUUUCGGACCACUAAACGGAACCAAAAAACCAAGUGGGAUUUCGGACCACUCAAAUCCAAACCAGGAUACGAUUCCGGACCACUCAACGGAAUCGCAGAUCACGAGGGAUUCCGGACCACCAACGAAAUUGCGGAGUAGAAGGGAUUCCGGACCUCUCAACGGAAUUUGAGUGGAUACGAUUCUGGACCACUCAACAAAAUCGCUGAGCACGAGGGAUCCUGGUCCUUUCAACUGAUUGCAGACGGAGCAGGGAACCAGACCACUCAAUAGAACCCCAACAGAACCCAGUUCCAAACCACUCAACAGAACCGAGCGGAAGUCCAAGAAGCAUAACAACGACUCGAAGAAACAAGAAAUGAAUCAAGUUACUCAAUUCACGAAGGCUCAAUGAAAUGAAACAAGCACAAGUACUAAAUUGAGAACGGGUCAACAAAGUGAGAAAUGAAACAAUAUUGAAGCAACAAAUCCCCAUCACAAUGGGGUAACGGUCUACUACUAGCUCUCACAUUUCACAAGCAAUUCAAUAUGCAUUUCAAAUCACAUGUCACAAACAUUUCCAAUACACAAGUCAAAUCACAUUUCAUAAUAAUAGAUCGAUGGCUAAUUAUUAAAUCACAUUUUCAAUAGAAAACACAUUUAUAAAACCAAGUCAUAUACUAAAUACGAAACAGGGACUAUACCACAUAUAUUAAAGUCACUCACAUUUAACCACAUCAUACCAAUCACUAUGUUUUCAACAUGAUAGCUCAAUCCAUAGCUUGUGACAUAUCAAAGAAUCACGAAGCACAAUACUAUUCUCAAGCCACAUUAAUCAACUAAUCUAAUCAUAAUAAUAAAAAUCAUAUCCAACGUCAUUCCACAAUCUUGUCCUUUAAUCAAUUUCGCGAAUCAAGGAUGCAUGAUAUUAACAUUUAACUACAUUAAUCAAUCAAUGAGAUAACAUAUCUUUUCACGAAUUUAAUUAAAGAUACACAAUUCCCUACUAGGAUUAUGAUUAAUAACAUGGCAGAUCUAAUUUAUAUUUACAAGAUCUAUUAUGGGUAAUUUUUAUUCACUCGAAUCUAGGGUUCCAGACUAACAGUAUGGAAAUGAGCAAGAGUAAGGAUUCCGUACCACUCAACAGAAUCCAACUAAAAUAUGGCACUUACCGAAUGUACCAAGUACAACUAAUCCUCAUCACCCCUAGAAUGCGUAUGGUCCCCCAUUCGCGGAUAUACCAAGCAGGACCAUCCAUGUACCACUGCUACAUGGUGCAGUAAGUCCAUCACACAACCAAUCACUACCUCAACCCCUAUAAAUUACAACGUCGGCACCUGCACUAUCAACUUCUCAUGACCACCAACUAUCAUAUCAUGCAAGCAUAUAAAUUCUAAAUAAUACUUCUAAUGGGAUUCUAGGAUCACAUGGUCAUAACCUUUAUCAUUCAUAUUAUCAAGAAAAUAACUGAACACAUAUAUAUCACAAUAUGACAUCCCGUACACGUAAACUGAGGUAUAUAUUAUUUGGGAUAAUUCACUAACCAAUAUAGGCCCACUAAGCCCUACAUCGUCUCUAGUAAUAUUUAAGAUCAAUUCGUAACAUAUUGACCAAAAGUCAAAUCUCUGUCAACGAUGGGGUCCACAACUCUGUACAAGUCAAUUUGGAACAUCGCCCAUGGAUUUCCUAUCCGUAACUUCCCAAGGGUCUCAUUUAUCUUCUAAAACAAUAUUCUAAAAUUUCAGAACGAUCCAACGGUCGGAUCUCCGUCAAUUGCUAGAAUUAGGUUGCCAUUAACGUUUGGUUUUACAAAAUUAGAAAUUCAAUUUGAGAAGAUCUAUACGUCGGAUUCCCAAUCCGUCAGUUCCUAGGGAUCUUCACAUCCUAUAUGUUCAUCGUACAUCGUGCGACCAGUUUUCGUUAGAUAUGGUUUGUGUUUAGUUUCAAAUAAAAAAUUCAAAAUGAUUUCUGACCGCACGAUGUACGAUGAACGGAUAUGAUGUGAGGAUCCCUAGAAAGAGGUUCCGGAUGGGAUCUGAAUCCCAAUGAAACUUAACCUACACCUAGUGGGUCACCAUAGCACUCAGGUUACAUUGUUCGUUUAUUAUUAGUCCAAGAUGUCACAGUAGUGUACCAAAUGUACACGACUCUUCAAUUAAAUAUAAAAGUGACUAAAACAUUUGAAAAUGAACGAGCGAACCUUGAUAUAGAAAAUGCACAGCUCCCAAAUUGGCUUCGGUGAACUAGAGUUUAACUUGAUUACGAGAAAAACAAGUGGUGGAUUGCCCUUGUGGUUAAGGAAUUUCUCUCCAACUCACUAUGUUUUGGGCUCAUACUCUCCCGCAUCUCCUUAGUAUAGAUUAGUGUAAAAUAUCCUUGUAAUUAAAAAAAAAAGGAACUUUUUCUCAUACAAUUGACGUGUUUACAACUUUUACAUACAAAGUUUUGAACUUUGCCAGUUAGUGACCAAUCUAUUCCAAGAAAUUUUCAAGCACUUUCAGUUGAGCACCUUUUUUAUAAUUCCUAAAAAGAAAAAAAAAACAAGUGAAUUUCAAACUACAAAAUUUACUUUCACACUACAAAAUCACGGAGGGCUGUCAUUCGCUACUAGAAAUUGCCUACGAUUUGGAAUAUGUCUUUCGGAGGCUAUCAAGAGGUCUUAAGAAGCGCAGAACUUAACCUGAAAGUAAGGUAGAAAAACAAGUGGUGGAUUGCCCUUAUGGUUGGGUCAUUUCUCUUCAACUCACUGUGUCUUAGUUCAAACCCUCCAUCAUUCUCUUAAUAGAGAUUAACGUAGAAUAUUGCUUGUAAUUAAAAAAAAAAAAGCAAGCUCUUUCUCAUUCAUUUCACGUAUUUACACAUUUUACGUACAAAUUUUUUAACAUUCCCAGUGUCACAGCCCGUCCUGGAAUUUUAAUUCCGAGGACGUGAAAAGACGAAAAUGCCUUUAAACGGGACUAAGGGGUGAAAAUUUAACAAUUUGGAUUGAGUUGGACACAUGGGAUCCCCACAUCCCUCAAAACCUUCCCCAAUUCCCGUACCUUGUCCCUCUCUCUCUCCUCCCUCACGAAACUCUCAGUUCUCUCUCCCUCUCCUUCGAACUCACACGGACCUCCACAAAACCACCCUAAAUCUAUACCAACGACGAAUCUAAGACCACCAUUGGAACCCUGAAGACUUCACGAUCACGAUGGUAUCCAUUUCAGGUAAGUUUUGCUUCGGAAAACCCUAGUUUCAAAGUUCCCGUGAAAUGGUACUGUUCAUGAUCUUUUAAAUGGUUACGUUUUAGGCUAAAACAAGCUUGUAGGAAGCUUAGUGAGGUCCCAAGGAAGCUCGGAGUGCUUCGUUGGAAGUUUUUGGACGUAAGAACACGGAGAUCGACAAGUUCAAAGUUUGGCCGGAGCUUUCGAGGCAUUUUCCGGCGAAUCCCCGGUGAGUUAGGAGUCUAGGUAGGUAUCAAUCUCUUCGUCUCGUCAAGUACUACAACUGUCCUUUUUGUUUCACUCAAUUUCGUUGAUUAUUGAAGAAGUUAUACUCAUUUGAAAAAUACCCAGUUUCCGGCGACCUCCGAGGCUUUCGAGGCAGUUUCCGGCCAAAACACGGUGAACUAGGUGUUGUGAAAGGUACCAUUCUCUUUGUCUCUUCAAGGGCUACAACUUUCGUUUUUGAAUCACUUGAUUUCGUUGAGAAAUGACAAAGUUAUGGCAAUUUGAAAAACGGCCGCCGGAAAAACCAGUCCGGCGACCCAAGGAAGAAGAAGGUGCGCGUGGGGGCGCGUAGGUCCGUGCCUUCCGUGGCGCGUGGGGGCGCGUGCUACAGUAAAAAAUUAUUUUAAAAAUAUGUCGACGUCCGUGACGUCGAGUAGAUCACUGUGGUAUAUUUAUAUACCCAAAUUGAGCACCGUAUGAGAAAGUUAUUAAGGAUUGUUGGUUAGGUGUUCAAAUAACGUUUUAUAGUUUUUGCAUUUAGGUGAAAAUAUGAAUUGACGAUCCGACCGUUGGAUCAUUACCAAAAUUUGAUACGUUGUAAUACGUAAUAUUUGAGGAUUAUUGGAACUUACGGAUUGGGAAUCCGAGUUACGGAUCUUCCGGAAUUGGAAUUGUAAGUUCAUAAAAUAAAAUGUUAACCGUCACUUAGUUUUGGAAAUUGACGGAGAUCCGACCGUUGGAUGGUAAUGCAAUUUUAGGAUGUUAUCCUAGAGAUAUAUUGUGGACCUCUGGAAGUUAUGGAUUUAAAAUCUGAGUGGCAGAUCUUCCGGAUCGAACUACGUAGUGACGUAUUUUAUAUAAGUUAUAUAUUCUAUCGAUAUGAAUUCUGAGGUUGGAUUUGAUUACUAUUCUAGGCGGCGAUCGUCGUGACGCCUUGUUGUGUGGUGCUAGGGAGUUGUUGGACGAACUCCAGGUGAGUGGGCAGUUUUUUGUUUUCCGUAUAUAUAUAUACUUGACGUUUCCCAGAAAUUGAAUUGAAAUGAAAAUAUGUUUAAAAUGAAAUGCAUAUGAGUUAUGUGGAAAAACGGGAAGUGAAAUACCAUGCAUAGAAUUGAUAUGAAAAGUAUAUAGAAAUGUGAGUUGAAAUGACAUGCAUGAAUUAAUAUAUGAUGCAUAUGUAUGAAUUGGUGCGGUGGACGCACAGGUAAGAAUUGAUUUAUGAUGCAUAUGUAUGAAUUGGUGCGGUGGACGCACAGGUAAGAAUUGAUUUAUGAUGCAUAUGUAUGAAAUGGUGCGGUGGACGCACAGGUGAGUAUUUAUUUCUGUUAUGAUGAUGUUGAUGUAUAUUGAGCUCAAAUCCUGCACCAUAGUUUAGUGCUUAUAGUAUUCACCGCAUCGCACGCUCGCCUUGGAUCCAAUGCUAGUCGUACAGUCCACGCGGAGUGGGUACGACAGGCCAGUCGCGAGAGUGUUAGUGAGAUUCCGACUGGUGGGUGACCUUAGAUUAUGUGCACAGAUGAUUUAUGAGAAGCACUAGAGCGUAACUUAUGUGCAGAAGGCCGGACAGGUCACGCGGAGUGACUCCGGCAGAGUGUGAGAGUGAUAGAUUUUGAGCUCUAGGUUCAACCGUACAGGGCUAUGAGAGGGCCUCCGGUUGAUUACUUUCUUGCACCUGAUAUGAUUAUUGUUGAUGCAUCCAUACUUAACUGUUGAAUUAGACAUGGCAUGGCAUGAUUGAUAAAGAAAAAAAUGUUGAGUUAAUGAAUUGAAGUAUUGAGAAUAUAUAUGUAUAUUUAUAUUUUACAUUUCUGGGAAAGUAUACAGGUUUUACGGAGAGGGGUUACAACGUUUUGAGAAAUGUUUGGAUUUGGAAAAGAAUUGUUUUACUGACCCACUCAAUUUUGGUUUUGCGCCUCCAGGUUCAGGAAUCACAAAGGUGUGGUGACUACGAGGAAUUCGACGGUGUUCUGACAGAUUGGACAAAAUUAGGACUCACCUUCGGGUGUAUCAACUUAUAAAUUGUAUCUUAAAGCUUCCGUACUGUGCAAAUGGUUACGUCACUCUCACGUGACGGCCAGCAUGCCCUCCUUCGGGACGGGGUGUGUCACCCAGUUAGUGACCAAUUUAUUUCAAGAAAUUUCCAAACACUUCGAUCGAGUACCUUUUUAUAAUUCCUAAAAAAUAAAAAACAAGUCAAUUUCACACUACAAAAUCAUGGAGGCCUAAGAUUAUAGUCCUUUACUAUUAGAGAUUGCCUAAGAUUUAGAAUUUGUCUUUUCAAGACAUCUGGAGGUUAUAAGAGAGCUCAAAACUUAGCCUGAAUGUAAGCAAGAAAAACUUAUGUGAAGGUGGCUAAUAAUGUUAUCCAUACGAGAGGAAUUUCCAUACUAAAGUGACGGUGAUGACCAGUAUUUUGAAAAUGUAUUUACCAUGAUUAUUAAAAAGAUUUUUUGCGUUUCUUAUUAAGAGAGCUCAAAACUUAGCCUGAAUGUAAGCAAGAAAAACUUAUGUGAAGGUGGCUAAUAAUGUUAUCCAAACGAGAGGAACUUCCAUACUAAAGUGACGGUGAUGACCAGUAUUUUGAAAAUGUAUUUACCAUGAUUAUUAAAAAGAUUUUUUGGGUUUCUUAUUAUAUAUAUAUAUAUAUAUAUAUAUAUAUGUAUAUAUAUAUAUGUAUGUAUGUAUGUAUGUAGGAAAGUUGGCGUUAGAUUUCCACAUGAGGUGCUUGUAAAUAGUUAGUCGUGCGGUUUGUAUCCAUCAGCUGAUCAAAGUUUAUCAGCUUGCCAACCCAAACCAACAAAUUAGAAACCAGCAGAAAUCAGCUUCAUCAAAAUCAGCCGCAGAAGACGAAGAAGAAAAUGUUAAUGGUCUGCAGCACAUGUAAAACAAAGUCCCUAUGGCGAUGACGAUGAUGUUGAAAACUUGAAUGAACCCAAUCAACUCCGUCUCUCUACGUCUUAAGAUCAGAUAGCAGCAGAAGAGAAUCUUAACUACAGUUACACCUGAGACUAAAUCAGAAUUUACCCUAGAAACAUUGAAAUCGUAGUCCUCAUUAGGUAUGGGCACAAAGUUACUUUAAUAAUGCUACUACGGGCUUUAUGGUAGUGGCAAGCACACAGGCGCUUUAUUGUAGUGGCAAGCACACAGUAGUCAAUAGGCCCCCCUUCCCGACCUUACGCGCUGUACGGACAAAUUUAACUUUGUUGCUCCAUCUACUGAUUUCAUCUUUGACAAGCAGAGCAUCCAAUGCAAUUUGAUCUUGACAAGGACUAACCAGCACCCGACACGUUACCAUAGUAUCUAGGUCACCCAUUUGCUAUUGCAUUAUUAGUUUAAGAUGGCAGAAUAGCAAUAGCAGGUGUAAUUGAAGAUAAAAUCAUCUACACCAUUUGAAUUUUUAGAUCAACGAGCCCUAAACAUUGAAAUAGAGAAAGCCCACCUCCAAAAUGGUUUUGGUCGAGUCUGAUUUUGAAAAGCAAGGUCCUUCCCAUUAAGUAGACUUGAUUUCAUGAGUCAUCGACCCAAUAAUGGUUUAUGUGGAAUUUACACAAGCAAUAUUGGAGGAGAGGGGAAUUAGACCUCAAACUAUGUCCUCAGAUGUAAUUAAAGUAUAUGAAAGAAAUACAACGGAUGUAAUAACUGAACUGAGUAUAAUACUUACGUACUCAUUAGUGAAUAUUUUACUUAUUAAUCCAAUUUACCCUUGUUCUUUGUUUUUUAAUGUCCAAGAAAAAUUAAUAAGUUGUACAUUAUAUUUUAAAGCAAUAGGAACAUUUCAAAAUUAAGAAGAAAAAUUACAUGUUGUGCUACAAGCUAGAGGACAAAAAAGAAUGAAGAAAAAGCAAGAUGCCUACACAAAAAAUACAUUACAAGUUCGAGGGCUGAACUGCAUUUUAACCUGGAAAUAAUCAAUUCUCUCUAGCAUCCAAAAUUUCUUUCUCCAAGUCUUUGAAUAUUUGUUAAUGUUGUGCUAGGAUAGCACCAAAUCAAUUGGAAACUAACUCAAUCUAACCUAUAAGAAAUUAUCAAAUGAAAUGCAAGAAUGAAAUAGAAAAGACACCACGACUUCACAAAGUUCCUCAACAGUCAAUGUAGAUGGAGUACGUUCUCAAAUAAGUACGAGCUCAACAAUAACCCACUAUCAAUCAAAUGGGAGUGUACAUAAAGUGUUUGACAAUAUCACAAUCCAAAGCCUCAAUACACUCAAUACCUCCCACUCACCAAAAAAACAGAGUAAGAUAUAUAAUAAAUAAUUUCUUUUCUAUACAAAGCUGAAAGCUAAUUUACAAAAUACAACUUUGAUAAAGUGAUUACUAACCAAAUGAGGGCAGCAGCUCUCUUCUUUUUCUCUUAACAAAUGGGGCAGUCGGCGGCCUUUCUUUCCCUCUUUGCUGACUACUAAGGGCAACAGCUACUGCCAUGUAAAAACCCUAGCCACAUCACCUGGCUUUCACAUGUGGGCUAAAUAAAAGGCCUAUUUAAUGGGCUGGUGAGAUCAGUCAAAGCCUAAUAGAAAUCGGCCACAAAUUCAACAUUAUGAUAACACUUGUCAGGAACUAAACAUUGUUAGUCAUUCACCACCCAGAAGAGGAAAAAAAAAAAAACUUUAACACCGGCUAACAUAGAAGAGAAACAUAGCAAGUGUUCAUCUGCCACCAUGAUGAAGAUAAAUAUUAUCUUUGCACCACAUUAUGGAUUCGAAUCAUAUCGGUUCCCAAUCUAACAUUUAAGAAAAAAAACAUGAAAGAGAAACAAACAAAAGAAAAGAGCUUCAAUAACCACAUGGCAUCUGUGCCUAUAAAACACAAUCCAAAAUAUGAAUACAAAGACAAUAGUACUACCUCUUGGUGGUCCCCUUUCACAAAUAGGUCCUGGGCUUGUUCACCAGUGAUUUUCCCACCUCUGUCUGUGCCAACUUUCACAAAAAUAUUAGUAUACUUCUGAUCGCCAGUUUGAGAGAGUAGGAUUCUCUCCCUUCCUAUUUUCAUCCUCUUCUCUCCCCUCUUCUUACACAUUACUUUUUGUUUUAUUAUCUCUAUAAAAAAUAUAUAUAUAUAUCAGAUGUUGACGUGGCUUAACUGUUCAAAUAGGAGGGGAGGGAAGGUGAGAGAGAUUAGGAGGGGAUGGAAGGAGAUGGAAAGAGGAGAAGAGAGAAUCCUAGUCCAAGAAACAUAUGAUGUGUAAACUAAUUCUCGUAAAAAUCGUUGAUUUCAUUUUGGUAAAUUGGGUGCAAGGGGAUAUAAUUACUUUUUUUGGCCUCAAACAUGUGUCGUGCAUGUGACCGAGUUGGAUGGAAAUUGGAUGAAAAAUUGGCAACUCUAACAUCAGUGGGUAAAUUAGCUAAUUUUACAAGUUUAGGAGGGGUAACCGACUAAAAUUAAAGUUCAUGUAGGAAAUUGAUAGCUCCUUACAAGUUCAAGGGGAAAAUAAACAAAUACCCCAAGUUUGAAAUAGUGGAGAAAGCUCAUAAAUGUGCUCGACAAGUAAGUCAUUAUUAUUGAUUUAUCUUUUAAUAUUGUCUACGACUCUACUAUGGUCAUGAUUAUUUAUAUAUACGUAUAACUUAAUGUUCAUUGUUUAUAGGUGUGAGGAGUAUAAUGAUUUGCCAAAGAAACUUUUUGUUAAUAAUAACUUAGAUGUGUAAAGAACACACAAACGUACACAUAUUUUAAUUAAUUUUUCCCCAUAAAAAUACUAAUCAAGUUUGUAAUUUUCUUUCAUUUUGUUGACAUGUUUUCAUUUUCUUGUAGGUUGGAGUGCAUGGUUUGAUUUACUCUUUUUGGUAACAUUGACAUCUCCUUUUGAACACAAAAUUGAGGCCAAACAUAAUGCAAGCAGGAUGUAAAAGCUUAUAAUGAUAUAUGAAAUCUUUUUUGGGGCAUGAGACUGCUAUUAUGGGGAUUAAAGUGUAUUUGGAUUGCUGAGUAGUAAUUUGUACAGUUCAUUUAACUUAUGCAUAU